UUCUCCAUCUUCAAGAUCCUAAUCUAAACCUAAUCUAAGAAACCUAUAACUAGGUAUAUACAAUGGAAGGAAACAAACAUCACAAAGAAGAUCAAAGCAAUUGGGGUAAAACCCAUGUAUGAUUGGUUCUAAGAAAAGCACAGAACAUUAGGGAUUUCAUGAAGAACAACUUUCAUGAAUGAAAUUUCCUAAGAUGUAUCAAGUUCAAAUAAGAUCAAAUUCAUGGUCGAAAAGCAACAAUCGCUAAAGCAUGCAAAUCAAUCACAAGCAAACCAAAAAAUAAUGCAUGAUAACAGACUUACCAAGUCAUCUAAUCAAUGCAUGAAAAUCAUGAAAUUUGAACAUGACGUAAGGUUAACUGUGAAGAAAAAUUUUGAUUUAGACAUUCAACCCUAAAUCUAUGUGCAAAAGGUCACACAAAUCCAUUAACAUUGAUAUGUGACUUGUCAUUUAGAAGCAAAAUGCAUGACAAUUUCAGUUGUGGUAUACCGACUUGAUGCAUCGUUUUUACAUGGUCAAUGAUCUUCAAAUGAGGUAUGCCAUGUAUCAUUGCGAAGCUUAUGAUAUGCUCUAAGUAUGUCUAGAAAGCAUCAAGCAUCAAGUAUGCUCUUAAGGAACUUGAUUGAAGACAUUUUCAUAGAAACGCAAUCAAUUGGAAUCACAGCAGGGAUUGCACAAAACAUGGAUGACAUUCAUUGAAAUGAAGACAUAAAGAAAAUUCAUGAAAGUCCAAGUAUAUAGAAGGAAAUGUCCUGAUCAUCUAUCAUGAGACAUUGAAGUCCUACAUUGUUCACAAAAAUCUAUAUGAAAAACAGAAAAGAAAUAACCACCAACCAAGGUGGCAUAGAUGGUAGGGCCUUGGACCUCCUCGGUGGAGGCCAAGGUUCGAAUCCCCUGCAAAGCAGGGAGGCAGUCUAGCUACUACAUGGUGACUUAAGUGUGACGUUGGGGUGGUGGUUUCCCUGCUAGCGUCACCUGGGGGUUUACGGGAACGGCUAUCGGCCUAGUAGUGGUUCCUCCAGCAAAAAAAAAAAAAAAAAAAACAGAAAAGAAAUAGGGCAAAAAUCCAACAUUUACAGAUUGCAGCAACUCAAACGUGACUUUAUGGAAGCCAUUGACCUUGCUAACGAUGAUCACUUGAUUCAAACUAUACCUUGUUAGAAAUUUUAUGAAAUUUCCAAUGACUCUCAUGAAAGAUUCAAUUCCAAAAAAAAACAUGUUUACUAACUCAAAUUUGAGCACACGCAUCAAAUCUCAAACAUGACAGAUUCUGGACUGAACUUUGGACAUGUGAAAACCAUAUCAAAUGAGAUUCAAUCAGGGCAUUCUAUAGCUCAUUGGAAAGAUAUUCGAACCAUCUUCGACUUUCAUGAAGACUUCGAACACAGGAAACCACAGCAACCAGCUCAUAUCAAGUCAUUUGCACAGAAGGUCAGAUCAGCGAAAGAAACAGAAUAUCAGAGCAGAACAACUUUUCAACCAAAAAAAAUUACUGCAGAACCAAAUGACGUCCUCUUAGGGCAUGUGAACUAUCAAAUCGAAGCUUGAGAAGUCUAUUUUCUAUGUCUAAAAGGGCUCAAGACCAGAAAGCCUCAUCUAUCACCUCAUUUAAGCCAAACAGAAAGUCUAUCACAAAGACACGAAAUUGCAGAUUAAUAGAAAUCAAACUCAAUCAACCUCAAGUUCGUGAUCAUUGAUCAUCAAAUUAAGGCGCUUAUCAAUGUGUACACACAUACAUCAUUUGCGCUAUUCCUCUCAUAACAGAACAUGUAAUUCAUAUUCACUCUUAGUGGACAAAAUCAGAACAUGCCGAGCAUCCAGAUCAAUUCAUUUUACUCAAACUUGGAGAAAAAAUGUGGCAAUCAAUUUCAGUUUUCGUACAUGCGAUUCUUGAUCACCACUUAAGAUCAAUUAUCAAAUAAUUGUUGUGGAAUGAGGCCAAUGAAAUGGACUAAAGCUGAGAAUGAAAAAUGAGCAGGGACCAAACAAGCAGCGCACAAACAGAGACUCGACAGAGCAAAACAAUAGAUCAAUUCAAAGGCCCAAUGAGGAGAUCAAACGAAUACACCUUAGUUUGAACAUUAAAUCAUCAACCAGAUGCUAACAUGCAGGAACUUUACUUAAAUUCGUACCCUAGCUUCAUUUAGAAAAAUCAUCGAACAUAUGGCGGACACUUUCAUCUAAUGAUCUAGAUGCAGGAAUACGUCAACAGUUCGUCUCCAUAUCAUCACCGAAGGUCAAAGAAAAACAUAGCGCACAUACUUGGUUGGAUAUAUCAUAGUCACGAUAAACAAAAGCAGCUAAAGAAAGAUCCACAAACAAAAUCAUCUUGUCAGAGCAUCGUCAUUUCAUAAUCUAGAGCUCGUCCGGUUCAAAUAUCAAACCUAGACAAGUUUUUCCAUUAACAAAACUUCAAGAGAGGACAGAGAUCACCGGAAAGAAGAAACAACGUACCAACGCCACUGGAGUCUCUGGCGACAAGGAUCAGCUUAGAAGAUGCCGAGGACGGGGCUUUGGAAUCGGCGGUCAGCUCGACGACAGGGGACUCGAUCGCCUCCUCCUUCACAGCGUUGACGACAGGUGCCGCGGCGGCUCUUUUGCCCAGGCUCGAAGUAGUAACCUCGGAGGAGCUACACCGGCGAGGGAUACUCAGCGAAGAACGGACGAAGAUGGCAGAUCUCCGAGGCGCUAUGGAAAAUCUCCGAUCUCGGCGUGAGUCCGAGUCUCACACCUCGAGCUCUUCGACCGGCAGAUGCUCCAUCUUCAUCGAACGAGUGAGUCUCAGAUCUUCGGGAAAAAAGCUGGGGAGCAUCCGAUCGAGAAAUUCUAGCCUAGGGUUUCCGGCGAGGAGGAGGAGAAGGAAGGGAGAUCGGAGGAGUUUGAUCGAGGAAGAGCCCAGAGAGAGUAGGUUGUUACGGCGAAAAGGCCCGAGUGUGAGUCCGUUCUUCGCGUUUUACCCAGAGCCCCCAAAAAGAAAAUUUCGCUAGAGAGAACAGGAGUGAGAGAUCGAGCGGAAAAAAAAGAAGCCCCCCUUUUCCUUCUGAAUGGCCCCCUCCUUUUAUAUUUUUUUUUUCUUCUUUCUUUGUUUUCUUUUUGUUUUCUCUCUUUUUUCUUUUUGUUUUGUUUUUAUUUCUAUUUUUUUCUUUUCAUUUCAUUUCAUUUUUUCUUUUGUUUUCUUUUUUUCUUUUUGCUUUCUUUUCUUUGUUUUCUUUUUGGCUCUUUAUUUUUUUAUAUUUUUGCAGGCGAUGGAUGAUUAAAAUGUCGACGAAAAUUUCGGGUGUCGACAAGAACUAAGUCCAUGAAAUGCACGUCAAUUUAGUGAUUAUUCUUAGGUUCAUUUCUAAUUAGAAAUUGCCCGUCAUUAGAUUAUGUCAUUUAAUAAAUGUCACGUGACAUAUAGCUCGCAUACUAAAUUGUAUGCUGCAUGUCAUUUUAGGUUAAAUAAUUUUGUAUGUCAUUGCAUCGCAUUGCAUGUCAUUAGAAUUAAGUCAUUUAGAUUGCAUUUAAUUAUUGCAUUUCUUCAUGUCAUAUAGUUUAGGUCAUGUUGCCAUGUCAUAUUAGAUUAUUAGCAUGCCUCGCAUGAUUCUCAUGAAAUAAAGUGAAAACAAAAAUUGAGUAAUUGCUUGUUAAUUAGAAACCAUAUCUAGGAUUGUUGAUGUGGAUUUUAAUUUAACACUGCAGAUACUUCCAUUACUUUGAGGUAAAUUCUACAUUAUUUAAUUGCUUUCUUGGGUGUUAAAUUGGUGGUGUGCGCACCCGCAUAAUAACCUCACAUGUUAGGAAGAUAGUUUAAAAUAAAUCAGUUGUCUGCAAAAAAAAAAAAAAAAAAACAUUUUUGAAAAUAAAAAGAAUGGUACCGAAAGGGCAAUAGAGAAAUCUAAUGUAAUCAAGUCCCCGUACCCUUAGUCUUUGGUUCGUAAGAGUAAAGCAAUUCUCCCAUUAUUUUACUUAGGUGUCUAAUCGACCUACCAUAAACUGAUUAGUGGCGACUCCUAAAUAAAAUCAAUUUGCAUGUUAAGAAAUUUGAACCUAAGUCGCGAAUUGGUAUGGGCUUGGGAGAGUCCGAGCUAAGCUUAAAGACUUAGUAAUCCAUUAACCUAGUUUUAGGUGGUUCGCUUACCGAAAAAUCUGGUCGCGACACAUUUCAAAUCCUUUGAAGGAACGAGUGAACCUCUACAAUUAAUCCAUAGUGAUCUAUGUGAUUUAAAGUUUGUAGAAAGUAGAGGUGGAAAGAAGUACUUCAUCACAUUUGUGGAUGAUUGUACUAGAUUUUGCUAUGUUUAUUUACUAACUAGCAAAGAUGAGACUAUGAGCAUGUUUGUCAAGUAUAAAACUAAAGUUGAAAACCAACUUGAUAAACGAAUCAAAGUGCUUAGGUCUGAUAGAGGAGGAGAACACAGUUCAAUCAAUUUGAAAGAGUUUUGUGCUAGUCAUGGAAUAAUUCUUCAAAUGACUGCACCUUAUACUCCACAACAAAAUGGAGUUGCUAAACGAUUGAACAUGACACUAAAGGAGAUGGCUAACGCCAUGCUUUUGAGUUCAGGUUUACCUCAGAACUUGUGGGGGGAGGCAGUUUUAACUGCAAAUUAUAUUCUUAAUGAAAUACCUCACAAAAAGACAGGUAAAACUCCAUACGAGUUAUGGAAUGAAAAGUUACCAUCCUACAAUUUUCCAAAAGUGUGGGGGUGCAUAAUGUGAUCUAUAACGGUAAGUCUAGACACAUUCGUCGUAGACACAAUACCAUAAGCAGUUGCUCUCAAAUUGAAUCAUUUAUUUAGACUUUGUAAAGUCAAAAGAAAAUAUUGCGGAUUCGCUGACAAAAGGUUUGUCAAAAGAGCAGAUAAACUGCACAUCGAGGGAAAUGGGUUUAAGAACCUUAACCCAAUAAAGAGAUUCCACGGUGGAAACCUAACCUAUGCGAUUGGAGAUCCCAUGGACUAGGUUCAAUAGGACAACGUAAAUUUUGGAAACUCUAGUGUAAGCACUGUCUCCCAUUCUUAUGAUGCAACAGUGCUUUCCUACAGCGUUAUUAAGAGUACACUAUGCGUUUAAUGAUUCAUAUAACUUGGGAUGUAACAUCCAAGUAAGAUAUGGUAGGAUAUCUUUAAUAGGAAUGCACCUAUAUGCGUGGAGCUGGCCGACUCUAUGAAAAUCUUUAAAGGCUAGAUUUUCUAAAGCACGCACGAAUCCCGAGAGGUUCAAGGCCGAAAGAACGAACACAACCGAGAACCAAUCUUGAAUUGGAAAUACUCCGUGUGAGGUUUAUUGUCUAGGCUUACACAAACAACUGGUGAUUCAAGGCUUAGUCCAUCGACUAGUUAAGUAAGUCCGAUAAGCUUUCACUAAAGAAGGUUCAAAGCGAAAGCUACCUAUCUUGAUGCGGUUUAUUUCAACAGGCAUGCUCAGAUUCCUUCGAGUCAAAAAUGUUUUGUUGAUCUAUUAAUGUGGGGGAUUGUUGUAAUUAUGGUUAUAAUUAUGGUUAAUAGAUCAACGGAAGCCAAUAAAUUAAGAUACUUUUUUUUGUUCACGUAUCUCUUUUUGGAUUCAUGAAUUUCCUAUACUUUUAUGUUCACGUAUCUAUUGAAUUCAUGAAUUUCCUAGAUUCAUGUAUCGUUUAGUUCAUGUAUUUAUUGAUUUCAUGAAUCUCUUGAAUUCACGUAUCUUUGGAUACAUGAAUCUCUUGGAUUCACGUAUCUCUUUAUUCAUGAAUCUCGUGGAUACACACGUCUAUUUAAUUCAUGUAUCUCUUUAGUACAUGAACUAAAAAGCUCUAUAAAUAGAUAUGAGCAUAGAGCUUCGUAAGGGGGUUUUUUGGUUUUCCCGAUUCGAUUCCAAAAAGAGCUUUGAUGUCCUUUUCUACUCUUCUGUUUUUCCUGAGUGUGCUGGUUCAAUUGAAUGGUUCGACAGAGUCAUGUUUGCAUAGUGCUAAUCCAAACAGGUUCGAGGUGUUGUAUCUUGGGAGGCAUAGUUCGUGAAUUUGCAGGGCACCAUUGGCAGGAACUAAUCGCCUUAAGGAGAUUCGGUUAUCCGUACCUCACCUCCAAUUUUAUGUUAUAUCUUAUUUUCUUCUUCUUCAAGAGUUGUAAGUUUACAUAAAAAGAAGAAUAUUAUAUAGCUAUUAUCAUCUUCUUUACAUUGAUAUUGUGAUUGCAACAAACAGUGUGCUUUCUCUAGAUUAAUUUCCAACAAUGCUCUUUCAACCCUAUUUCCCAACAAACUCACGAUCGAGGGAUGGAAAUUAAAGACAAGGUGACCGAAUAUGUGAAUGAGCGCAUUUCUGCAUUGAGGACGAUCAAUCCCCAUCAAUACCAAUAUAUCUCAGUAGUAUAGACCCAACUCUACGAAGCACCUUCUUAACUAUUUUGAGAAAGGCCAACUGACAAAGACGUUCUUCCCACUUCCGGAUCCUCAUUUUAAAGAGAAAAAUCACUGCCGCAAUGUGAUUAGCCCUCACUUGUUAGAUGAGUAUGCAUAUACUCUGGCUGUUGGGGGCAUAAUUUACACCAUCACAGAAGUUGAAGAACUUGGUGAAUGGAUGAAGGGCUAUUUGGAAAAUCACUCCAUGUUCGAGGCACUGAUGGAGGAAGAACUCGUGAACAAUCCAGUGGUGAAGCUAUUGACCAGGGCAACCGAGGAAGGCCAGAAGGUUGCUAGGAAUAGUGGGCAGACAUUUAACUUGCAUUGGUCGCAAAGCUUUGAUAAGGCAUUUAUUGCAUUUAAGUUCUCAUGCUGCAAUUUCUUGGGUGCUUGUAUUUUUCAUUUCAGAUCUCAUUGGAAUCUAGGUUUCUUUGCCCUUUGGUUUCAAAUCAUACGGUUUAGUUAAACAUGGUAGGCUUUGUCCUUAAUUUGUUUUUCCUUGUUUAAACAGUCCUCUGGUUCAUCUGCAAAGUAGCAUGUCAAAGAUCGUAUCACAUCUGGGGCUAUUCUGUGAAUGAAGGACUAGAAUUAUACAUAAGAAAAUGGAAUGACUGGGACAGUUAAAAUAAGCAUCUGUGAGAUCUUAAACUUAGUUUGAUUAAUUAAAAGCUUGAUUUCGUUCAAUACUUAUUUUAUAUAUUUGGACUAGUAUUCCUUGAAAAACUUGGGAAAAGCAGAAUGAUCUGGCUGCUCCUUCAAGCUUUAACAUCACCAUGUGAUGCUGAGACAGCCGUAACCACUGAAGAUUGACUUAUAGUCUGAUGUUAUGCACAGAGUAAUCUGUCUCAUCUUUCUUGAAUUGUCCAUUGAAUGAGGAAGUUUGGUAAUGUUCCUCCAAUUUUGCAGCAUAAUGUGCAAGUUAUAGAAUUCGUUCACUUCAUCUGGUAUACUUUAUCUUUCAUGCCCAUCCAAUGAGUUGCAUUGUCAGGAAAGAAAUUUUUUUGAGCUUCUUGUUAUAUUUUGGCACCUGAAAUUGGCAGAGUUCUUUCAGUCGGGCUUUUAUACGAAUAGAAAUUCAAUUUGCACUGUGAAUACAAACUUGUGUGCCAACCCGGAGUUAUAUUGCUGCUGUCCACCAUACUAGCAAUACAAAUGGAACUCUGUUCACACUGGAAGGGAAGGGAAGCUGAAUUGUAUUGUAAAUAAGUAUCUCGACGUGAGCAUCCCUGCUGAUGUUAUAUUUUCUUCCUACACCUUAGUCGGAUAUAUAGCAAACUGGUAAAUUUGGUUGCUUGCUUAAAAUGGUUGCAGUCUCCGAGCUUGAGGAGAUUUUUGGAAAGCUUUGGACACAGUGCCAAGAAUGCCAGGGUUCGCUUCAUCAGGAUGUUCUUUGCACAAGGUUCUACUUUGUUUCCUUGCAAUACUAUUUAAGAUAGCUUGUUUAUCAUUCACGUAAUUGAUAUCGUGACUUUUGUAGUCGGGAUUGUCCCAUAUUUUACCGGAGGAAGAAGGUACAGAAAGACAUGGCUGAAGCCUAGCGGCAACUAGAUAGAUGGAACUUCUAAAUAUCGACAAGCUUUGUAAUCUGUGGUGGUGGACGAGAGGGGAUGCAUCUGUCUUCACUUUCGUUAUAAGUAUGGCUUCUUUUGCCCAAUCUUAUUUCAUCUUUAAUAUGGAUGGUAAAUAUGACAACAUAGGUGAUACCAUCUUAGAGAUGGUAAGUGCACGUGUCACGAGAUGAUAUUUUAAAUCACUACCCGGCACUUAAACCACGAAUUUCUUGUAUGGCCUAAGUCACCCUUAUUAGCUUUCACUCCUACUCUCCCACGCUCAAAAAGAAUAUACUAUUAGAGUUAUAAAGAGAAGAUACCCCAAAAGUAAUUGUAUAUUGACUCUUGCAUUGCCAAAUGAGAGGGGAGUAGACCCCUAUUUAUACUUGUACCCCUUUAAUUUCUAAUUUCAACCAUUGAAUCUCUCUUUGAUUUAAUGGUUGUGACAUCCGAAAUUUCCCUCGACAAAAUAAUGAGCCACGCCAGGUGAUCGAGCUCGUCAUCGGACCGUACCAAUAGCACCACUGUGGGGACUCACUACCUCAGCUCGUCCCCGUCAUCACCGAAACAACUCAACUGCAUCACCACCGAAUCUGAGCCAAUUCAGUCCCGCUGUCAUCAAAUCAGUGCCACAUACUCCGAAUACUGCCACGUCCCUCCCCCAACCGACUAUCAAUCCCCCCUCUUGCCGAGUUGGCCACUAGCGAAGCCAACGUUCGCUCCCAUCUGUUGCCGCAAGAGGGCGACAACUCAUCAAGGUGAGGCGGAGUCAACAAUCACCGCCAGAGGGAGGACAGCUUUGACUGUGGGAGACAGAGAGAAAAAGCGAGCUGCCCGCUCUCUGCUCUCAAGUCCAUCUUCAGCUUCUUCUCUUCACUUGCCGUUGCAGCCAGCAAGCCAGAAGCAGCGAAGAUCAGCAGUUCCAGUCUCCUUCCUUGCUCGCCCGCAGAAGAGCGAUAAGGCCCUCAAGCCGUCGACUACCGAGCCAGCAGCACGCUGUCAGUCUGCCGACUUGCACCGGCACCGUGUCCAGCCGUGUCAUCCCUCGGCUCGCUUUGAACAGGCGGAGAACCAACCUCAGCCAGAACUCCCAAGAUCCUAUCGAGCCGCGACCACAGUUUAUCGAGGAUCCGAGACAAAUAAAUAUUCUCCAUUUUAUUCUAUGUCAAUCAAUUAUGUAUGACGAGGAUAGUUUCCUAGAAACUUCAUGAACAUUGAUUAGAUUCUUGUUUAAUCGAAAGUUUCGAUCAUGUUAUCUAAGUACAUUGUUGAGUUCGAAGUAGUUGAGCUUAUGGUUGGAUCGUAGGAACGUGGUCAGUCAGUAUCUAGCACGUAUGAGGAUUGAAAUGGCUGAAAUUUCGAAUUAAACUAGUGCUGGACACAUUGGCUCAAAUUUCGAAUUAAACUAGUGCUGGACACAUGUUACGUUCGGUUCAGCCCAACCCCAAUAUUUUAAUAAUUUUUUGCCGACUUAUACAAUGCAAAUUUCACGGGGUGUUCUUCACAAAAGUUGUCUCUUAUUAGCUUCUCUAUGACAUACUUUAAUUUCAUAAUUUUUGGACGUCGUACGAUAAAAAUGUAUUUGAAAAAUUACGGGGUAUGAAAUCUGUUUUCGAGGUUGCAGAACCGACCUCUUCCUGCUUUCCAUUUUCCACAGAUUUUUCAGUCAAGAAUUAUAACAUGCGUCCUCACAAAAGUUGUAGAGUAUAUCCUUGGCUACCACAUAUUAUAUUUCCAUGAUUUUUCGAUCUCAUUUAACCUGCGAAAUUUGUAUUUUUCUGCUCUAUUAUGUUCUGGAAAUUUUUACUGUUUUGGGACUGGAUUACAAAAAUUAUUUAGAACUGUAUGGGCUGAAUCAGACUUCAAGUCCCCCACAGAAUAUGUCCCUCUUGAUCUUGUCUACCUUAUAUUAAAGUUUCAUAAUUUUUGAAAUCCAUUUACCUAGACAACCACUGUAGCUUCUAGAGGUGCAUAGGACGCCCUUAUAGGAUUAGUUUAGAGACUUGAUGUACCACCUUUCUUGCAAUCCGUUAGUAAAGGCACAGGUGAGUUUAGACUCAGCUAGGGGAAUAAAGUUGACUGAGGAUUUGUGGAUUCACGUUUGAGUCCUAGGAUAACAGUAACAUCAAUGUACUUUUAAUUGAAUUAUAGAAUUGUUGUAUCAUGGUAUGGAUGUGUGACUAGGAUUACCGUCGGUCCUUGGGACAACAAUGCCCCGGGUUGUAGUAGGAAUGCUUGUAGAGGUAAUUGGGUUCCUCCAAAUGCUUAGGGGUGUAACAUGAUCCCUUGAUGUUCUCAUGAUGUCGGAUGGAUGUGAGAUGUCCAAGGGGUAAUGGGGCUUCUCUAAUGAUGAUAAUAGCACGAAUUCCUAUCAGAUAUGAUCUUGAUACUUUUUAAUUGAGUUAUUGAUUAUCUAUUUGGAAAAGCUACUGUUUAUAUUGAUCCGUUACGUUAUUUUGGAAGGGUGCUUAGGUAAGCUAAUGAUUUACUAUACUUUAUAUUGGAGCUUUCCUUAUCAGGGGACAGAGGUAGUCCCGCAGCAUAGAAAAGAGAUAGGAGCACAACUGGAUUUUUGGAGGAUUUUGAUAGAGCCAAGGGGCCAAGGUUAGGCAACCACGUGUACAGUUAGGUAAGGAUGGGGUGACCGACUUAGCCCAGUAUAUUAAGCAGUACUGCCCUUUUGAAUUCUCUAAUGUACCCAACUUGUUGCCUGACAAAUAUUUAUAGAAGUUUGCAUAUAAUCCAAGAAUUACUGUAGUUCCUUAUGCUUCCGCAUGCUUAAGAGAAAGUGAAAUGAAACAAAAAAGUUAACUAUUUUAGUAGUUCUACAUUAGCGGUGAUGUGUUGGGGACAUCAUAAUGGCAGAAAUUUGAUCCCAAAGAAAAUCUAGAUAGUAUCCCUACAAAUAUCUUGACAUGUAUAUUUACUAUAUUACCCCUAGAAAUCUCUAGAGCUAUGGGCCUUCUAGAAGUUUAAAUGCUUUGGUUUGGGCUCUUGGGCCAUUCUUUUGGCUUGUCGGGCUUAAAACUUUUUGGUCCAUGACACAUAUCCAAAAGAUACUAAGAAAUUUCAUGGAGAAAAAUGUCCGUGCUUAUCAAAUUCUAUUCUUUUUCCUCCGUGACUCUUAGCCCCUAGGGAUCCAGCAUUUGAGUUCCAGUGCUUUUGAUUUUAGUUAAAAACGUAGUAACUUUCAAUUUUUUUUAGGGUAACGGUUUGUUAAAACUAAGCAUCCUCUGAAAUGAAAAGCUGAAGGAUUUGUACUAAAAAGGGGGAAAAGGCAUUGUGACGAGCUAAUUUUCGAGGGAUUGUUGACCUUUCACUCUGUAAAUGGCUUUGCAUUCAACUUUCCUCUUCAGAUUUGUAUGGUUAUGGAGAAAACUAUUGGAAAUGAUAUGAUAGGGUAUGAUCAAAUACGAGAUCUCCCGGAUUCACCGCAUACCAUCCAUUGUUUGAGAAAAUAUGAAAUGUUAAGAGUGAAUGUACACAUAAUCUAUAGGAAAACUAAAGAUCAGUAUAGAGAAGUAAACAGACAUUGCAGCUUGCUUAGGAGAUGCAAUCAAUCGACAAACAAUUUUCACAUUCAUGACUAUAGGUUUUCCAUUUUGUAACUUGAAAUCAUAUGCUCAUCUUCCCUUCUGCUACUAUUACUCUCUUCGACGGUUAUCGCAAGCAAUGGCACAAGUCGAUGAUUUGACAAUCCAAUGCCAAAGGCAAGACUUUCACUAUUGCUCUUGCAAGCAUUGAAACACAUGUCACUUAAGUAUACAAUCUCAAACAGUUGUAAUUAGGGGUGAGUAUGGUUUUAGGGUAAAACCUGGAACCUGAGAAUCAGACCAGUGGGAACCUAUAGGUUCUGGUUCCAAGGUAUGGAGGGUAGGGUUCCAAAAAAUAAGAAACAUGUUUUGACGGGUAGAUUCUAGGUUUUUAGUUAGAGGAAUUUAGAACUUGAAACCUAUAACAUGUAAUCUAGAACCCGAAGCAAGUUUUAACAUUUUUCUUGGUUUAUAUCUUUGCGCGAUCUUGCGAUAUUUCAUAACAUUUGAUGAUGAAUGUAUAAUCUGGAAAUAAUCUAGAAGCAUGAGUAUGAGCUUCCGGUUUAUGACUAAAACAUUUUACUUUAUUAAUGUUCAUAUUUUCCAUGUGUCUUUAUGGUCAUUGAAUUGUAGCGACAAGUUGUGGCCAUUAAAGGUUUUAAUUCACUGCAAUCAUUCAAUUAAUAAUAUAAGUGAAGCCUAAGUAGACCCUAGAGCCAACUCUAGAACCUGUGACGGGAUAAUUUUCAAUUUUUAGGGUAUACAGAGUAGGUUCUAGGUUCGAAAAAUGAAGAACAUGUUCCAACUAGUAGGUUCUAAGUUCCAGACAUAACCUAUAUGAAACUUGGAACUGCUCAUCCCUAAUUUUAAUGCACUGUGAGCACAAAGGACAACUCGGGAGUGAUGCGUCAAAGUCUUUGCAUGUUUGGAAAGGGAUAAGGAGUUAAAGGAGGCAACUUAUCGCCAAGCAAAUUUCGCUCCAGCCAAAAUGGGGAAAAAGGGACAAAGUUAUUAUCGGAGAAAAUAUUCAGUAGUUAGUAACCACUUCGUGACAUGCAUACUCCAUUGAAAAAGUGACAUUUGUCUUGUGAUCUAGAAUAUGUAGAAAUUGAAAAUUUCAAAUCGGAAGGGUUCAGACGCUCUUUUCUUUCUCCUCUGACAAACAACUGACACAAGAAAUAAUGAAUGUUUGUCUCUCACUUAAAACCUUCUCUCUCAUUUUUUCAAUUUUUCAAUGGUUUGUUUACCUAGCCACUCUCUCCCCUCUUUUCUUUUCGAUGGCUUCUUCACCUUAUCUCUCUCUCCUUAGAGAAAAUAUUUGUUGGUUUCUUGCUCAAUCAACAAGAAGACGACAUUUUUCUUCGUCCAUCUUAUCCAAAAAAUAUACAACUUAGAAAUAUACAGCUAAGUUCAUCAAAUCACACAUUAAUGGUCCAAUCUAUUGACUAAUAUCAUGCUCAAAUAUUUAAUCACGAUCACACUUAACACAUUGCGAUGAAGUCAACCGAGAUUUCCUCUUUGGUGAGGUCUUCACCUAUAUUACCGGUGGCUUGUCCACAAGAAUAGCUUAGUGUGCAUACCCACAAACCCUUUAGCAGGCUAAUAGGGACAUUGAGCAUCAACAUAAACCCACAAUAGUAUCUUCCAAGCUCCACAAGCCAAUACAAUAUAUAUAUAUAUAUUCACAUAUCGUUUUCACAAACUAAAACAUAUAAUCUUUGGCAACUUAGUUCAUCGGUCAGAAUCCUCAUUCAUAAACAAUUUCUCAAGUCAUGGUGGUAAAGUCCAAUCAAGGCUAAGCAAUGAGCAAGAAGUUUUUGAUUCCUUGCAGAGCUGGACAGAUAAUCAUCGUGGCUGAAAGAUAAACCUUGUUAAUGGACUGUUUGCCCACAUGUCAAUGAAAGAACAAGUCCGAGCUACUCAGGAAGCUUCGGUAAUCCUUGGUGCUCAUGGCGCAGGUUUAACUCACAUAGUGUCAGCAACACCCAAAACUGUGAUUCUGGAGAUCAUCAGCAGAGAAUACAGGCGUCCGCAUUUUGCUCUGAUUGCCCAGUGGAAAGGAGUGGAAUAUCACGCUAUUGAUCUCUCCGGAUCGUACGCCACCCCAUCUGUUGUUGUCGACAGGCUCAGUAGUAUCAUGAAAGCCUUGGAUGCUGAUAUACACGACUGCAAAACGAAGUUUCUCAUUACUCUAAAUGGGAGAACAGCAGCCUCCACUUUGGGCCACUUGUUUCUGCAGCCCACCUGGCCGGCUAGCAUUCGUUUUGAGUUCGUUCUUUCGCAUGUGGUGCAGUGCAUCAGAAGUUGGGCAUGAUGCUUCCUCGGGGAAGCCAUAUGUCUUUCAAUAGUGAAUAGCACUUUGAGGAGCUGUUGAGAACGGAGCAGCAUGUAACGGUACUUGCCUUGCAGUGCGAGAGGUAUCCUCAUGGCAGUUCAUUGAACUAUCAGCAAGUGCGCUGAUAAUGCUUCGGCCGCAACAAUUGAACUCGCAUGUCUUACUAUGGUGUACAGUCAGAAUUGACUUCUACGACUAUUUAUCUCAGUACAGAAGAACAUUACGUAUGUGUUCAAUUAAGUUGUCCAGUGAGGAGAGGGAUUUCCCAUUGGGCAGAAUUGCCCAACGGGAAGAUUGUGGCCUUGGAGAAACUUCAUUCUUUCGAAGUGGAGGACCCAUCUUCUAACAAGAGCUUUAGAAAGGAAGUGAAGCACUCAACAAGAGUGCGGCACCGAAGCAUAAUUAGGCUCUAUGGUUUCUGCUUACAUCGGCAAUGCAUGUUCUUGAUCUAUGAAUACAUGGGGAGGGGGAGUUUAUUUUCUACAUUGAGAAAUGACAUCGAAGCAAUGGAAAUAGAUUGUUCCAAAAGAGUGAAUGUCAUUGUUGACACCUAUAUUUUACAUUUUUAUUAUGUACAAGAUUAGGAAUUAGUCACUAUAACAAAAAAACAAAAAAACAAGAAAAAAAAAAAAAACAAAACAAACAAGAAAAAAGAAAAUAAAACAAAAACAAAAACAACAAAAAAUAGGAAAAAAAAAAGAAAAAAAAUAUGGAAGGGGGUGAGCCCGUUUCCCUCUUGGCCCGGCCCACGUUAGCCUUUGUCCUCCUCUAGCUUGUUUCGCACGCAAAACCUGCAAAAAAGAAAAGAACAGAGAGAACAUAGAAAAACCAGCGAGAAGAGAGAGAAAAAAAACAUAGGGAGAGGGGAGAGGGCUCGAGAAGGAGACCGAUUUGGAGAGAGAGAAAAAGAGAGAAGGAACGGAGGGGAGGAGGGCAGCGGUAGCACUGCCCAUCGCCAUCCGAGCCACCACCCUCCGAGCCCGAAGCCGUUCGAGUCUCCUCGCGUCCGUGACUGCCCAGUGCCGACCCGCUUCUGCUCUGCCUCGCCUUCGACUUGCAAAUCUCCCGUUCGCUGAGCCACUCGCCGCACCGCCAAGACUCCUGCAAGCCCAAAGCUCCACCUCUCAUCGAGACCCCUUGCUGCUGGGUCCUCCUCUGCUCCGACGCUUCGCAGAUCUGUUCCGGGCCUCUUCCGAGCGAAGCUGCCUUUUGCUCCCUGCCUGCUAUUCCGCCCGUGCCACUCUGACCAAUGACCCGACGCCGUUGCAGCACCUCCAAGCAACUCCUACAGUAGCUCGCCUCCGGCCGCCCCUCAUGCCCGAACACCAAAUCCCGAGCCCCCACGACACUGCCUCUACUCCUGCUCACUGAUCCUUACGCCACCACCGCUUCACUGGAGCCGGUCGUUGAGUCCCCUCACUGCGCAACCUGCAGUAGCCGAGCUCCCGUUCGCCGACCCCGACGUCAUCACUACCCCUCGCCGAACUGCCACCUCCCUGCUGUUGCUACCGUUGUCCGCUGCCCAUCGCGUCUCCACCGCCGAGCCGCCAACGUCCCUACCAUCCCCCUUGGCACCGCGAAGAAACCCUAGGGUAUCGGCCACGAACCGGGUCACGCGAAGGGUGCCAGUCACAAACUGGGUAGGGUUUUGAUCCAUCCAGGCCGAGCCUGCAUGCAUAGGCUGAUUUCUCUUUGGGCUGGAGCAAGGUCAAUGGGCCGAGUUAGUAUUAGAUUUUAUUUUUUUUUGGGUGUUGGGUUAGGCUUAGUUUAUUUAGGUUUCUUUUUUGUGGACUGAAUUUUUGCAUUGGAUUGGGCCCGCAGUUCAAGCCCAGUCCUGCUAGGGCCCACGAGCUUCGUCAAGGAGGGUUGGGCCCGACUUGGGCCCGUCAGUCGCCCCCAACCCUAAAUCAGGCGAGGGCCCGACCAAUUCUGGUCUGGGCCCAGCCCGGGUCCGAUCUCCGAUGGGACCCCAACUCGCGCCAUAACCAGGUUGGACUAGGGUCAGGUCAAACCGAACGCGACCCAAUCCGGCCCAAAAAAAUAAUUUUUAUUAUUAUUUUUUUAAAAAAUUAAUAAAUUAAAUUAAAAAAAGGAAAAAACAAUAUUGUUUUCAAAAAAAAUAUUUGUUUCAAAAAAAAAUUCCAAAAUCCAAAAAAUGUAGGUUUUGAUUAGGAAUGACCAUGUAUUGCAUUUAUAAUGUAUUUAGGUCUUUAAUUUCUCGUAAUUUGAUUAUAUUGCAUUUUUUAUUUACUUGUUUAAUUAUGUUUGCAAUUGCUUAAUGGUAUAUAUUAAUUUUCUUGGUAGCUAUGAUUUACUUGAAUGAUUGUGGACCCGCGUGAUCAUCUCACAUGUUAGUGGAUAAACAUAAAAUCAAUCCAAAUUGCUUGACAAAAAUCAUUUUGAAUGAACAAGAUUAGGUACCGAAAAUGCACUAAUUGGUUAAUUAAUGUAAUCAAGUCCCCGACCCUAGAUUCUCUAGUUGCGUAGGAAGUGAGGCACGCUACCAUGCCUCACUUGGUUUCUAGCCGACCCCAAUAGGCUAGUGGCGACUCCUUUUGUGCAAAAUUUCUUAAGAAUAUCCCAACGUCACGCGGGGUAUGGGCUUGGGAGAGCCCAAGCCUAAUCAUGGGCUUUAGGCCCGUCCUUUAGGCAAUACCCCUUAAACCUGUUCCCUGCCCCCGAGGAUAGGUCGCGACAAUCAUAUGGAAUUUUGUGCAUGCCUUGUCUUACUUGCACCAUGAUUGUGCCCAGCCGAUUGUUCAUUGAGAUGUACCUAGCAGCAACAUUUUAGUCAACGAUGAAAUGCAAGCUUCCAUGUCCAAUUUUGGCAUAGCGAGAUUCCUGGAUCCAGACUCUUCAUCUUAUUUCACCGCAAAUAUUGUUGGGAUGCAUGGAUACAUAGCAACAGGUGAGCAAUCUUAAAUUGAUUUUACUGAAAAAAGAAGUGUUAUAAGGGUAAUCAACAUCGUUGCAGCCUCCUCAUGCAUUGCAGAACUUGUUUAGUUGGCCUUAUUAGACUGAUAUGCAACAACUUUUAUAGCUUUCUUUCAUGCUUAAUUUCAAUACAGAAAGAUUUGGACAUUCCUGCUGCCUAGACAUUGGCUUAUUCAUUUAACAUCCCCAACAAUUUUUAAACAGGUUGCUUUGGUCAAAAUUAUAUGGGAAAGUUUUCUUAUUUCCUACCUUUGAUUCAAUAAAAGAUAUGUUUAUUACACGCAGUCACUAUACAAGUAGGAAACAAGUUCCUAUGCUAUGGAUCAUUAAGAACAAGAUUUCAAUGAUGAUACGCGUUGAAGGCUUUGAUUAACAUCCGGGUGUCCCUCAUUUGUAAUAGAAGACGUUGAUUGAUAACCAGUUUCAAAAUCAUCUCUGUUGUCCAUGUUCUAACUCCAAGAUAUGACUGCACAACUUUGUGAUUCUCUUUCCUUUUCACAAAGCUCGCUUAUAGUUUUGUGGUUAACGAGAAAUCUGAUGUGUAAAGCUUUGGAGUCAUGGCGAUGGAAACAAUAAUGGGCAAGCAUCUGGCAGAUAUCAUCUUGGUGCUAUUUGAGAGUACUAGUAUGAACAAAAUAAAGGAGUUAGGGAAGAGAAUAAGAACACAAGAUUUAUAGUGGUUCGGCUUAAUCUAAGCCUACGUCCACUCUCUCACGAUAACAGCCUUCUUGGCUGGAUUCCAAUAUGCAAUCAACAAGAGAUUACAACUUCGAGUGCAAACACUUAGUAGAUCACACUAUCUCACUAAAUCACUCUUUUGAUAUUUCUCUCACGAUCACAAACGUUUAAGCUCUCAAGAGACAAGUAUAUGAUCUAAAGUCACUUAGACUUUGGAAUUAUAAAUUCUACGCUCCGUCUCUUACUUGCUCAUCAGUCCUUCAUCUCCUUAAAUACUCCUCCACUUCCAAACUAGCCGUUGGACAGCAUCCCAGAGAAUCGUCUUCCAAUAUACCCAUUGGACAGCUCUGUAUCUAGAAGAUUUGGUAGCCGUUGAGUGACAUAGGUAGAAUCCCAAAAUGAUUCCGAUCGCCCAUACAAACGAAAUCUUGGUUUCCAUAAGUAAAGCUUCUUCGUAUAGAAAGAUCUUGUCUUCAAGAUCCAAUCGUCAAUCAAUUAGAUUGAAUCAAUCAAAUCAAUCUUGAUGUGGAAUCCAAACCAGAUCACUAGCCGUUAUAUGAUUGGGCUUGUAUUACGUUCUGUCGAAUUCUGGAUGUAAAGUCUGAGAGCAAUAGACUUUACAAUCUGAGUCUGUAGACUUUAUAAUCUGGGUCUGAACAUAUCUGCUUCUGAACAGAUUUAGCUUUAAGGUCUGUACCCAGUUCAGCUUCAGCAUAGAGUCUGUCUUCUAGUUCAUCAUUCACGUUCAGUCUGGAAUUUGUCAGAAUGAGCAGACUUCUAAUGUAGAACAGACUUUGACACUAAAGUCUGGCAGUCUUCAAACUUUGAGUCUUGAGUCUGGCAAUCUUCAGACUUUGACACAGAAGUCUGGAAAUCUUCAGAAUAUACUUUGGGCAUAUGUUACGUUCAGUCUUCUGGUCGUCUUCACACUUUGACAAUAUCCUUUACAUAUUCUAUCAUCUGCAUGGUCUAUUACUCAACCAUCAAACACGUUAGUAGCCUUUGAUUUAUUUUGUCAUCUUCAAAACAUCAUAAGGGAUUUCCCUAACAAUCUCCCCCUUUUUGAUGAUGACAAAACAAUCUCUAAAUAUGCAGAUUUGUAAACAUGCUUUUAAAAAUAUUAUUUUAAAUCAAAGGAUAUCAGAAGAUAGUAAAUAAAUUGAGCAUAACAAUAUAUAGAAAAAUAAUCGCAGCUCAAUAUUAUGCCAUAGAUAAUAUCAACCAAUUAACACAUAUGCAUAUUCAUAUCUUCUCCCCCUUUUUGUCAUAAUCAAAAAGCGAUAAUAAUGGAUUCACGUAGAGAAUGAUAACAAAUAUCUUGCAUGAAUCACAAUUUCUAAAAAUCAGCUUUUAUAAGGUAAAUCGAAUAUUAAAGAUAUGCAAUAUAGCUCACUUCGAUCAUAUAUAUCAGCAAAUAUCCAAUAAAAAUCACAGAUGCAUCAUGAAAUUCACGUACCCUUUUUGUCAUAAUAAAAUGAUAAUAUCAGUAAGAGAUUUGUUAAUGACAAAAGGUAAUGAAAGAUGCACUAACCAGAUUUUUUGAACAAAUUCUGACACAUUUACCUUUCCUUCCAUUCAUAAUAAGAUCACAAUCAAUCCAAAAAGAUUUUUCCAUAAUUGAUCAAAGCUCCCCCUCAAUUUGUUGCCUUUUUGAGAUGAUCAUGAUUCUUUUCCUUUUCUUUUGGAUUCGAUUUCUCCCCCUCGAUUUCCUCAUCGGAUUUUGAGUCUGUGCCUGCGUCAGACUCUGAUUCUGAGUCUGUGUUUGAGUCAGACUCUGAUUCUGAAUGUGCCGUCAAGCAUAUAUUUCUUUGCACAUCAUCUUCUUUCAUUGUUCUUUUCUGGCCAUUCUGCUUGUAUUUUCUUCCAUCGAAAUAUGGUGGCCUUGUGUUGUUUUGCCCUUCCAUAAGUCCUGGUGCCAACAUACUAGCCAUAAAGAAUCUUUAGCUCAAGUAAAAACACUUUUAUAAACUGAGCACUUGGCUCUGAUACCAAUUGAGAGUACUAGUAUGAACAAAAUAAAGGAGUUAGGGAAGAGAAUAAGAACACAAGAUUUAUAGUGGUUCGGCUUAAUCCAAGCCUACGUCCACUCUCCCACGAUAAUAGCCUUCUUGGCUGGAUUCCAAUAUGCAAUCAACAAGAGAUUACAACUUCGAGUGCAAACACUUAGUAGAUCACACUAUCUCACUAAGUCACUCUUUUGAUAUUUCUCUCACGAUCACAAACGUUUAAGCUCUCAAGAGACAAGUAUAUGAUCUAAAGUCGCUCAGACUUUGGAAUUAUAAAUUCUACGCUCUGUCUCUUACUUGCUUAUCGGUCCUUCAUCUCCUUAAAUACUCCUCCACUUCCAAACUAGCCGUUGGACAGCAUCCCGGAGAAUCGUCUUCCAAUAUACCCAUUGGACAGCUCUGUAUCUAGAAGAUUUGGUAGCCGUUGAGUGACAAAGGUAGAAUCCCAAAAUGAUUCCGAUCGCCCAUACAAACAAAAUCUUGGUUUCCAUAAGUAAAGCUUCUUCGUAUAGAAAGAUCUUGUCUUCAAGAUCCAAUUGUCAAUCAAUUAGAUUGAAUCAAUCAAAUCAAUUUUGAUGUGGAAUCCAAACCAGAUCACUAGCCGUUAUAUGAUUGGGCUUGUAUUACGUUCUGUCGAAUUCUGGAUGUAAAGUCUGAGAGCAAUAGACUUUACAAUCUGAGUCUGUAGACUUUAUAAUAUGGGUCUGAACAUAUCUGCUUCUGAACAGAUUUAGCUUUAAGGUCUGUACCCAGUUCAGCUUCAGCAUAGAGUCUGUCUUCUGAUUCAUCAUUCACGUUCAGUCUGGAAUUUGUCAGAAUGAGCAGACUUCUAAUGUAGAACAGACUUUGACACUAAAGUCUGGCAGUUUUCAGACUUUGAGUCUUGAGUCUGGCAAUCUUCAGACUUUGACACAGAAGUCUGGAAAUCUUCAUAAUAUACUUUGGGCAUAUGUUACGUUCAGUCUUCUGGUCGUCUUCACACUUUGACAAUAUCCUUUACAUGUUCUAUCAUCUGCAUGGUCUAUUACUCAACCAUCAAACAUGUUAGUAGCCUUUGAUUUAUUUUGUCAUCUUCAAAACAUCAUAAGGGAUUUCCCUAACACUAUUGACUUCCAAAGAAGAAGAUAUCAUGUUACUCAACAUGUUAGACCAGUGCUUGCCUAUUCCGAGAAAGAGUUUUGUUGCAAAAAACAUUGUUCAAGUGAUUUCUCUGGCUCUUGCUUGCAUAAGUGCAGACCCAAAGUCAAGACCAACGAUGAAACAAGUUUCCGGAGCUAUUUUGGCUCAAAAAAUACCAACGGUCGAGCCCUUCCAUGCAAUCUCAUUGGCGCAGCUCCGACAGACUAUCCGACGCGUCAACAUUUUCAUGGUCUUCUCAACAGUUAAAUUGGCUAGGUACAUUCUUGAUACAGAAUAAGAAAUUAGUACUUUGGAUGAAUUUUAUAGUUCAAAGUACUUUUCGACAGGAACUCCUUCCAGUUUGAUAGGGACACAAGUGUAAUUAAUUUGCGAGUGAUUUGAAAUACCAAGAUCGUUGAAUCUUUUCUCAUUUUCCUAUUAAAAAAUUCAUUACGGUCGUCGUCUUUAUUUACUCCAUAAUUGAUGUAGGUCCUCAAAUUGGUUGAACACAAUGUGUCAAGUGUGGCCGCGAAAGUCAAACUUAGGCAAAGUAUGUUGGAAGCUGCUAGUCACUUGAGUCGUCUUGUUCCAUUGACCGUACAAUUUCUACAGAGUCUAUAGAUAGUCUCUUUCAUGGCAAUUCCUUGCAAUUUCUCAACAGUCUUGUGGGACAUUAAGCAAAAUAAUUAAAAUGGGGUUAUGAAUGGAUUGAUGGAUGAUUAGAAGGAAAAACAGAAGUUCAAUUACUCAACAACAACAGUGUCCUGGAAGCUAUAAUUAUCAAUUUGAGAAACAUAAAUGGACUCUUAAAAUAAUUAGGAGUUAACCUUUGAGUGAGGCUGGAGAAUUUUAUAUGGUCCACCAGAAAAAAUUAGAUCUUGUUCAUAAACUUGUGGCUCUCUUUGAACUGUGGACAUUUUUUAAUGGAUGUGUUUGGAUAAUCUCACUUAUCUAAUUUCUCAUCUAGUUGUUAGGCCUCGCUUCGUAUUUCAAUGUAUCAAAGGCAUAAGAGAAACAUGGAGAUUUCUUAUUAUAUGGAAUUAUGAUGACACAAUUGCAUAUGAAGACAUAUAAUCAAUUCAACGGAAGAGUUCAACAUCAUAUAUUGCAUAGUGAGUGAAAAUUAUGGAAGUAUCUAUAUGGCACGGUCGCCCAAGGAAAAUCGUGGCAUUGGAGAAAUUUCACCAUCUUGAAGCAGGGAACCGUCUUUUGGCAAGAGCUUCUAAAAUGAAGUGAAAUUGAUGAAAGUAUGAUGGGUGCGUUUGGUUCAGUAUUUGGAAGGCUCAUUGGGAAAAUGCAAAACAGUUUAGCCUAAAAGACUUUGGAGGAAAUGCAAAAUUUGUUUGGUAAAUUCUACUUUGAAAAGUAAUUUUGAGAGAAAUGUUGUUCGGUAGAAAACACAUUUGCAAAGCCCAUUUGGUGAUUAAUCUAAAUAUUUUAAUUUUUAUUUGUUUAAAAUUAAAAAAAUAAUGUUUGUGACUUUUUUAAUUUAUAUUUAACAAUAAUGUUAAAGAUGUUGUGUAAACAAUUUUAUUAAAAUUAAAAUUUCUUUUUUUUCUAAAAAGCAUCAAAUGGAAAAAUUUUACAUGCUCUCUUUCUCAGUUACAAGAAGAAUACUUUCAUUACAAUAAAAACAUGAUAACAUAUGCUUUGAGGAAAGAAGCUCAUUAUCCUUAAAAAUUACAAACAUCCUUAAGUAUUUUCUAAAUUCAUAGCUAUUUGAUCACGUAAACAUGCCACAUCAAAUGCUACAUCAUCAUUUAAAGUAUUACCCUCCUCAUUUACAUCAUCAAAAUAUGUUGUAUAUAAAUUGGGAUUCAAAUCCACUCUAGCAAAAUGUGCAUCAUUCAUGGUAUUUCUUCGUAUAUAAUUGUGUAAAGUCAUCGUUGCUAUCACAAUUUUCACUUACUUUGUAUAUGGAUAACUUGGCAUACUCUUUUGAAUUUUUCACUUCUUCUUCAAUAUGCCAAAAGCUCGUUCAAUUUCUUAUUGUAGUGAGGAGUGAGCAUGGUUGGACUCUUCUUUAUAACCCGUCGGUUGAGGACCUCAUUGAAACUCAGGUAAAUGAUAUCUGACUUCUUUAUAUAACCCAAAAUAACCCGUGGGAUUUGGAUAUCCAACAUCAACUAAAUAGUAUUUACCUAUACAAAAAAGUUGUAAGUUUAAUCAACAUAUAACACAUACAUACAUUAAUUCGUAGAAACCAUUAAUUAAUGAACCUUUCGGAGGAUAAGGAAAUUGUAAAUCAUGUCUUCUAUUGGCUUCAUAAGAGAUACGAGUAUCAUGAGUCGUUUCCUCCCAACCGGUUCACAUAUAAGUAAAUUACAUGUUAAAAUUAUACACAGUCAUCACAUUUUGUGUUGGUGUUCCUUAUCGACCAAUAAAACAAAACUACUCACUCGUAGGUACCACUGCUGGAAUAUGAGUACCAUCUAUAACUCUAAUACGAUCCUAAAACAAGAACACAAAUAUUAUUUAAUUUAUAUUUAAUUCAUAUUUCCUAUUAUAUAAUCGUAACUUACCUUAAAAUGUGGAAAAAAUAUUGUAUUAUUCCUUAUCUUCUUUGAAACUUCCUUGAAUUGCCGAUUGGAUGGUUGGAUCAAAUCUACUCCAAUUUCACAUACUUUAUCCAAAAUUAAGCUAAAUAGCCUGUUUCCCUAGAAUGCUAAAAGCACUUUUGUGCUGACCUAUUACCUAUAUUAUGUCCUCAAAUAUGAAGAAAUAAUCCUAACAUUUCUGCAACAUCAAUAUUUCUAGAUUGUUGCAAACCAUAUCGUGUCAUUAAAUCAUUCAUUAAAUUCUUAAACAUAGUUCUAUCUAUUCUAAAUAUUCAAUAAAACCUUUCAAGAUUAGCAUACAUAUCCAUCAACUCUCCUAACCAUGUAUUUCUUGUAUAUGAUGAGGUCAUGUACGGUAUUUUUUACCUGAUAAACACCGUAGGUAUGUGCAGCUGCACAAAGUUGCCAAUAUUCUUCUUCCUCUUUUUCGAAGUUUUCCCUUUCAGGAGAAUUAUCCAUAACUGAUUAAAGUAACAAAAUAGAAUUAGAAUAAGAAAUAUAACAAAUUAUUUAAAUCAUUCAUCAACAAAAAACAUUUAUCAUAUAAUUUUAGACGUCCAUCCUUCUUUCAUUAGCUCAUUGUAUCAGCAAAUGAACUAUAUAAUUUUACUCGACAACACAAGCAGUAGAUCUAAGAGUGAUUCCAACAAAUUCAAUAUGUGGACUCGACAAAAACACAUCAGAUUCAAUCCAUUCCUUAAAGAGAUUCUUGCCCCAAUCCAGCAAUACUCAAAAUUGGAUUUGUGCUGCAAGAACACUGAACAUAGAUCUAAACCAAGGCAGAAAUGUAUCGAAGUGCAUAGCUCCUGGAUUCAUUCUUAAUGAAAGACAAAAGAACUUAGGGAAUGCCUAUAUAGCAAAAAACGAUCAACGUAAAUAUCAUAUUCAACAAGGAAAUCGACGCAAGUGAAUGUUAAUUAGCUAAUUUCAUAACGGGAAGGUCUCAGUUACGGACACAAGAGGCGAUUAAACAUUGUAAUGCAGCAAAUUUCCUUCGUUCAGCAUCCCCAGUGCAUGGGCACGAGUUCGUUCCCAACAUUCAGAGCGAUAGAGAGAGAAAGAUAGUGGGGAAGACGAGGCCAGUUCCGAUGAGGUGGACCGGGCUUAAUUCAAAUCUUUAUGGGUUUGACCGAAUUCGGCUUACUCGGUUUUAUUAGAAUUUGAUGGGCCUGGUGUGGCCUAGGCUGUUCCUAUGGAUCUAAUGGGCUGAGGCAAAAUGGACUAGGUGCUUAAUGAGCUUUGCUAGUGGUCUGGGCUACUCUCAUUGUCGGACCGGGCUGGAGUGAUGAGCUUUGAUGGUCCUGGUGCUUCAUCUUUUUAUUCACUUUUAAAAAAAAAAAAUCUUUUUAUCAUAAUUUAUCGCCAUCAUUGUUUUAUUUUAUUUUUACAAAAAAACGUAUGUUUGACUUUUUAGCUAUAAUUAAAGUGUCAAUGCUGCCAGAACGCAAAUGGGCCUUUCCCACAAUAUUAUAGAUAACCAAAUGAGACGGUACUAUUUUCACAAAUCCAAAUUCGAUGAGAAUGUCAAGUAUCAAAAUACAACAAACUUAGAACUCUCUUUUGUAAAUUGAAAGUUAUAGAAAAUAUACAUAGAUUUAGUCUUCCAGUAAUGUGAUAGACGUAAUUAAUUAAAGUGAAGAGGCUAUAUGAAAAUUAUUAGUAAGAUCCAGCAUAGGAUUUAGAGAUUCUUAAAAUGUGAUUACCUUGAUCUAGUAAAUUUAAUUUCUGCAAUAAUCACUCGUGCAGUUGUGGCUAUAUGUUAAGCAUACUUUUCAUGUAGUUAUACUAUUUUAACACUUGCGGGCUUGGGCCUAAAAGGAUGUUAAAUACCAAAUUGCACUCACAUGAUCAUUUCGCCGUCAUCAUCAUCCUUAUUCUUACUCUCUUUCAGCAUUUUGCUAGGCAAGAAUUGAAGGAAACAGCGACAGUCAAAACUUACAAAUUGAUUAAUAAGCACCCUAAAGGUAAUUCCUUCGAAAGACAAGUCGUGGUUGCGGUGUCACUUUUGAAAAAGAAAAGGAAAAAAAGAGACAAUUAUUGUCCUCUAGGAUUUGCAGGGGACAGUGGACUUUAUUAUUUAGACUUUUGUUACUUCGUGUCUGAAUAAAAGAACGGAUGGACAUGUAAGACAUGAAAAGAUAAAGAGGGUCCUAAUUUCACAAAAGUUCAUACAAUCCAACAUCUCAUGUCCAUGUGAAACGCACCACAUUUCUAGUUCCAAAUGAUUUGCGACUUUAAUGUUACUUUAGGGAAAAAGCAAAAGGAGGAGACAUUAUUGUCCACUAAGGACAAUUAGUAGACUGUGGAACUUAUUAUAGAUAAGUAAAAAAAAUUAGGGGUGAGAACAUGCAGAUUAGCAAGUAAAAACUAUGAUUUCCUUAACAAUUGACUCCAUGCUUAAAAAUAAGGAAGAUAGAUAAAAAGUACAAUUAUAUAAAAUCGAAUAUCGACAUUUUCUUUAUGUAACAAAUUUUAUUGAGAUGCAAAUGAACCUUUCUCUAAAUGUUUCGAAUAAUUAAGUGAGAUGGUAGCAUUUUUACCGACUCAAAUUCGAUCAAAUUGACAAGUGUCAAAGGAUUACAAAGUCAAAAUUCUCUUCCAUAAGAUAACCUCCCCUAUUGAAUGAACUCCUUGCGGAUCUGCAAAGUGCAUCAUCUAGAAAAGACUUGGUUUCGGUGAAAUUGGAGAAAAUAUCUAUAUAUUUAGUCUAUGGAUAACGUGGUAGGUAGAACAAAUUAUAGUGUAGAAGCUAUAUGAAAAUUUAUAUUUCAAUAAGAUCCAUAAGGAUCUAGAAGUUCUUGAAAUGUGAUUACUUUGGUUUAGUAUAAAUUACUCAUGCAAUUGUGCCCAUGCCGCAAGGCUAAAAUGAUGUAAAACACCAAAUUGCACUACUAUGGUCGUCGUCGUCGUCGUCGUCGUCAUUCUUACACUCUCCUUUCAGCGUUUUGCUGGACAAGUAUUGAAGGAAGCAGCAGCAAUCAAGACUUAAAAGAACUCCUGGAUCUUGAUACGUAUGGUCACCUCAAGACCAAAUCUCUUUCUGUAUUCUUCCAAUGAUAGUUAUAAAUAAUUUAACUCAAGCCUUUGUGGAUCUCACAAGUAACGUUACUUGAGUCGGCUCUCAGUUGGACCGUAAGUUAAGUCAUGUAAUGGACAUUGAAGAAUAAAUACACUGAGGCACAUUGAGUCUUAGCAAGAUUAUUAUCUAUGAUCCGGGAAUGGACUGGACAGCCAAUCCAAGAAAGUGGUGAAUAAUUGCCAUGAUGUUUAAGCUUGAAAAAGUGUGACUCUUAGUGGUUUGUGACAUUUCAAAUCUCACAUCAAAUAAAAAAGAACUAAAGAUGUAAGUUGAAAUCCACCCCCAAAAAUACCACCUAAAAUCUUUUCUAGGGAGCUUCACCCGCAUUGAACGCUCCAAGUAAUUUUAUGUUUUCAUUCAGAUUGAACAAAUUUGUAUCGCCUUGUAAUAUUUGACGAAGCAUAAUUAUGAUAAGAAAAUCCUAUAGCUCAUGCUACUCUAGCGCAUUAGAAAGUUAAUUCUAAACCCAAUUGACCUACAUGCCUCAUAACCUUGAGAUCGUUGAGCAGUUCAAUACCUAUUCCAUGCUAAUGGUCUGAGCAAGGAAUGAUAGGAGAUGUCAUUUUAAUUAGAAAUGCAAAAUCAUAGUCCCAAAGUUAAGAACAAGAAAAAAAAACGUCACGUCAAAAUAAAACGAAGUUAAGAACAUGAAAAACGUCGCGCCAAAAUGAAACUAGAAUUUCUCAAUUGCAUCCUUUGGGCUCCUAUAAAGUAACUCGCGUCAUUGUUUGCUAAUGAGUAGCGAAUGCCUCAACUUAGUUUGCAAUUAUCAUAUGUUCCACUUCCAGGCUAGGCUGUUUCUAGUGUGCUUUUUUGUCCAAGUAGAGUGGGCACUUCAACCACAGUAUGCAAGGCCGUGCAUAUGUUUGUCAAUUAGAUCCAGAGAUAAUUAAUCAUGAGUUUUUUUUAUAGCUGUGAAAAUCUUCAUAAUGUUUUUGUAAUUCAUUUGUGAGAUUUAUUUAUUGUUUCACUAGAAAUUGUAUAGACUAAAUACUAUGUAGGUUAUGGAUUGAGGGUCGUGAAAACUUGGGAGUGCUUUAGUGACUUGGGCGUGGUUAUAACAUCUGUUGUAUUACUUGACUAAUAGUAGGUCGUUCUCCCCUUGGACUAGAUCAUAUCAACCAAGCCACAUGUAUUCGGCAUCUAAUUGACUUUUUCUAUUUUCUGGUUUAUUGUUGCUAUUCCUUCUUUCUUUUACAACAAAACUCAAGAUAAAUGUAAUGACAUGUCUAUUUUUAGUUUGAUUUAUAUUUAUUUUCUUGUAUUGGCUUUUUUUUUUGGUCCAUCUAGUAUUAACAUAUUUAAAUAUUUUGUAAAUGAUCUGUUCUACAAUAAGGGAACAAAUUCUAAGAAAUAAAAUGUACAUGUUGAGGUGCAAAUUUCAGUCGAUCUUGCACAACCGUAUGGCUCAAUUUCUAGUUGUUUCGAAACCGAUGGCAAUAAUUAGGUCCAUCUUUAUAUAUAUAAAUAUAGAUGUUCAUUUUACUUAAUCAUGUAAUAUCCAUUUGAAAAAAAGGUAAUCCUACAUGUUCCGGGAAAAAUUAGUACAAUAAAACUUUUAUUAAUUGAUUUGUAAGCACUCUAAAGGUAAUUCCUUUAAAAGGCAGUCAUAAUUGUUUUGAUUGAAAAAAAUCGUGGUAUUCCCCAACUAUUUUGUGCCUUAUGUAUUCCUACAAUGCUGAAUUAGUAAUAAAAUAUCAUUAAUUUUGAAAGAAAAAAAAAAGAGAAAGUAUAGUGGUGUCACUUUUCGAAAAAUCAAAAGGAAAAUGAGAUAUCAUUGUAAUUGAGGGUGGAUCUUAUUUCGGAGACUUUUGCUGCUCCUUGUCCGAAUAAAACAAAGGAUGGACAUCCAUUAUUGAUAGUGGUGUCACCUUUUGGAAAAAGCAAAAGGAAAAGGAGGCAUCAAAGGCAUUAUUGUCCUUGCUGGAGGGUGGACCUCAUUUCGGAGACUUUUGCCACUUAUUGUCUGACAAAAGCAAAGGAUGGACGUGCAAGUUGUGAAAAGACCAAGAUCGUCCUAGUGUGAAACACAUCACGUUUGUCAUGCAAAUGACUCGAUAUAACAAUGUUACUUUGGAAGAAAAAGCAAAAGAAGCAGUAGACAUUAUUGUCCCUGUAGUGAACUGCGGACAUUUAAAACAAAGAAUUGAUAUAUGAGACGCGUAAAGACCACUAUUCUUACGCAAAAAAUUGUCAAGAAAAUCGACCACAUUGACUUGGCAUUUACUUGAAACUUUACAGGCGAGUCUGAGAAGAUUCUCAAGAUCAAUUUCAGACUGCAAAAUUCAGAUCCAAACAUUGCGGGUUUCAUUCUAAUUCUUCUUCUAUAUCUGGGUUGGUUAGUGCUAUUUCGAUUUCAAAUCCAAAUUCGAGCCAACUCGAAUCAAGAGUUUCUUGCUUUAUCUAAUUAUUCUUUGUUUGUUUUUUUUUUCAAGUUUUAACUCAAUGAAGUAUAAAAUACCGAUAUUUUCUUGGAAAUUAUCUCUCAGGUGAGUCUCUAAAUCCUUGGUAUCCAAUUACAAUUCAAUGGAAAAUUGGGUCGCCAUCGCACUGUUGGCAAGUUUUUGUCACCACUUACUGAAAACCGUAGGGGUAAGUAUACUAUUAGUGCCAAAACUUGUGUAUAGCGCUCACUUUGAUGCCAAAAGUUUAUUUUGGAUCACUUAAGUGCUAAAUUAGAGGAAAAACGAUCACUCUGAUGCCAUCGGCGAGAGAUUCCGACCAAAAUAAUUACGUGGCUUUUAUAUUUUAAAAAAAAAUAGAUGAGGCAAAAAUUGAAGAAGAUUGUCCACGUGAAAUGGCAUAAAACGACACCGUUUCCCUUUCUUCAUAAGAAACAACAUCGUUUUAUGCCAUUCCACAUGGACUCACUUACAAAACGACGCCGCAUUACUCUGUGGCCAAAACGGCGUCACUAAAGAGUGAGUAAAUUAGGGUCCGUACCAUACAAAUUACUAUUCUCGCUCGAGGCCGGCCAUAGCUCGCUCACCCACCAUCGUUCACUUGCCCGCCGUCGCUCGGCCACCGCCGUAGUUGCGCUGUCGUUCACAGUGAUUCGCUGGCUAUGUCCCCAACCGUCACUCACUUAGGUUUGUCAUGUUCUCUACGUGGGUCAAUUUAGUGAAAAAUUUAGGGUUCCGACAGGCAAGUUAGGGCGCAGAGGGCAAAUUGAGAGGUCGGCAUAGGGGGAAAGUGGUGGGGAUCUCACUUUCAUGGGGACUGAAUUGAAAAAAUUAGGGUUCCUUCGUUCGCUUUCUUUUGUAGGGACCGAUUAGAAAAAUAGGGCAUGGAGGGGAAAAUGGGAGCUCGACUCGAAGGGAAACAAUGGUGUGACCUUACUUUGUUUAAUUAGUUGGACUGCUUUUGUGGGGGACCAAAUGUGAUUGAAUUGAAAAAUGGGCGGUGAGGACCUCACUUUGUUUAUUCAAUUCGGCUUCCUUUGUUUCUGUAAAAGGACCGAAUUGAAUAAAUUGGUUGCAUUUGUUUCUUUUGACAAAACGACAAGGACCUGCAUAUAAAGUUGCUAAUUAUGUCAUGUGGUCCCAAAAACUAAUGACUUUUUUUUUCCUUGGGUGCAGCAUCGACAUGGACAAGAAUCAGGUAGGCAUCAUUGUUUGCUAUGGUGGAGAGUUUGUUAUUGGCGUCGAUGACUAGGAAUAUACUGGUGGAAAUGAAGGUACUAUUUAUGUCAAUAUUCGAAAGCCAUCAUAUAUAGAUUUUGUGAUGGAUUUGGUAUAUUUUUUACGAUAUAAAGUGCAAAAACUACAUUACUGUGUUCCUGGGUCCUGGGAAGGAAUUGAAGGAUGGCUUGAGAAUUUUAAUGACGAUAAUGGUAUUAAGGAUAUCAUUUACCAUUAUCUUUACGGCAACGAAGCUGGGGUAUAUGUUCAGUAUUAUAGUGAUGAUGAGGAUGGUGAGAAUGAGGAUGAGGAUGAAGAUGAGGAUGGGGAUGAGCAUACCACCACCAAAAGAGGGGAAGUGAGGGAUCCUACUCAAGCGAGUAAUCAAAUCAGGGAUGAGUUUAAGUUAGAUGAAGGACAAAAUGAGAGGGAGAGAAGUCAUAGUGAUAGAGAUGAACAAACAGGGAGAUGUCCUAAAAUACUGGGUGAAGAUAUGGGCAAUGAAGACUUCAUCGGAUUAGAAUGGGAAGUUGCUCUAUCCAAUGAAUCAGAAGACGAAUAUUUGGCUUUAGUAAAUUUCCCAAGUGACAAAGAUGAUGAUAAACUCACACAGUCAAGACAAAAGCAAAGGGAAUUUCUCAAAAAAAAAUUUGCAACUUCAGGAAAGAGGCCCAAGUCAGUAAAUAGGGAUGCAGCUCCAGCUAAAGGUAAUAAAAGUGAAGAUGAAGAAAGCUGCAGCGAUGAAAUGCUGCUUCAGAGAAAGAGCUUGGCAAUGAUGAUGAAGAACCUACUUGUGGAAGAAAAAGUAAGUACCAUUGCUAUGAUUCAACUGUUGAUAAGCUUGUUUUGUCUGUGGGCAUGAGAUUUGACGAUGCAAAACAGUUAAAGGAAGCUAUUGUGAAGAAUUCCAUUGCUGAACAGAGGAGCGUUGAAUUCAUUAGAAACACGAAGGAAUUUGUGAGAGCUAAGUGCUCACAACCCAAUUGUUCAUGGAAGCUCUAUGGUGCACUCAGUAGGAAGGGGUCAUUCCAAAUUAGGUCCUUCCAGGAGAAGCAUACUUGUUCAAUUAUAUUUAACAAUAAAGAGUCACAAGUGUGUGGUUAUUGAAACAUUUUUUUCAAUACUAUCAAAGCAAUGCCCGAAAUCAAGAGUCAUCGGUUUCAACUAUUAGUGAAUGAGCAAUUACGGCUUAAUGUGUCAAGGAAUCAAUGCCAGAGAGCUAAGCUGAGUGUGAUGAAACUAUUGAUGGGUGGGUAUAAGGAAGAAUAUGCGCAGGUAUAGGAUUAUGCUGGCGAAUGCAUACUUCAAAACCCAUCCAAUAGGGUAUAUGUAGAUGUUGUGGAGAGGCCAUUCCUUGAUCUUAGGCCUAGAUUUGAUAAAUUUUAUGUCUGUUUUAAUGCAUGCAAACAGGGCUUCUUGGUUGGUUGUAAAAGAGUUAUAGGAUUGGAUGGAUGCUUUCUAAAGGAUUUAUGUAAGGGGGAGUUGUUGGCUACUGUGGGGAGAGAUGCCAAUAAUCAAAUGUUUCCGAUAGCUUGGGUGAUGGUGAAGAUAGAAAACAAGGAUACUUGGUCUUGGUUCCUAAAAAAUUUAAUGGUUGACCUUGAGAUAACCAAUGGAGGAGGAUGGGCAUUCAUGAGCAACAAAUAGAAAGUAAUACAAUUGUCAAUUAAUUCAUUCCCUUUUAAUAUUAAUCACUUGCACAUUUUUCCUAACUUGUAUUUAUUGGUUUGAAUUUUUAUAGGGACUUAUUCCUGCAUUAACUUAAUUGAUACCACAUCCUGAGCAUAAAAUGUGCGUGAGACACAUAUGCGCAAACUGGUCAAGGAACUUCAAACGAGAUAAGUUGCAGAAUCAGUUCUAGCAGAUAACGAAGAGUACCAACAUGGUUGAUUUCAUAUUAGCCAAACAGGGAUUGUUGCAGCUGAUAAAGAAAUGUUUUGAUGUACUCUUCUAGACAGAAGCUAAGCACUAGUGUCGGGCCUUCUUUUGCGAAGAGUUCAAAUGCGAUAUCAUUGAUAACAAUCUCAAUGAAACUUUUAAUGGUAGAAUUUUAGAGGCCAUGUGCAAACCAAUCAUCAGCAUGCUUGAUGAUAUUCGAGUUAUGGUCAUAACUAGACUGCAUAGGCAAAAAGAUGAGGCUACAAAAUGGACUAGAGAUUGUGGUCCUAGGAUUGUGAAGAAAUUUGAUGCAAACAUUGCUGCUAGUAUGUUCUACCAUCCAGUUUGGAAUGGAGAUAAUGGAUAUGAGAUCAUUCAAAAUUAUGAUAAGUAUGUUGUCAACCUAGAGAGAAGAAAGUGUUCAUGUAGAGCUUGGCAACUGAAUAGAAUUCCCUGUGCCCAUGCCAUUUGUGCUAUUUAGAUGAAGCAAGAAAACCCAGAUGAUUACCUAGAUAAUUGGUACAAAAAAAAGCUCACACCUUGCUUUGUACCAAUUCAUGAUGCAGCUUAUCAGAAGCAGCAAAAUUUGGGAGCCAACAAAUCAUGAAAACCCUCUACCAUUACCACUGAAGAAGCAAAUAGGAAGGCCAAAAAGGAGAUGAAGAAUGUAGCAGGAAGAGGCAUCAAGUCAGAGGAUGUGUAAGACUGGAGUAAAGAUGACAUGCUCCUAUUGCCACAAGGAAUGGCACAAUAAGAAAGGUUGUGAGCUGAAAAAGCAGCAUCAACAGCAAAAUGUAAUGGAUGAUUUAGUGCCAAGAACAAGACAUACUAAAGAGCUUCUUGUUGGGCCUACUGAAGGGAGGACAGAAGGCCCUUAUGUAUUACCUACUGAAGGACGGACAGAAAGCCCUGUUGUAAGGUAAGUAUCCUCUUUUCCUCUGUAACUUUUCGGUUCAAAUUCGAUAGAAUUUGAUGAUUGACCAUGUGUACUGUCUUCUCUUGUGCUUUUCCUCUAUCAUGCAUUCGUAAUUUGAGAAAUUUUCUCCGUUUGUUUCCACCAUGAAAAUGAGUAGAUGUCUAAUAAUUUAUUAUAGUUCGUCAUAAUCUUGAUACAAUAUAUUGUUGUAAAGCCUACUAAAUGGCCAAAAAAAGGCCAUGUUGUAGGCUCAAAUGCAGGGACAUAGAUUGGAAUGGACAUGACAGCAACAACAACAACUGAGUCCACUGUUGAGCAAACGAGAAAAAAAUAUCCUGUAAGUUGUACAUUGCUGUGUUUGUAUUUUAUGGGCUGAAAUUUAAAUUUGCUAUUCCUUUCUUAGGUGAGAAGACGAGCAACUACACGAGUUGCACAGGCUGCUCCCUCAUUCAUUGCUACUGUUGAAAAUGAUGCAUCACGGCGAACAAGAGGGGCUCUUGGAAAAAGAUUAAGGCAAUAUGUUUAUGGAAUUUACACAGAUGAACGUACUGGAAUAACUAUUUUGAAUGUAAGAUUUGUAUGCCUCAUGCAUUUAAUUUGUUGUACUUCAAUUCAUUUCAUUUGGUUGAUAAUAUGGCUAUAUUUUUGUAGCCCGGGAGAACUUCGGAAGUACUUAUCUCUCAAGGUGGGCCAACUCAAGAAUCAAAGGCCAAAGAAGAGUGCUCCAAAGAAGAAGACAGUAGGUAUAGCUGCAAAACAGCAAUUCAAAAAGAACCCAACACCAAUUCCAUCUUAACCAAUUGAUCAAGGGAGCAAUAGUGAUUAUAUGGACCAACACAUAACACAUGCUAGAAUAAAAAUAGCCGCUGUCAAGAAAAAGGAAAAGGAGGUGACAGAAAGGCUAGUUAAAGAACUUGCACAUCCAGUUCGAAAGAGUGCUCGGAUUAUGAAUCAAUUCAAAGCUCCAAGAGGAAAAGGAGAUUGGGGUGUUGUGCAUAUUGACUGAUGGGAGGGUGCUAAACAUGGUCUCUUUUUAUGUGGUGCUGAUCUCUUUUUAUAUUUUCUUUUUUUAGGAGGGUGCUGGAUAUUGUAUCUUUAUUGAUGGUAGUUGCUGCCAUUGUUUUUUAAGGAGGGUGCAUAUUGCCAUUGUUUUUUUAAAAGAGUGCUGAACCUUCAGUGAUUGGGGAGUGAAGUCUAUCACGCCCCAAUCCUCGAACGCGUGUCCAUCCCUCAGUGGUUGAAUAAAUUACAACAUUCCAAGACGCGUCGCCGACCCAUUCAUUUUAAUGCGCAUGCAGAAGCGUAUAAAUAAAUCCCCAGACAACGCAAAGAUGUGAUAGAAAAGUAGGACCUUAUUUUCAAAACCACAACACACCUUUACACACAGCUGACUAAGUCAUUUACAAAACUAGUAUAUAUUCACAAGUCUACAAAGGAUUGGUCUUCAAAACAAAGCCGUCCUAUGACCUGCUAGUCGGACUCAUUCGCUGAUUCUCUAAUCUCCACAGGCGCUAGGCGCGUCAAGUCCUCCACCACACUAUCAGGAGGGUCAACUGGAUCCUCGUCUAAAGUAGCAUCAACUACCGCAAUUGGGAUAUCAAAAGUCCUAACGGGACCCACCCUGAAACCAUUGGGUCCAUAGCGAAACCACGCUCUAAAUCGAUGAGGUAUUUUAUGAGGUGGAUUCUCUUCGACCUAGACAAUAGUCAUUACAAGUUCGUAAACCCAGUGACUUCCGGGAUCGGGAUAGCUAGAAACUCGCUCAGUAACCCUCAUGGGACGGCCAAAACGCUUAGGAGGAUUCGCCAUCUAAGGGUCUGAAAAAGUUGAGCCCACGACAGAGUGAGACGAUGUCUCGGCAAGUUCACCCCCUAAACUCCGACUAGAAAGGAAAUACACCUAAAGGUUGUCUAUGCACACACAAGAUAGAGGACUUAUCUCGCCUUAGUUCCUUCCUGCAAGUCAGUACAGUUCAUGAUCUCAACCAAUAACUCAAAUUAAAUCAAACCAUCGAUCAAUCAGUCAAUUAGCUCAAUUCGAUACCAACAGUAUUAUCUAUCAAAUCAAUACCAUAUAUCAAUCCUCUGAUACCACCACUACUCACACAAGUUGCAAUAUAUGGUCAUAGCUCGCUCAAGCCGAUAUAAAUGAUAGAUAGCUCGCUCAAGCUGAUAAAUAUAUAGAUCGUGCUCGCACAAGCUAAUAAAACAAUCUUAGCUCACACAAGCUGAUAAGGUAUACUACUCUUACAAGCUGGCGUAUCAAAGCACUUAGGCUAAUACAGUAUACUGCUCUCAUAAGCUGACAUGCAAAGGGUCCCAAAAGCUGACAAUAAAUAUGCUCUCACAAGUUGACAUGCAAAUAUGCUCUCAUAAGCUGAUAAUUCAUCGUGUUAAAAAUACGUGAUAAAAAUAAUCGUGUGUGAGUACACGAUCGGCCUGAGCCAAAAUUGCAAUAUCUUUCUUUUCAAAAAUCUCACUAUUUAAUAUAGUCCAUAAACACAUUUUUGGCGUUGUAAACUGACACCUAGUAUUUUCUAAUUAAAUACCAAAAUUACUCAAUUUGGGAUAAAUACACAAAAUUACAAUUCCCACUCAAUUUGUACAAAUCAACACUCAAUUAAAUAAACCAAGCAUACUAUUGCAAUCAGCACGAAAUUCCGAUCAUCAGUUAUCUCGGUAUAAUUUUCAGAAAAUAAUAAAUAAUUAAAAAAAUACCAAAACUAAUUAAAUAAAUGCAUUUAAAUGCCAUAAAUAGAAACUUAGGCCGAAACAGCCUAAUUAAAUACCGAAACGUGCCCGGAAAAAGUUUGAACCAAUCUAGAUAAAUAAUACAACUUAUCUAGUUGCUAAUUAAGCUUAUCUAACCACCUAACAUGUAAUAACAAGUAAUUAAAUCGCUAAUCCGUUCGAACUAACCACCUAAAUCAUACUUAGCCUAAACUAAUCAACCAUUAAGCAUAAUUAACUCUCUAAGCAGAGUUUAGCGAGUAAACUCACCGGUUUAGCGAUCCGGUGAGUUCACGACGAUGGCAAUGCAGGGAUGGGUGACAAACUCCGAAGGGGUGACACCCUACAAUUCCCGAAAGAGCUUGGAAAUGGGCCACAAAGACCUAGGGCCCUUGCUAGUUCGAUUCCUGCUUUAGGCCGAAGGAGAUGGAACCAACGACUGAAAUGGUGAGGGAAGGGACACGGCUGAACGGCGAGGCUGCUACGGGACUAGGCGAAGGCAUACGAUGGCUCAAGCAACCACGACGGCGACCACGACGGCGAGUAGGGUGCAGAUGUGAGCAGGGGACUCACAGACUUUGGCACGCGAGCGAGCAGCACUGGCGGGCGAGCGGCGGCUUGGCGGUGGUCGAACGGGCAUGCGACGGGCAGGGGGGCUUGGCCUGGCCUCUUUUGGUUUUUUGGGAGCUCCACAAGGUCUAACAAUGGAGAAAGCAAGUCUUGCUAAAGAAGAAAGGCCAGCUGCAAGAGUGGAGGGAUCCCUUGGCCCCAAAGUCUCCAUUCCUAUCUCAUUUGUCCCCUUGGCAAGGCCCCACUUGUUUCAGCUCAAUCCUCAGCUAAUUUUGUGCACACAAAUCCCCCUAUAACAAGUCCCAAGUGGUCCAAAAAGUGAGGGGGACCAUGGCCUACGAAUUUGCACCCAAUUUCCCAAAUUGAGCCAAGUUCCUUUCCAAUUGAACCCAAAUUGGAGUCAACAAUUCCCACCAAAAUGUCCACACUUCAAUUCACAUUUUUUUUACACCAAUGAAACCAACUUGCAUCCCAAAAACGUGAUAAAAAAUGGUCCCCUGAAUUUUCCGGAAAAAACGGCCCUAUUUUGAAUUUUCGCCUAAAAUUUCGGUUUGCAGAAAAAUCUUUAGAGGAUGAGUUGACAUUCCUAAAAUUGAAUCAAGACAUGUCAGAACUUUCAACUUCUAAAAUCGGAUUCAAAUUCGUGGUUAAUUUCAACCUGGCGCGAUUUUAGCGUGGCCUAACCUACCAGAUAACUUUUAGGAAUUUUUAGUACAAUUGACCGGUCAAUUAUUUUCAAGCCACAAUGUACAUCUUCGACACAUUGGCAACUCUUUCAAAUACGAGCACAGGAUACCAAAACGACAGAAAAAUCAGUCUAGUGCCGGUCGACAGAAAUUUUGUAACCAGGUGACUAAUCACAUACCUCUAUCGAAUCGACCUAUCUCCGGUCUCUUAUCUAUUUUGAUAGUGCUGUAAUGAACCUUGCAGACUAGGACGGUCGAGCAGUCAAUUCCUAGUCGAAUUCUCAAGUCUAUUGCGUUAAAAUCCUUUAACGGCUUCACCUGAUAAGCUAGUUAUCUCGUGAGUAGCCAACUCAAAGAAAAGAACUAUAGGCGCGUCAAUGAAAAGCCCAACUUAUUCAAUCGAAGACAGAACCUAAAAAUCAAGAUGUCACAAAGUCAAACAUGUUUUGAACUUUAAAAAGAAUCAAUCAAUGUCAAUGGCAAUAGCUGUUUUUGUUAUUUUCUCUUGUGUUGGUUUCGGCUAGUAAUGCUGGCAAGACAGUUAUCAGUUAUACUAUAUAAUUUUAUUUUUUUUGGUGCAAUGUUCUUAUAAGGCUGAUAUUGUUUUUAAAAGUAAUGUGUGCAUAUAUUGUUGCUAGUUGAAAUUGUGGAUGCUAAUGAAUUUUUGGGUUCUGGUUGGUUGUAUGUGCUGGUGCAAGGACAAAAUACACCGGCUCACCUUGGUGUAGUUGUGGGAGCUACAUCUUCUUGCAUGAGCAAUUUUGGGUGCUGGUGCAUCUUAUUACAUCAACACUUGUAUGGGCUGGUGCAAGAACAAGAUACAUCAGCAACCCAACUAGUGCAAGAACAAGAUACACUAGCAACCCAACUGGUGCAACAAGAUGCAAGAUGCAUGACGACUGGUGUAAGUCAAGUGAUGUUUGAAAUUAACAUGUUCUUUUUUAAAAAACUUGUUCAACACAAGUGAUCACUUUGUAAUCACGACUAGCACUUAAAUGAUCACUUUUAUAAAAACUUGGCACUCAAGUGAUCACUAUUUACAACUUAUGGCACUGAAAUAGUCAAUCAUGAAUUUGCCACCAUCCCUUAAUUUCGCCAUGGCUUGCAAUAAUAAGUUGCAGCAAACCAGCAAACUAUUACCAAAUAAAAAAAUGCAGCAAAUCAUUAUAUCUGAAGCAAAAACUAACCAAAACAAAUAUUGACAAUACACAACUAAGCAAGAAAACUUUUAAGUGCUCACAACUAAUGCAUUCCAACUCCAACCUUCCAUUUCAACCAUAGAUUACAACAAAACCUUCCGCUUCAUACAAAAAUUGCAGCAAACCAAAAACAUACUUAUAAAUAAUCCAAUAUAAAUGCAUAUUCCACGUCUUCGACUAUGCUAGACAUACAAACUUCUUCUCAUUACUCACUUCACAUUUGAAUAGACUAUACAAGAGAAUAACAACACAAUAAUGCUCGAUAAAAAAGUUUCUUUCAAUUUUCAACCUUGAAACCUCCCUCUUCAAAUGGUCCACCAGAAAUGUUAAACCCUUUAUUUGAGCUUGCAUUGAGUCGACAACCUCCAACUCAUCCAUUAAUGUAGGUGGAGGUUGAUGUUGGCCUUCAAGUAACUCCAAGAUCACCUAUGUCACUUGAUCAAAGAAUUUCUUAUUAACCCAUUUGAAAUAUUUGCAUUUUGAGUCUUCUCUAUAUCUGCCGCACCCAUGGAAUCUUCUCUUAGGAUUCAAUUGAGUUUAAGAUGUUCUUCUUGGACUCGGUGACCCACAAUAACAGUAAUACUCACCAUCUAAUUCGCUUUUUCUAUAGGAAUGUGAGCCGCUGCUGAAGCUUCCGCCUCCAUUUGCAAGAGCGAGCUAAUAAUUUUGAAAGAAAAUCAAAGUAUGCACUCAAAUUGGGGAUUUAGGGUUUUGAACUUCCGAUUCUCUCUCAAUUUGGGGAUUUAUGAUUCUUACUUGGGGGGAAACGACGCUAAAUGGCAUCAUUUUGUUGUUUGUUGGCUGAUUGUACUCUCUGGCAAUCCACGUCGGCUUAAAAAAUUAAUAAAAAAACUACUACGUCGGAUUUCCGGCCAACCAGAUCGGCGUUAGCACUGAAAUGAUCGUUUUUCAAAAGUUUUGGCACUUAAGUGAUCCAAAAUAAACUUUUGGCACCAAAGUGAGCGCCGUACACAAGUUUUGGCACUAAUAGUAUACUUACCCCAAAAACCAUAUGUUACUAAUGAUGUGAUCACUACAUAAUUAAUAUAGUCGAGACUAUGAAUAAUGUAUAUAGUAUUUAGCUUCUUAAAAGCUCGAUCAUCAUUUAUAAAGGUUGUCAUCAAGCUAUGAAGUUCAUCAUCUUAAUGCAAAACAUCAUCUAAAUGCAUAUACUCUUUAACAGACUUUUUACCAAACUUCUACCAUACUUUUGUUAAACACGAAAUUUUAGAAUGUUCUCAAAUAUAUAAAAUAUACGAUUGAGAACUUAAAAAUCAUAUUAAUUUUAUUAGAAAAGUUGAUAAGAAAUAUUUUGUUUUAUUAUAAGAUAUCGAAACCCAAGGGCCCGAAUUAAAAGUUGGUAGAUGCUUUAUGAUGGCAAGAGUCGAGGCCCUAGUUAAUAAGUUAGUGACUUGGGAUGCACAUCAUAUAUAAAAAUAAACAUAAGAAUAUUAUAAAGAGAAAUUUCCAAGGUUAUGAACCGAUGAAAUUCAUCAAAAUGUGAUUUUCUAAUAAGUAACGACCGGCAGUUACAGCCCAAUAUCAUGUUUUGGAAAUGUUCAGCCAUAGAAAGUGUCUGGCCUUGUCCUUUUCCUAUCAACUUUUAGUUUUCACAUUGACAUGAACGCUCAAAAAGAAAAAAUUGCCAUGUACAGAAGCCACAUCCCCAAUUCACCUGGUAUAAAAAAAUUGAUAAGUAUCGAAAAUAUGUCUCGAAUUUGAGUCCAUUGAAUGAAAUUGGACUGAUGAGAAUAUGUGACUUCGAUCACAAAUGGCACGUGUUCUGAGCAGCCGAAAGAAUAAUCCAGCUUUAGAAAUUCUUCUCAUGGCUGAACGUGCAGCAUUAAAUGAAGAACUUCUUUUCUUCAUUUCUUCAUUCCCUUUUUUAUUUUUUUGACGCGUCUUCAUUUCUUCAUUCGUUUAUUGAUCUUCUUGACUUUUUGCUCCAUCUACGUUGCUUUCUCUCCUUCCCUUCUUUUGUCUUUGUUAAAAAUUGAAGAAAGAGAAAGGAAGGGCCCAUGUGCAAGAACGUCAGUCUUCCUCCACUCAUUAAUGCAAGCACAUUUCCUUUGUCUUUUCUUUCAUCUGAAAUGGGCUUCCUCGUGUUGCAGUAAAUGAUAGAGAUUCUCUUUUGUAUUAUAAAAGAGAGAGAGACGUCCAACAGAGAAGGAGCGCGCCAAUUUCCUUUGAUGGCCGAAAGAGUGCCAAAGUCCAUAAAAUGAUUUCUUUCACUUCUGAAUCCCAAACAAUCUGAUUAGGAGUUAGUACACAAAGAUUUAAGGUCAUUUCUUCAAUUUACACUCUAUUUCUAAUCGCUCCAUCCCAGCAGGGUCAAGGAACCCGUCGCUGUCUCGGCUGUGCUAUCGGAGGCUCCAGAGAAGUCAAAAUAGGAAAGCACUCAUCUGGGGAAGUAUCUAAUGAAUUAUAAAUUCAAUACAUUCUGUUUAGCAGAAAAUGAAUAUUCCUUACUCUAAUGAAUUAUGAGUUCAUUUUCUCAAACUGCAGAAUCCUAGAUUAAUAUUUGGAGAUUAUUUGAAAGAUAAUAGCAGCUCAUUUUGUCACGAGUGCUCCAGUCUUUGGCUCAAAAUAGCUUGUCUUCUCGAUGUGUAGCGAUGAAAGAUUAAAGAAAAAUUUGUCAAGUUCACAUUGCCAACUUUCAUAAAAUAAUUUUUGGAACAUUUCCUUAUUAAAAUGAUGGACUCUCAAAUGAAUAAUGCAUUUGGAAAAUGGAACGAGCACUGGACAUGACUUCGUCACACGGGGAAUUGUCAUUGGUUCGUCUCAUGCAAGUGGUUAGGACCAGCUGGUGUCAACUCCAUAACUUGAACUUAGUCCAUAACAUUUGACCAAAAGGACGAAAAAAAAAAACUGAAAACGAAAAGACCCAUCUUGCUUCUCCUUAUAUGUCCCCAACCCAUCAAAUUCAAUCAUCAAGAAAAUUACAUGUGUGCGAACAGAGUUGAAGGAAGAACCAUGGUCAUCCGUGAGCUUCUCUUGAAAGUUGUGGUGCUUGGGGCUUUAUUCGGUCUACACCACAAUCACAUAGCAGAAGCUGAUGAUUUAGUGACGAAGCCUGGAUACCGAAGUUCCUGCGGACAACUUAUGAUUCCGUAUCCCUUUGGAUCGAGCGACAGUAGUUCCGACUGCCACAUCGAUCACCCAUCUUUUACUGUCUAUUGUGACGACUCUACCGACCCUCCUGUGCCUUACCUCCAUAAAAAAAGUUCUAACUUGAAAAUACGAGACAUUUCUGUGGAAGGCCACAAAAUGCGAUUAACUGUUUGGACCGGUCAAAAUUGCUAUAACUCGUCUGGGUAUGAUGAGUCUUAUAGCAAUUAUGUAUCGGUCAUCAUAUCUGAAUUCCCUUUAUCCAGCACCAAGAACAAGUUCACUGCCGUUGGUUGCGACACCUUAGCCGCCUUCCGAGACCGCCUUGGGAAGUUCUCUUUCGGGUGUAUGUCUUGGUGUAGCAGCGAUUCGGAUGUCAGUGAUGGGUCGAGUACUGGUAUUGGUUGCUGUGAGACAAGCAUCCCAAGGAACACCUUCAGCUACAUCAUCUCGUUCGAGAGCUUUUCCAAUCAUUCCAACAUCCUGGAUUUCAAUCCUUGCAGCUAUGCCUUCGUCGCAGAAACCGGAUCCUAUAACUUCUCGGUUGGUGACCUUAAGCAGCUUAAAUUUAAAGAUCCCCCUCUAGUUCUCAAUUGGGCGAUAGGGAAUCAAACGUGUGAGGAGGCCAAGAAGAACAGCACAAGCUACAUGUGCACCAAGAACACCAAUUGUACUGAUGCCGAAAAUGGAUUUGGGUACAAGUGCACUUGUUUGGAAGGUUACCGAGGCAAUCCUUACGUCGAGGAUGGUUGUCAUGGUAGGUUCAUAAUAUCGUCAUUCUCUAUCUUGUCCUUUGCAUUAAUAAGAUUUGAGAAGAUAGAUACAUUUGAUGUGUGUUUAAUUUAUGUAGAUAUUGACGAAUGUGCAGAUCCAACGUUAAACCAAUGUGAGGGAAAGUGCCAUAAUAUUGAGGGUAGUUAUACAUGUUCAUGCUCAAAGGGUCAUCGGGUGUGUUUGGUUCAGCAUUUUGAAACUUAUUGGGAAAAUGCAAAGUAGUUUAGCCUAAAGGAAUUUAGGUACAUGCAAAGGUCAUUUGGUAAACCAUACUUUGAGAAGCAAUUUUGAGAGAAGUGUUGUUUGGUAGAAAACACAUUUGAAAAAACCCUUUGGAUAAUUAAUAUUAGUUUUUUUUUAAUUUCAUUUGUUUAAAAUCGAAAAAAAUAAUGUAUGCAACUUUUUAAACAUAAAUUUUGACAAUAAUACUAAAACAAUCAAAUACAUAUAUAUAUUUUUAAAAAAAGACCAAACCCUUUAUCGGAAUUUUUUAAUUUUUAUUUGCUUAAAAUUGAAAAAAAAAUAAUGUAUGCAACUUUUUAUAUAUAAAUUUUGAAAAUAAUGCUAAAAAAAAUCAAAUACAUAUAGAUAAAUUUUUUUUUAAAAGACCAAAUCCUUCGUCAAAAUUUUUUAAUUUUUAUUUGUUUAAAUUUGAAAAAAUAAAGUAUGCAACUUUUAAAAUAUAAAUUUCAAAAUAAUGCUAAAAAAAUCAAAUACUUUAUAUAAUUUUUUUUAAAAGGCCAAACCCUUCAUUGGAAUUUUUUUUAUUUGUUUAAAAUUGAAAAAAAAAAUAAUGUAUGCAACUUUUUAAAUAUAAAUUUUUACAAUAAUGCUAAAAAAUCAAAUACAUAUAUAUAAUUAUAAAAAAAAGUCCAAAUCCUUCAUUGAAAUUUUCUAAAUUUUAUUUGUUUAAAAUUGAAAAAUAAUGUGUGUAACUUUUUUAAAUAUAAAUUUGAAAAUAAUGCUAAAAAAAACAAAUACAUAUAUAUAAUUUUUAUAAAUAAAAAAAAAACAAACCCUUCGUUGGAAUUUUUUAAUUUUUGUUUGUUUAAAAUUGAAUAAAAUAAUGUAUGCAACUUUUUAAAUAUAAUUUUUGACAAUAAUGCUAAAAAAAUUAACUAUAUGCUAAAAAAUCAAAUAUAUAAAUAUUUUUUUUAAAAAGACCAAAAUAUAUUUGAUUUUUUUCGCAUUAUUUUGGCAUUUAAAAUAAUAAUAAUGAGGGCAAAAUAAGAAAUUUGAAAAAUGAGCAAUGAUAGUUUUGGGGAAAAAAAAAGUAAGUUUUAGCAUUUGGCCAAAUGCUAAAAGCUCUACUAGCAUUGGGCUUUCAGCUUUCCCUAUGCUGACUUUCAUUUGAAAGCUACUUCAAAAUCGUUACCAAACAGUCUAGCAUUUCCCCAAGAGACUUUAAAGGCUGAAGCCCAUUAGAAUGUUGAACCAAACGCACCCGAUAUAGAAGCAAAAUGAAGCUUCAUGUUUUUGUGCUUGCACAAGUGAUGCAUGUUCUUGGUUUUUGAGUACAUGUGGAAGAGGAAGUCUACUAUGUGCUUUGAGAAAUGACUCCAAUAGGGUCACUAUCAUUGAUGCAUAGCACAAUUUGAUAUUUACAGUGUGAAUGGAAUUUCAAGGAUCUUUCUCUUUCAAAGUUGAAGGUGUCACGCCCUGAUCCUCAAGAGCGUACUCAUCCCUCGGUGGUCGAUUAAAUUGCAAUGUCCUAGGACCCGUCGCCGACCAUUUCAUUUUAAUGCGCAUGCGGAAGCGAAUAAAUAAAUCUCCAGACAGCACAAAGAUGGGAUAGAAAAGCAGGGCCACAAUUUCACAACCAAACCAAACAUUUAUACACAGCUAACUAGUUUAUUUACAGUACUAGUCUAUAGACAAAGAUCUACCACAAAGAGAAAGGCCACAAGUCCUCUAAGCGUUCGAACCCUUGGCCAAAGACUCCAGGGUCUCCUGGGGACUCAGGUCCACCAUUGCACCACCGGGAGGGUCAGUUGUACCCUCACCAAAAACCAUCUCCAACACCGAUAUAGGGAUCUUAGACUCCUGUAAGGGACCUUCUCUGGGUCCAUCUCCCCCGUGACGAUACCACGAUCUAAAUUGAUGGGGUACCCUCUGAGGUAGACCCGCAUCAACCCAGACAAUGGAUCUUACAAGUUCAUAAACCCAGGCUCCCUGGUCCCCAUGAAGAGGAAUCAGAGAGACUUGUUUGGUGACCUUAGGCUGGCCAAAACGCUCAGGAGGAUUCGCCAUCUAAGGAUAAAACUUGUUUGUUGAGCCCACGACGGGAUAAGACAACGUCUCAACAAGUUCACCCCUUAAACUCCGACUAGGAAGUAUACGCCUAAAGGCCGUCUAUGCACACACAAGAUAGAGGAUUUACCUCGCCUCAGAUCCUUCUUGCAAGUCAGUAUGAUUCAUAUAUUCAACUAAUCAAUUCAAUUCAAAUAAUCCAUCCAUCGAUCCACUCAAUCAAUCAAUUUAGUUCUAUACCAUCAAUAUGAUCCGUACUAUCUAUCAAUCAGUACCAUAUAUAGUUCAAUUCCAUCUAUCAAUUCAAUUGAUACAACCACUGCUCACACAAGCUGCAAUAGAUGGUCAUCGCUCUCAUAAGCUGAUAUAUAUGGUCAUAGCUCUUGCAAGCUGAUAUAUAUAUAGUAGCUCGCCCAAGCUAAUAUAUAGAUCGUGCUCCCACAAGCUAAUAAACGAUCAUAGCUUACACAAGCCGAUAAGGUAUACUACUCUCACAAGCUAACGUGCAAAUAUGGUCUCAAAAGCUGCUAAAAUGUAUAUUACUCUAACAAGCUAACGUAUCAAGCUCAUAAGCCGAUAUAGUAUACUACUCUCACAAGCUAACGUGCAAAGGGGCUCUCACAAGCUGAUGAUAAAUGCUCACACAAGCUGACGUGCAAUAAGGAUCUCACAAGCUGACAAAUCACCAAGUUAAAAAUAUCUGAUAAACAUAAUCGUGUGUGGGUACACGGUCGGCCUGAGUCAAAAUUGCAAUAUCUUUCUUUUCAAAAAUCCCACUAAUUAUAUAGCGCAUAAACACAUUUUUGGCUUUAUAAACCGACGCGCGAAAUUUUCUAAUUAAAAUACCAAAAUUACAAUUUCCACUCAAUUUGCACAAAUCAUUACUCAAUUACUUAAACCAAGCAUACCAUUGCAAUCAGCACGAAAUUCCGAUCACCGACUAUCCCACUAUAAUUUCCGGAAAAUACAAUUAAAUGCCAUAAAUAGAAACUGUGACAUCCUGAAAUUCGACCACAUUUCAAUAAAGUGAAAUGGGCAUUUCGUUGACGUGCCUAUGGUCAUUUUUCUCUGAGCUAAUCACUCACGAGUUAACUAACCUAUUGGGUGAAGCCGUUAGGGGAUGUAUCCGCGGUAAAAUCCCUAAAAUCUACUUAAUUGGUUGGAUUGGACUAAAAUCGCGUCUGAUCGAUUCUAACCACGAAAUUGAAUUCGAUUUCGAGAAUCGAAUAUUUGAGCGUGUCAUAAUUCAUUUUUAGGAUCCUGUCUCAUCAUCCGUCAAAUUAUUGACGAGUCCGAAAUUUCGGGAAAGAAAUUAUCGAAGGAAAAAUCGAAGAUCGGAAGAAAAUAAAAAGGGAAAGAAAAAGGAAAAAUAAUAAUAGUAAUAAGAAUAAUGCGAUUAUCUUAUUGUUUAUUAUUUUCUAUUUCUUUUCUCUCUCCCUUUCUCUCUCUUCUCUCCCCCACAUGAUCUUUCCCCCCCUUUCGGACUGUUCACCCCCUUCCCCUUUUUCCUUCUCUCUCUCUCUCUCUCUCUCUUUUCCCUCGUGCAAAUUCCCCUCCACCAACUACCCCUUAUCAAUUUCAACUUUGCCUCUCUCUCUCCUUUUUCAUUUUUGACUAGUCAAACACCAUUAUCUCUUCUUCUCACUCUUAUCUCUCCUUCUCUCUCUCUCCCUUGUUCGCGCGACGCCCAGCGAACCAACGAAGAAGAAGCAGAGACAGCAGCACCGAGAGGAGAAGACCAGAGCAGCUCGCCGUCGCUGCCCGUGCUCCGCCACCCGCACGUUGCCUGUGCCCUCUGCUGCUCACCGCUCGCCUUCACCUCUCCCUCACGCCCCUCAGCCGUCACCAUCCUCCUUCUCUUCCUCUCUGUUUCGUGCAAAGCCCCAGUGGAAGCAGAAACAGAAGCAGCGGCUCUCAUCGCCUGAAGCUAGAGCAGCAGCCGCCCGUUGUUUCACCGUUCACGAGUGCGCCGCCCAACUGAGUUGCCGUCUGUCCCUCCUCUCACACCAAUCCAGCGCCGUCCAGCUCCAGUCGCCUCUGUCCAUCCUUGUUCGGCCACCACAGGCAGCUACCUGACCACCUCCAGCCACCGUUCGGACACGCCAGAGCUUCCCUCGCCCUCCCCCGGCCUUACUUCACCGCCUCAACCACCGAACUAGCCCAGCCAGCCUAGAACGACCGUUGGUCAGUGGGUUUCUAGCCCCCUUCGGCCCGCUUUUGGAGCAUUUCCGGGCCCUGAACCCAGGACUUGCUUUGGGAAGAAUCUUUCCUUGUGUCGUCCCCGUUAGAUUGAUACGUUUUGUGCUAAAUUCUGGUGAGUAAUCUCACUAAUCCCUUCUUAGUUUGCUAAUUAUGCUUAGGGGUUGAUUAUAUUUAAUUAAAUGCAAUUAGGUGGUUAGAUUAGAAUAUAUUAGUUAUUACUAGACAAUUGUGAUGCAUAUUAAACAUUUUGAUUGUGCAAUUAGCAAGUAGACAUAGUCUACUAUUUAUUGAAAGUAUCUCGGGAUUUUUCCCAACCCUUAGCGGGCUUCAAUUAGGCAAUACAAGCCUAAAUUGGAUUUUCAAUAAUUAAUUAUUAAUUUUCGAAAUUAAUUAUUUAUUUAUUUAUUUUUCUGGAAAUUCAACCGGGAUGGCCGGUGACUAGAAUUUCGUGCUGAUUGUCGUGGCGCAAUCAGUUUAUUUAAUUGAGCUUCAAUUUGUAUGGAAUUGAUUUAAUUAUGAAUUUUUAGGAGUUAUUCAUAUUAAGUUCAUUGUUAAUUAUUUGAUUGAGAAAUCGUUAGGUACUGGUUGUCGGUAUCGAAAGUAAGUUGGUUAUCACCUAAAAGAAAAUACGUGGGCUCGGUGAAUUGGAAUAUCACCUGGAGAAUGUAUGUGAGUUCAGUGGUUGAAUAUGUCAUCUUGGCGAAGAAGUCGCCUUAAAGAAUGCACAUGGCUCAAAGACUCGGUAUGUCCUCCUGGAGAAUGCACGUGGCUCGGUGAUAGUGUAUGGCAUUGUAAAAAGGGCACGUGGGCUCGGUGAAUUGAUGCAUCACUUUGGUGAGUUAGCACCUAAGAGAAGGCACGUGGGCCCGGGCAUCGUAAAAAGGACACGUGGCUCGGUGAUCUAAUGCAUCACUUUGGCGAACUAGUGCUUUAGAGAAUGCACGUGGGUCCAGUAUUUGAGAAUGGCAUCUAAAAGGGCACGUGGCUUGGUGACUUGAUGUACCACCUUGGCGAAGAGGUCGCCUUAAAGAAUGCACGUGGGCCCAAGGGUUAAGGCACGUGGCUCAAAGACUUGGGAUGUCAUCCUGGAGAAUGCACAUGGCCUAACUUUUAGAUAUUCCACUGCGGGGAAUGAUUUGGGUGACAUGUAAUCGACUGGUUCAAUUUGUUUUGAGUGAGUGGGUGCCUAUUAUGAAUUAUACUGACUUGCAGGUGGGAUAUGAGGCCAAGGUAAGUCCUCUGACUUGUGCGUGUUUAGGCAGCCUAUAGUAUAAUGGUUUACUAAUUGGGCCUUAGUGGGGUAGAACUUGCUGAGACGUAGUCUCAUCCUGAUUGUAGGACAACAUUUCAAGCCCGUAGGUGAGCCCAAGGAGGAGGAAUCGGAGAAGGAGGGCACUGAAGUGAAACCUGAGGAGGAGAAAGAUUUUUGAAGAAGAAGAUGAUCCAGAAAAGGGAUCCUGAGUACGACCGGAUGAGGACUGAGGUCCCAUCCUCUUUUGGGAAUCCUGUUUUGAUGUGAAUAGUUUGUAAAGUACUCUGUUUAGUGCUAUGUAUAAAGGUUUGGUUGUAGAUUUCAAUAUGAAAAAUAUGACCUGCUUGUCUAUCCCAUUGUGUUAUUGUCCGGGGGUUUGAAACUGCUUCCGCAUGUGCUUAAUAAAUAAAAGGGUCAGCGAUACUUAGUCCUAGGAUAUCGCAUUAUAAAAUCAACCAAGUAGAAGGAUGUGUGCGUACCCGAGGAUCGGGGCGUGACAGAAACUUAGGCCGAAAAUGCCUAAUUACAUACUGAAACGGGCUCGGAAAAUUUUCAAACCUAUCUAGAUAUAUAAUAAAACUUAUCUAGUCUUUAAGCCGUUCUAACCACCUAACAUGCAAAAAUAAAUAAUUAAAUUGUUAAUCCGUUCUAACUAACCACCUAAACCAUACUUAGUCUAAACUAAUCAACCCUUAAAUAUCGUUAACUCCCUAAGCAGAGUUUAGUGAGUAAACUCACCGGUUUCGUGAUCUAGUGAGUCCAUGGCGACGACAACACGGAGACAGGCGAAAAACCUCCUAGCAGCGACACCCGACAAAGCUCAGAAGCGGCCCAAAAUGGCCCACGAAGGCCCACGGCUGGCUGGGCUACUCGGUUCUGUCCAAGGACCAAGCAAACUGGACUAGGCUAGAAAUGGCAAGCUGAAGCGAACCGGUGGCCAGGCAGGCGAGCAGGAGGACAGGCGAGGCCGAACGGCGGUGGAGGCUAGCUCGAACGGUAGCCAGUGCUUCGAUGGCAACUAAGGAAGGCUCGGGGGACGGCGAAAAGGCUCGGAAUGAGCGACUGGGCGCGGCAGGGGCGGAGCGACAUGCGCGGGCAAGCAGGCACAAACGGGUAGCAUGUGGUGGCUCCGACAGCUCGAGGGACUUGCGACGAGCUAGGGGAGGGAGUUGGUUGGCUUCUCUACAAUUUUUGGAGCUUCAAAGGCUUGAAAAUAGAGAAAGCAGGUUUGGUUGAAGAAGAAGGGGACAGCAGAAGCUUGGAGGGUCCCUCUUGGCUUCCAUUCUAUCCCUUUGUCUCCAAGGCAAGGCCCCACCAGAUGGGCUGGCUUCCUCAACCAAUUUUGUGCAUAAAAAUCCCCUUAGAACAAUCCUCAAGUGGUCCUAAAGAUGGUGGAGACCAUGGCCUACGAAUUUGGUGCCAUUUUCCCCAAUCCCACUUCAAUUACUCUCCAAUUGGACCUAAACCAGUCCCCAUAAAUCAAAAUAAGAUGUCCGCACUUCAAUUCACAUUUUCUCCACCAAUAGAACUAACUUGUAUCCCAAAAAUGUGAUCAAAAAUGGUCCUCUAAAUUUUUCGAUCAAAAACGGCCCUUUAUUGAAUUUUCGCCAAAAAUCUCGGUUUCCAGAAAAAUCUUUGGAGGAUGAGUCGACGGUCUCAAAAUGAAUCGUGAUAUGAUAGAACUUUCAAUUUGUGAAAUCGGGUUUAAAUUCGUGGUUAAUUUCAAUCUAGCGCGAUUUUAGCUUAACCUAGCCUACUGGGUAGCUUUUAGGAAUUUUUGGUGCAAUUGACCCAUGGUCGAUUUAUUUUGAGCCACAAUGUACAUCUUCAACACAUUGGCGAUUCUUGGUUGCCGUGAAAAUCUCGAGGUUUCAAAUACGGGCACAAGGUACCAAAACGACAGAAAAAUCGGUCUAGUACCGGUUGACAAGAAUUUUGCAAUAUGGUGGAAUCACCCACACUUUGAUUACAUAUCUUAGUCGAAUCGACAUAUCUCUGAUCUCUGAUCAAAUUUUAACUACGCCGUAAUGACCCUUGCAGACUAGCACGGUCGAGCAGUCGAUUUCUAGUCAAAUUCUCAAGUAUAUUGCGUUAAAAUCCCUUAACGGCUUCACUAGAUAGACUAGUUAUCUCGUGAAUGAUCAACUCAGAGAAUAGGACUAUAGGCACGUCGAUGAAAAGCCCGAUUCAUUCAAUUGAAAAUAGAACCUGAAAUUCAAGAUAUCACAGAAGGCAUGUUAGUCAUAAGAAGAAAAAGCUGAAAAAUUGGUCGAUGAUGGGUUGGAAAUUUUUAAGGCCAAACAACACCCAUUAAAAGUGUCAUAAAGACCUUGACUUCCCAUGAACCAUCGACCAUGUACUAAUCCAAAGUCAACACACGUAAAACCCCAAAAGAUCUUGACUUCUUGAUGGAUGUGCACAAGAUCCAUCCUUACACAGUUUAAAUCCUUUUCUUUUGGCCGGUAUGCUUGUUUAAAUUCAAAUAGAAUCAUAAAACUGUGAAAUUCAUAGAUUUGCAAGAGUAGAAUAAUUUGUUUGCUCAAAAAUUAGAGGCGUAACUUUUAAAAACCGAAUAUCUCAAAUUACAAUAACGGUUUUUUAACUUGAAAAUUCAUUGUGGCAUUAAUUUAAUAUUUUUUAAAUAAUCCAAUUGAUUUGCCAAGAAUCAAUGCCACAUAGGAAUUUCUUGACUUCUUGUUGGAUGUGCACAAGAUCCAUCCUUACAUGGUUUCAAUCCUUUUCUUUUGGCCGGUAUGCUUGUUUAAAUUCUAAUUGAAUCACAAAACUGCGACAUUAAGAGAUUUGCAAGAUUAGAAUAUUUUGUUCACUCGAAAAUUAGAGGUGAAACUUUUAAAAACCAAAUAUCUAAAAUUACAAUAAUGGUUUUUUAACUUGAAAAUCCAUUGUGGCAUUAAUUUAAUAUUAAAUAAUUCAAUUGAUUUGCCAGGAAUCAAUGCCACAUAGGAAUUUCUAGUAAAAGAAUCACCUAUGUAACUUAAGUGAGCUAAAAACUAUGACACUUAACUGAUUACUUAAAAAGUCAUAACAUUACUAUUGCUGAUUUUAUGUUGCAUAAAAUCACACCCGAUGAAGAUCCAUUUAUCAUUAGCAUUUUGGCACUUACUAACUCUUUCAGGAAUUUAUGGGCACAGAAGAAGAUCCUUUUUUCUUAGUCUUCUCUUUUUUUAUUCGAAAUAAUAGAAUAGUCCUUGAUAAAGCAUUGUGACUCUGCAAGGACAUAAAAAGUAGAGAUGAUAUUUGAUACAGAGUUUUUUCUUUGCAGGGGUGCUGAAACUUGGAUUGCUUCACAACCUAAUUCAAUUUUUAGUAAUUAGUUCCCCUUUUACAGCCCUACGAGUUGAUGGCAACUCCAUCAUCUCAAAAGAAAAAGGAAGGGAGGAAAGAAUAAAGGACAGUGAGUGUCAAGUCAAGAAAAAGAUGACACGUGAAUUGUGGAAAUCGCGUUUCCUUUAAUGCGUUGGUACAAUGUCUCGUUUUGCUUUUUAAAUGCCAUAGUCCAAAGAAUAUGGCAAUAACAAGUGACUAGAACAGCAACAUGAUGAGCAUAAUCUGCAACAUGUCCUUAGUUGUACUAAUCAUUAUAGCUUUCUCCUGCUACAAUUCAAUUGUCGCAGCACCAGCACCUUCUAAACAGUCAGAGGCAAGUGCGCUUCUCUACAGCAGGUGGUGGUCUCCCUCCAUCAUGGACAACACUACCUUACCUCAUUGCGCAUGGCCCGGGGUAUUGUGCGAUGCCUCUGGGAGCAUUGACGGGAUUCGCUUGCCAUAUGGGUACCAAAUAGGAGGUAAUUUUAGCAACAUGAACUUCUCUCUACUUCCGGGACUCACCUCUCUUGAUCUCUCUUCUAACGGACUAGCCGGAAAAAUCCCCCUUCAAAUAUGUACUCUGUCGAGGCUAACUUACCUUGACUUGUCCUUCAAUUCCCUCACUGGCGAGUUGCCUCCCUGUGUCCAAAACCUCACUAGGCUUCAAGUUCUUUGGAUCAGUUAUAAUCACAUCAGUGGCUCUAUCCCUCCUGAGGUGGGAAAUUUGGAGAGAUUGACCGACUUGAAUCUCGAGUUCAAUUUGCUUAAUGGUGCAGUCCCACUGACUAUUGGUUGCUUGCACAAUUUACAAUCCCUUAGAUUUAGCUCAAACAAUUUAAGUGGCUCUAUCCCUCUUGAGCUUGGGAACCUUGCAAAAACAAAUGUUGUUGAUUUAAGUUUCAACAACUUCACUGGUCCCAUUCCAUCCUCUAUAGGGAAUUUGACAAGCUUGACUUAUCUCUAUUUGCAUCGAAACAAACUUGGUGGAUCUAUUCCUCUCGUAAUAGGGAAUUUGACGAGCUUGACCGAUCUCUAUUUGCAAAAAAACCAACUCGGUGGAUCUAUUCCCCUUCAAAUGUGUACUCUGUCGAGGCUAACUCACCUUGACUUGUCCUUCAAUUCUCUCAUUGGCGAGUUACCUCCCUAUGUCCAAAACCUCACUAGGCUUCAAGUUCUUCGGAUCAGUUAUAAUCACAUCAGUGGCUCUAUCCCUCCUGAGUUGGGAAAUUUAGAGAGAUUGACCAACUUGAAUCUCAAGGUCAAUUUGCUUAAUGGUGCAAUCCCAUUGACUAUUGGUUGCUUGCACAAUUUACAAUCCCUUCGAUUUAGCUCAAACAAUUUAAGUGGCUCUAUCCCUCUUGAACUAGGGAACCUCGCAAAAAUAAAUGUUGUUGAUUUAAGUUUGAACACCUUCACUGGUCCCAUUCCGUCCUCUAUAGGGAAUUUGACAAGCUUGACUUCUCUCUAUUUGCAACGAAACAAACUUGGUGGAUCUAUUCCUUCGGAAAUAGGGAAUUUGACGAGCUUGAAUUAUCUCGAUUUGCAAGGAAACCAACUCGGUGGAUCUAUUCCUCCGGAAAUAGGGAAUUUGAUGAGCUUGAUUAGUCUCAAUUUGCGAGGAAACCAACUCGAUGGAUCUCUUCCUCCGAAAAUAGGGAAUUUGAAGAACUUGGCUUAUCUCGAUUUGCGAAGAAACCAACUCAGUGGAUCUAUUCCUCCAGAAAUAGGGAAUUUGACAAGCAUGACUUAUCUCUAUUUGCAAGAAAACAAACUCAGUGGAUGUAUUCCGUCACAAAUAGGCAAUUUGAAGAGCUUGGUCGCACUGAAAUUACAUGAAAAUAGAAUUGAUUGUGCCAUCCCAUCGAACAUAGGAGAUUUAAGGGAUCUCCGACAGCUAGAUUUGAGCUCGAACAACUUGGUCGGGGAAAUCCCCGUUCAACUUGGGAAACUAGGCUGGUUAAACUAUCUCGAUCUUCACAACAAUUCUCUUUCUGGCUCCAUUCCAGAUAAUCUCAAGGCUAUCUUUCCUAAUACUUCUUUUCUCGGCAACAAAGAUUUGAACCAGUUUCAUGAAACCCAAGCCCCCAGAAGAAGGUCUAGCGUAAUUCAUUAUAUGACGAUAUUCAUUCCACUAGCUGCGAUUUCCUGUAUAGUGGUCGGAUCUUGCUUUCUAUUUCGCUGUGCAACAAAAACAGAGCAACUAGAGACUACAAAAAAAAAUGGAAAUUUCUUGUCAAUAUGGAGUUAUGAUGGGAGGCUUGCAUAUGAAGACAUAAUCGAUGCAACAGAGGACUUCGAUCUCAAAUAUUGCAUCGGGACUGGUGGUUAUGGUAGCGUUUAUAGAGCACGAUUGCCCAAUGGGAAAGUUGUGGCAUUGAAGAAACUUCACCGUCUUGAAGCAGAGGACCCAUCCUUCGACAAGAGCUUUCGAAAUGAAGUGAAACACUUGACAGAAAUAAGGCAUAGAAGCAUAAUCAAGCUCCAUGGUUUCUGCUUACACAGGCGAUGCAUGUUCUUAGUUUACGAAUACAUGGGAAAAUGGGAGUCUAUUCUGUGCUUUGAGAGAUGAUAUUGAAGCCGUGGAAUUGGAUUGGUCCAAAAGAGUCAAUCUCGUCCAGGAUACAGCACAUGCUUUGUCUUACAUGCACCAUGAUUGUGUUCGGCCAAUUGUUCAUCGAGACAUGUCUAGCAAUAACAUCUUACUCAACAGUAAAAUGCAAGCUUUUGUAUCAGAUUUUGGCACCGCAAGACUUCUGGGUCAUGAUUCCUCAUCUAACUUCACUGCAAAUAUCGCUGGCACCUAUGGAUACAUUGCACCAGGUGAGCAAUACUUUAUGCUUCAUAUAUAUAUAUUACCCUGAAAGUUACUACAGGAGGUAGAAGUCAAAUAAACGACAUUGUAGAAGUUUCACUAUCCAUGCACAUCGGUGACUUGUAGACUGUUAUUGUACUUGCCAACAGUAGCUAAGGAUUGGUUGUGCCACGAUUGGUCAAAUGUCCCCUCGGAACCACCUUGUACGCCGUGGCUCUGACUUCUGUAUUCAUUUUUUUUUUUUUUUGGUAAAGCUGUAUUCAUUUUAUUCAUUUCUAUAUAUUUGAAUAUUUUUGGAAAAUGAAUAUUUAUUUUGUAUGCCACUAUUGUUAGUAUUACUGGGUUACUUAUUUUAGAAUAAAAAUGUCUCAAACUAUAUUUUUAUGUUGCAUCUAAGUAAAAGCAUGUCGGAAUAGUAAGAUUUUUGGAUUUCGUAUUACAUCCAUAUUGGUAUUACUAAGUCAUUCAUUUCUAUUAAACGUUUUGUUGUGGAAAUAAAAUUAACUGUUUUGAAAGGAAAAUUGGAGGGGCAAAUGGGGCGGUGUGGGGUGCCGCACAUGGUUAUGCGGGGCACGAUGGAGAGGGAAAAGUUGCCUCUCAAGGGGCAGCGACGGGGCGGGCAGUAAGGGUGUAGUCAUCCCGUCACGGGGCGGGCAGUUAAGGGUGUAGUCAUCCCGUCCAAAGCCUCAACUGCUAAAAUUUUGUAUGCCUUUUUGUAUUUUUUUGCAGAGCUUGCAUAUACUUUGGUCGUUACUGAGAAAUGCGACGUAUAUAGCUUUGGAGUGGUAGCAAUGGAAACAAUGAUGGGUGAGCAUCCAGGAGAUAUUAUAUCUAUCUUGUUGACAUCCUCCGGAGAAGAUAUCAUGCUACAUGAAAUUCUAGACCGGCGGUUGCCUUUUCCAAGAGAGAACUCUAUUGCAAGAAGUAUUGUUUUGAUAGUUUCUCUAGCGCUUGCUUGCUUGAGUGCUAAUCCAAAGUCUCGACCAACUAUGAAGCAAGUCUCAGAAGCUUUUCUAGCUCGAAAGUCACCAUUGGCGAAGCCCUUCCAUGAGAUCUCAUUGGCUCAGCUCCGAUAUGUUAAUAGAUCACGGUUGGAAGGUGAAUCAACAGAAGCUUCAUCAGGACAGAGCGAGGAGUAAGGGUCAUUAAGUGCUUGUCUAGUAAAGAGAUAAUUGAUAAUGAAGCUGCAAUUUGGUGAAAGUGAUUGAGCAUAUAAAAUUGUAUGGCUUCUGCAAAUUAGUAAUUCUUGUUAAACUCUUUUCCAUUCUAUGCUGUAAGAGUGAGAUGCAGUUUAUUUAUGACUCAACAAAAGACCACGGUUACUUUUGAGACGGACCAUGUUUAUUGGUCCAACAACCAAUAGCCGACCGAAGACCUGGUGCUCUUAAUGUAACUUCCUUAAAACAUGUCAAUUUCCUAAGAGGCAAUCUUGAAAUGUUUCUUCUCGUAUGGGUGCUUCCUUCAGUCGAUUGCCUUCAUACAUGUUGUUGAUGAUGAUCGCGGCGCCUGUUUUAGUAUGGAGUUUCCAAUACUAGCGUUACAAACUAAGCUACGAACUAGGCUCACGAGAAUGUGGUUUUAGUCUACACUGGAGGCAAGCUUAUUGCGGGCAUGAUGGGUUGUAAAAGAGAUGAUUUCACUUGUCAGAUGAGCCGUUUUUGUUGAAAUUAGGAGAUUCUUGUGAAUGGUGGUUUACUGUAGGAUCUGGAAAUGCUAAUGAAUCAUAUGAAAUCUAUUUGAGGUUCUAAGCGAAAUUAAGCAUGAAGAAAGCUUUUUGUUUGACGAGACGAGCAUGCCCAUGGAUGAAAUCAUACGGCAUUAAUUUUCGAGAGCUCUGCAUUAAGGGUUGCGACACUAACAACUCAUAAUUUCUUUGCAACUGCCAAUCCAUCUACAAUCAAUAGUUAGAUAUGUGCAAGAGAUAGAUUUGCCAAACUCUUUUAUGAUGGUCACUCGAUUUGUGAUGCUUUUAUCCAGUUGAACUGCUGGAGACACGCUUUUAUGAUGGUCACUCGAUUUGGGAUGCUUUUAUGCAGCUGAACUGCUGGAGACACGCUUUUAGUUGGGAUGCUCAACCUGUGCCUGUUCUUGUUGCUUUUCCUUACAAUUGGGAAACUCUAUCUAAUUCAAUAAGCAAUUAAGGUUGCAUAAGCGUGCACUUUUGUAGGUUGACGAAUUUCCUGCUCUAAGAGUCAUGAAGGAAGAUGAUCUAAGUGCUCGUCUACAGAAUAAAUAUAAAUGGAAAAAUUAUCAAAAAAAUCCUAAAUCUAUUGCAAUUUUUCCAAAUCGGUCCUAAACCUUUUUUCCCCAUUUAAUCAUAAACAUUUUGCAAUUAUGUCAAUGCAGUCCAUUUGGUCAAUUUUGACCUACUCAUGCUAACGUGACAAUUUUUUAAUAAUAUUUUUAAAUUUUUAUAAUUUUUUAAUUAGGAAGGAAAGGAAAAAAAUUAAAAAUUAAUAAAAAGUCAGAAAAAAUAAAAAAAAUAAAAAAUAAUUUAAAAAUUGCCAUAUCAGCGUUGGUCGGCGUCCAUGUCAGCGCUGGUCAACCAAAAUUGGUUGAAUAGACUGAAUUGGCAUAAUUACAAAAUGUUUAAAAUUGAAUAGGAAAACAAAAAGUUUUAGACUGUUUUGAAAAAAUUGCAAUAAGUUUACAAUUUUUUUGGUAAUUUUUCCUAAUAUAAACUACGAUGCCAUGAAGGUGACCACUAAGAAUUUUCCUAAGAAACGGUGCUAGACAAGGGCAUAAUCUUAAGAAAGUGACAGAAAAAUUUAAAAGUUCACGUUUAGGCCCAUAUCGCAAGUUUCAGUUGAGCCGAAUUGAAGCGCAACUUUCACUAUGGAUGUUUAUAGCAUUGUGGUUGGACAUACAUUAGAUGUUACUCUGACUCUUACGACUUGUAUUGAUUUUCGGCCUUGUAAACUCUAUAUUGGCACCGCUGACGGCCUCAUAGACACCUUCAUAUUUUGUUGGAUAACUGUGAUCUUUGCCUCAACCGUAUUUAUUUUUCACUUUGACUAGUUACUCGACGUUGUCACUUUCUUGGAAGGACUAUGGUACGUAUGGCAAUAAUAUCUUGCUUGCCAUUGUCUAUUAUGAUGCACCCCUUCUAGGCUUUGUAAGUUGUAUUUUGAAAGUAAAUCAUUGUACAGGAUGACAACCGAAUGCCGUUUGUUAUCUUGUGUUUUCGGUUCCUUCACCAUAUGAUUAUGAUUUUGCUAACAAGGUCUCUACAGAUAAAGAGAUAUGAUAGAAAAAGAGACGACCUCCGCCUUCAACAAAUUAACUGGCUUGCCUAGGAAGCGAUUCCACCGAGCACGAGCUCACAGCAAUCCACUAAUGCGAUUCGCACUUUCCUGUUCCACUCUUCUCUAGUCAAUUUGAUUAUUCUCUUCAUUACCCUCCGUUGUUCCCUGCUCCAUCUGAUGAUGAUAAGUCCCAAAAGGAUUCAGUUUGCUGACAUUGGCUGCGGCUUCGGAGGGCAACUAGUUGCUCUUUCAAACCUAUUUCCCGACAGACUCAUGAUCGAGGGAUGGAAAUUAGGGACAAGGUGACCAAAUAUGUGAAUGAGCGCAUUUCUGCAUUUAGGACGAUCAAUGCCGAUCAAUACCAAAAUAUCUCAGUAGUACGGACCAACUCUAUGAAGUACAUUCCUAACUAUUUUGAGAAAGGCCGACUGACGAAGAUGUUCUUCCCAUUUCAGGAUCCUCAUUUUAAAGAGAAAAAUCACCAUCGCAGGGUGAUUAGCCCUCACUUGUUAGACGAGUAUGCGUAUACUCUGGCUGUUUGGGGCAUAACUUACACCAUCACAGAUGUUGAAGAACUUGGCGAAUGGAUGAAGGGCUAUUUGGAAAACCACCCCAUGUUCAAGGCACUAACGGAGGAAGAACUCGUGAACGAUCCGGUGGUGAAGCUAUUGACCACGGCGACUGAGGAAGGCCAGAAGGUUGCCAGGAAUGGUGGGCAGACAUUUAACUUGCAUUGGUUGCAAAGCUUUGAUAAGGUAUUUAUUGCAUUUGAGUUCUCAUGCUGCAAUUUCUUGGGUGCUUGUAUUUUUCAUUUCAGAUCUCAUUGAAAUCUAGGUUUCUUUGCCCUUAGGCUUUGUUCUUAACUCUUAAGUUGUUUUUCCUUGUUUAAACAGUCCUCCGGUUCAUCUGCAAAAUAGCAUGUCAAAGAUUGUAUCACAUCUGGGGCUAUUCUGUGAAUGCUGGACUAGAGUUAUACAUUAGAAAAUGGAAUGACUGGAACAGUUAAAAUCAGCUUAUCUCCUGCUAGACUACCAGUAACAUCUGUGAGAUCUUGAAUUUAGUCCGAUUAAUUAAAUGCUUGAUUAAUUAAAAGCUUGAUUUCGUUCAAAACUUACUUUAUAUAUUUGGACUAGUAUUCCUCGAUAAUCUUGGGGAAAGCAGAAUGAUCUGGCUGCUCCUUCAAGCUUUAACAUCACCAUGUGAUACUGAGACAGCUGUAACCACUUGAGAUUGACAUAUAGUUUGAUGUUAUGCACAGAGUAAUCUGUCUCAUCUUUCUUGAAUUGCCCGUUGAAUGAGGAAGUUUGGUAAUGUUCCUCCAAUUUUGCAGCAUAAUGUGCAAGUUAUAGUAUUCGUUCACUUCAUAUGGCAUACUUUAUCUUUCAUGCCCAACCAAUUAGUUGCAUUGGAAAGAAAUUUUUUGAGCUUCUUGUUAUAUUUUGGCACCUGAAACUGGCAGACUUCUUUCUGUCGGGCUUUUAUACGAAUAGAAAGUCAAUUUGCACUGUCUUCAAACUAGUGUGCCAACCCGGAGUUAUAUUGCUUCUGUCCACCAUACCAGCAAUACAAAUGGGACUCUUUGUUCACACUGCAAGGGAAGGGAAGCUGAAUCGUAUUGUAAAACGGUAUCUCAAGGUAAGCGUCUCUGCUGAUGCCAUAUUUUCUUCCCAGACAUUAGUCGGAUAUAUAGCACGCUGGUAAAUUUGGUUACUUGCAUAAAAUGGUUGCAGUCUCCGAGCCCAAUGAGAUUUCUGGAAAGUUUUGGGCAGAGUGCCGAGAAUGCCAGGGUUCGCUUCAUUAGGAUGUACUUUGCACAAGGUUCUACUUUGUUUCCUCGGGUACUUUUUAAGAUAGCUCGUUUGUUAUUCACAUAAUUGAUAUCAUAACCUUUGCAGUCGGGAUUGUCCCAUAUUUUACCGGAGAAAGAAAGCAUAGAAACACGUGGCUGAAGCUCACCGGCAAUUAUAUAGAUGGAACUUCUAAAAUAUCGACAGGCUUUGUGGUCUUCUUGUUGAGCUUAUUACAUGGCUGUAAAUACAUUGGAUUUUUUUUUUUAGGAAGUUUUUUUAUUCUGAUUUGAUUUUGUUUGAAUCCCACAAAUCAUGGGAUUGUAGCUUUUCUCCUAUUUAGGCUUUUUUCUGUUUUGUUUGCUAGGAUUUCUCUGUGUAUUAGCCUAUAAAUAUAACACUGUAAAGCUGUAAAAUAUGUGUAUGAUAAUAAGAAAUUCUCUCCAUCUAAAAUUCUACAUGGUAUCAAGGCUGAAAGUCCUCAUUUCAAAUCUUACCAGAUUCCUUUUGCCUUCCUAAUUAAAUUUUCACGUUUAGUACUAAACAAAAAGAUGAGAUUAAGUGUGAAAGGGAAAGUGUUAUAAUAUUAAUUUUAAGCUUUUAAAACAGUUGGUAGUGAUUUCCAUAAAAUCUCAAACUCCCUUCCUUUGCCGACAAAUUGCGGUUAGCUAGUUAAAUGAACUCAGAGAUCUCCAAGUUGAUUUGGGAGGACAAGCCGGAUCCUCAUAUAACCGAGAUGAGGGAAAAUUCAAAGUUGCUCCUGGUCUCUGGACAGAAGGAAGGAGAAAGAAAUCUCUCACUCAGAGAGAUGGUAGAUGGAAAGUUGCCAUUGAGGCCUUAGUUACUGAUGCCUCCAACAAAAAUAUAGAAAAGCAAUUUGGCUGCAUUCAUUACGGGUUAUUGACAAGGAAAUAUAUGCCUCAUCUAGUUCAAAAGGUUAAAGAAAUGGCCCGUUAGGGGUUUUUGACAGAGUAAGAGUUCUGCUUACCUGUAGCCUCCUCGACUUCAUUUAUGAGUACAACAUACUUCAUACCUACUCUGAUUCCCAGUUGUAGGCCAUGAAAUUGCCACGUGUAUGGUGUUAUUCUUAUCCUCCCAGCUUUUUUGUAAUAUAUGUUUGCAUGUAUCACUAUGGGGUGCAAAGUUAGUAUGCCUCCAUUCACGUACAUAACAGGAAAAGGAUUAGCGACUGGAGCUUUGUAUUGAGACAAGGAGAGACUGGAAAUGUCAGCGUGAGCUUAUCAUAGGCACAUUUGUAAAGCGAACACAGCUCUGGAUGCCAAUGUUAAGUCAGCUACGGAGAUUUUUGAAACAAUUCUGAUCAUAUCUUUUGUGGUCGACGAGAGGGGAUACACUUCUGUUGCUGGUAUAGCUUUUUUUGCCCAAACUAAUUUAUCUUAAUAUGGAUGGUGAAUUUGACGAUAAAGGUGAUACCAAUCUUAAAGAUAGUUAGUAAAUGACCGAAAGAUUCUAAGAAAAUUCAUGGGAAAAAUGUCCUUGCUUAUCAAAUUCUGUUCUUUUUCCUCCGUUGACUUUUAUCCCCUUCGGAUCCAGCAUUUUAGUUUUUGCAAUUUUUGUUAGGGUAGAGAGAUGACUCUAAGUCUCGUCACCUAACGGUUUGUCAGAACUAAAGCACUUUGAAAUUAAAUCCGGAAGGAUCUAUGCUUAAAGGGGGAAAAGGCAUUGCGAUUCUCGAGGGAUUGUCGACCCUCCCCACUUUGUAAAUGGCUUUGCAUUCAAGCUCUCCUCUUCAGAUUUGUAUGGUUAUGAAGAAAACUAUUGGAAAUGACAAAAUAGGAUAGGAUCAAAUACGAAAUCUAUCCAUCGUUUGAGAAAAUACGGAAAGUUAGAGCAAAUAUACACAUCUAAUCUAUAAAUAAAUAAAAGGUUCAAAUCCACAGAGAAGUACAAACACAUCACAAUUUGCUUAGGAGACGCAAUCAAUCAGCAAACAAUUCACAUUCACAACUAGGUUAUCCAUUUUGUAACUUAAAAUCAUCUGCUCGUCUUCCCUUCUGCUGCUAGUACUCUCUUCGACGGGUAACUGCGAGCAAUGGCACAAGUCAAUGAUUUGAGAAUCCAAUGCCAAGGGCGAGACUUUCAGUAUUGCUCCUGCGAGUGUCGAAGCCCAUGUCACUUAAGUAUACAAUCUCAAACGGGUUGUGAUGGGCUGCCGGCACAAAGGACAAGUCCGGAGUGACGCACCACAGUCCUUGCAUGUCUGGAAAGAAAUAAAGAGAUGACAUACGUAAGCUUACAAUAUCCAUAGCAUUACAGAUAAUGUCGAUCUCUAUCUCUCUAUCAUGUGAAGGAAUAAUUACUUCCACAUUUAAUUGUAGUUCGUACAUCUUUUCAAGUCUACUUAGCCUUCGAUGAGAACAACAUCUCCUGCCCCAUAGAUGCUACUACUGCGGUAUUCUUUUCCGUUUAGGAUGAGAAUAGUCCCACCAUUUGUCCAAGAUAAUAUUGCAGCAUACUCGUGAUUAGUUAAGCACAUGAGAUUUCUGGGGCAUGAUAAACAGAAAAAUUGUAUAAUGAGCUCUUUGAUUUGCUGAGCCAUAGCCAACUUUAACAAAACCAGUGGAAUGACAGCCGGAAGUCUCUUUGGAAAAUAUGUCGAACUAACUAACUUUGCAGUCAUACUGGGUACAACCAAUUUUAUGCUUUUAGCUCCAGUAUCUGAAUCAAGUAAAAUUCUACUCUAUUAGAUUCUAGCCUGAAAAGUGAAAGCAAGUUCAGGUGGGAAUGGUUAUAACAGGUGCAAACGUGUGUACUCCACAAAUUGGAGGCCAUAUAAAGGAUGAUGCUAAUUGCUGAAUAGAGAAAGACUCACCAGAUGACCACAUCCAAAGGCCAUGUUCUUUGGAUUUGUAAGGCAAAUGGGGCAAACCUUGAAGAACACAGGCAGCUUAGUUCGGAUUUAGAUUUAAUGAAGAACCUGAAGUUUCACAAAAAAAAAAAGGAUGAUUAAAUGAUACUUGUUCUCCCGAAGCUGUUUCCUGAGUUUGUGGAGAACUAUCUGGGAUUGACUUAUCCGAGCUGGUAUGACCAGUGACUUCAGUUGGGGGUGGAAGUGGCCUUAUACGAGGACCAGUCACUGCCUCCCUGCAGUAUAAGCAGAAUUUAUCAUUAUAGCAGGCCUCAAUGCAAUGUAGAAACAAACAGCUGCAGUUCCCAAUCUUACUUGACGUGCGAAAUGCUUUGAGUGGCUCUAUACUGAAAGGGAAUUUCCAUGAGAGCAGCAAGAGCAAAGGUAGUCUCUUUCUUUGAAGUAUCUGUGUUCUCUGACAUGAUUUUUGUGAAGUUGACAAACUGCGUAGUGGAACAAUGAAUAAACAAGAAGGUUAAAAGCAAAAAGAGAGAAAAAAAAAAUGUGGUGGAAUUUAUUGAUUCUAAAAGAACAUUUUAAACUUAAAAUGUGUACUCGGGGCGCUAAUUACUACUGUCAGAGAGGAAUAAAUCAAACCAUAUUAUAAAAAAGUUCAAAGAAAGGGAACUUCACAACAAAAAGUGGCUGGAGAUCCAGAAUUAAUCCAUACCAAACCAAAAGCCAUAAUCCAGCGUAAACAUUAUUCAACAGCACAGUAAUCGGCAGUAACUACACCACACAUGUCUGACUAGAAUUUGUACUCAAUAAACACCCCUCGAUACAAACUACUGGAAUAUACAUUUAACAUACUUGAUUUACUUUUUCUGAAACUUCUUAUUUUGAAUUAUGCAGUUCUCUCGCUAGUCUUAUUAUGUUAACCCCGACAUUAUUGAUGCAACUAUACCUAUAAAAAGAACUUGGAUAAUUGCAAAAGGAAUCAUCAAUUGUGCUCUCCGUAUCGAACACCCUCCUCACAUUUCAAGACUUACAUUUUGCAUCUCCCCAACCUGAAAAAAACUGACUUGCCUCAUGCAUGCACAUCGCGCGAUCCACACCCAAAAAUUAAAACAAAGGUCGUGGAUGGGGUAAUUUGGGAAUGAAAAUGGCCUAACUUGGAACUUAGCAGAUUAAGUAGCAAAGGAAGAUGCAAUUUAAAACCAAUGGAAAGAAGUCAGGAUGGUAAUUGUAGGUUUUAAAAUGUGAGGAAGGUACUUGACAGGAGUAAAGUUCAGGAUGGUAUCAGUACUUUUCCCCAAAGAGAUCUUUCAGUACCUGAAAGUUAUCAAAUGCACGAUGAGGGAUAUUAUCAUCAAAUUGCUUCAUUGCAUCCCAUGGUCCAUCUCCCACACCAACUAAUAUGAUGGAGAGAGGAUAUUGGCUGCUCUACCAAAAAGAAACAAACAGGAUGUCAAGGAAUGUGAUAAUUGCAAAGUCGGAAUAUGUGACCUUUCUUCACCAAGCAGGACAGUAACAAAAACAUGCAAUUCCAAAAUUACCUAGCUGCUACUAUGGAGUUUAUAGUUGCCUGUUCUUGUGGGCUGAAUCUCCCAGGAGGUAAAUCAGGACUUCUAGUAACCUAUGAACCAUGGUGAUGGAACAAUAAGCAUGAGGAAAGAACUUGGUGAUAAAGCAACAAUAAGGAUGUGAUACGCAAAGUAUUGAGAACCUGUCCAUCUGCUAUAAUGACGAGGACAUGAUAUUGCCUGUUGCUCCUAGCCACAAUGUCGAUAGCGGCAUCAAUUAUCGGCGCAAAUGAUGUGGGCCCUAUAAACAACAGUAAUAGAAAGCGUUAAAAACUACCGCAUGGAAGUUUCUAUUAUAUGGACCUUCGACUGCCCGAGACAGCCUUAAAGGAUCCAUCAUAAACUCCUACGGACAAAUUUCCUGUAGGAGACCAACAAAAGAAACAUGAGACAAAAUGAGGGCAAUAAACCAUCCAAAAUGGGGAAAAGAAAAACAUAAAUGAUAAGUUCAUUCAUGGGAAAAUAUCAGUUAACAAAAUGGAAGACUAUCAUGGCUAAGUCAUGGCUCUGGAAGGAACUGGGAGUAUGUUGAGUGAAACAGCUAUUUUAUGACCUAAGUUUAAAACCUAUUCAAAAUAAUAACUUGGUUUACAAGUUGGGAAAGUUUGGCAUGGACGUUUCAAUCUUUAUUUCUUAACCAUGUAGGACCACCGAAACCUCUUGCUCUCCUCUUGGAUUCUUUAUAACGCUAUGAUUUGGGUAACAUUGAUGUCCAUCAAUCCUGCCAUUUAAAGUCUAAUGAAAAUGAAAAACAAAAAUACUACUGAUUUAGACAAGAUGUUUUCUUAUUCUUCACAAUGAUUGAGAACACUGUACUUUGCUCGAACUUGCAGAUUUGUUUAUUUCAGUUUUAAAAGAAGACGAAGACUGCAAAAUAUUUUGGCCUAAAGUAGAAACCAUCACAUAAGAACGAUCGGUAAAGAAGGAGAAAAACCUGACAACUUUAAGUGUGGGACGAUCUCUCUGUAACGUGCAAGCACUUCCUCAAAACCACGACAAGAACGAUGAUCAGAAUAAAAGCUGAAGACUGAUCGAUCAUGUGUUGAUGCUGCAAAAAGCAAUGUGAUGAGAAGAAAGCUUCAAAGGCGAUGAUAAGAAUUCCUACCAAAGCUACAAAUUACCAACAGCACUGACCAUCGCCAAAUCCAAAACAAGGUAUGAGUUCAUCUUCGUCAAAAGGGGACAAUGUUUUGCCGAUUAUAGAAAUUGCUUGCUCAUAUGGAUUAGGUGUGUUACCAGUGGCAUGAAGACUUUUUCUCCCGAAGGAAUAUUUACCUACGAUACAAAAUUCACAUUAUUUUUCCAAUAUAUAGUUUCAUAAAACCUUAAUGCUUUGUUUGUCCAUUGGAAAUAGAAUCACCUGACCACUCAUUGCUCUUUGUGAAAUCAAUACCAAGGAUUAAAUUUGAUGAUUCAAGGCCAGCGUCCCUCAGUGCAGUUGUGACCUAAAAUAUGAGCAUCACAAAUCCCAUUACUGUUUCAUUUUACAUCUUUAAAGUCAAAACAGCCAAAGUAUAAUCACCACAGUUCACAUUCCCAUCUAAUUUCACAGCUUUUCAAUCAAAACUGCCAAUCAACAAACAGCGGAUAGGAUAGACAAGAUUCAGAGAUAAAAAAGAAUAUUAUUAAGAAUCAAAUUAAGACUUAGCUCAAAUUCUGUGGAAAAAUUUUCAACCCAAAAAUUUAAGUAUUUAGACGGAGGGAGACUGCAUGCAUAUAAGAACAAACUUGUAAACAAGUGAUGUAAAUUUUUUAGACAACUCACGUCAGUUACCUCAACUCAAGAACAUAAACCACAUUAAACUUAAAUUUAACCAAAGUGGUACCAGGAAACUACAUUGGCAAGCCCAAUCACAACCCAGCCAAAUCUCCUUGGCACAUAACAGGCAAUGAUGAAGGGAGACAGCAUGUUCAUGAUCCUCCUAAACCUUAAUAGUCAAUGGAAACAAACAAAACAAUAAACACCUGAUCCAAGGAGUUGAAAUUAUCUCCAAAGUGCGUCGAUCGAUGCUCAUGUCCAUAUUUUGACUCCAUUUAGCUUUCUGCAAAAGAAGGUGGUUGAUGCAAAUAAUCAUAAUGAGGGUCAUAUAAGUUGAUUCAUUAUUGCCCAUUUCCAGAAUGACAGAUUUUCCUAUGAAAAGGUAUCUAUAUCUAUGUUUUGCUCAGACUAUCUUAUGAGGUAGAUGGUGGCUUUCUCACAGGAACAAACAAGGACCAAUGAACUACUUUAGAAGUCAACAAUAGUAAAACAUAAUUCUUACAUAAUCUGCUACAUUUCAAGCACACAAAUUACAGCAUGGUCAUUGAAAUUCUUUAUCCAAUAUCUCGGACCUGGAAGUACUUUUUCCCAUAGAAAGAACGCAAGACGCCAUGUUUCUCAAUAACGAUAAAGAAUUAGAAACUAAAAGUUAUUUAUAACCAACAGUUUGAGGGAGACUGCUGAUUCACUUCAAGAUGGCCCGCUUCCUUCAAUCAUCUAUUCCCUCAAAUAGAUCAUAAAUCGUUCAAAAUCUCCCGAUAAAACAUUGCCAUUAUAUAUAACUUGAAACUGAAAAACACAGGUCAGCAAAAAUCCAACCCCCUACAAAAUUUACAGAAUCCAAAUAUGUUAUCGAAGCAAACCAACAAGUCAAUUAGCCAAGCACAAUCACAACAGUUCGACCCACAUGAUUUCCAAGGUUCACAUUAUGGGUCCGGAACCAAGUUCAAGUUCAAGUUCAAGAUCGACCCUUUGGAAAAAGUGAAGAACUUUCCCACAUGUAGUGGCUCAGUUCACUCUAUCUUCAAAAGGGUCUCGAAGAAAGAUCCCGCAGACGCACUGUAAUCAGGUAUUCACCACAGUAAAAUCGAAAAAUUCAAGAAACCGCGUGGCGGAAAGCGGUGACAACGCCAUCAUCAAGAAUUGACAUGGGGAAAGAGAGAGAAAGAUGUACCCGUUCAUAAGUUGGAGGUAAGCCCAAAGAUUUGCAAGCUAUUCAAGAGCCUCCUUCUCUCGAUCGAAGGUCUCCGGAAGACGCAGAGAGAGUGGCCCUCUUGUCGCUUGACCGAUUUCUUCUGAGUCUUCCUGUUUCUUUCUUUCUUUCUUUCUUUUCGGUUUACUGCUUUCUGAAAAUUACUUCUGGCUUUAGCUGGCUCUGCCCCCACGUUCUCCACGUGUCUACUUGCAAUUAUAGGGACCAUCUGUAAUAAAACCUAGUUACUCUAAUUAGGUGCCAAGAUUUACAAAUUCAUCCUUGAUGAGAUUAUAAAAUUUAGGGAAAAAGCCAUGAAAAACCCUGAACUUUACUCAAAGUGACACAUUUACCCCAAACUUUUGUUUGUGACGUAAAAAUCCAAAACUUUGCCAACCAUGACACAUUUACUCCAAACUUUUUUUUGUGAAACAAAAAUCCUGAACUUUCAUUACGUGAUACAUUUACCCAAAAAUUAGAUGGCAUUUUGGUCUUUUCAUUUUUAAAUUUUUUUUUCUUCUCUCUUCCCUCCGCCGGCUCCGCCAUGGCCGGCGGAGGGAAGAAGAAGAAGAAAAAAAAAGGAAAAAACAGAAUAAAAAGACAAAAAUGCCCUUGAUGGGGUAAAUGUGUCACAAUUUAGAAAGUUUGGGAUUUUUCACGUCAUAAAAAAAAAAGUUUUGGGUAAAUGUGUCACUUUAGGCAAAGUUCAGGGUUUUCAUAGCUUUUUCCCUAAAAUUUACUUACUGUGACUCAAUUAUUGACUUAAAGUAUCCAAUCAAAGGCCACUUCGAUAGAAUCCAGAAAUAGAUGCUGAAAAUUUAAGUAUUGAAAUUUAAACACUGAUAAUCUAGAAUCUUAAUAAUCAAAUAAAAGGUUAUUUAGGGUAUGUCUGUUUUUUUUAAAGAUAUUCCUCCGAAAAUAAUCAUUUGUAUUUUGUGAAAUAAUACUUGUUGUUGAUUAAAAUAUUUGUUAUUCAUAUAUUCUUAUAAACAACGGAAGUCAUCAUUCUAAAAAAAUAUAUUUUUUAAGUUAUUUAUAGAAUAGAGCAUUAAUAACAACUGAAUAUUGAAUAUUCAUUGACAGGGGCUCAAUAAUUGACAAGAUCUUGAUUCCUAUCUGGAUCAAGCUUCUUCUCUAUUGUGUCUGAUUAAGGUAUCUACACAGAAAGGGGCCCAAUUUGUCCUUUCGAUUAUUCCCUUUCCUCUUUGUCUUUUCCAUUUUUGUGUUUUGCUUUUUCAGCUAACUAGAUGCACUUCCUCAGCUGGUAGCCUUCUACAUAAAGAACUAUUUAAUAACCAAUUAAGUGUUCAAAAUAAAUGAAAAUUUGAUGAUUGAGCAUCUUAUAGACUUUAAAGAUUCAAUUAAGGCCCGCUUGAUAAGAUUGAAAUAAUUUAAGGACUUAUUAUAAAUGUUGAUAAUCUUAAGGGUUGAAGAUGGAAAAAUAAAAAUCAAAUAUUGAAUUUGGAUUAAUAUUAUUAUCAAAAAUAGCAUUGUCGGAUCGCCAAGGUCGACCUUUGUCCUUGCUCGACAAGUGGUUCUUGCAGUCGAGCUCCCUUGUGGAAGGGUUGUCACUCAACAAAUAAUGGAUAACAGGCUCAUCUUCCCUAGGCGUUCACUUUGACGGCAAAGUUUGCCAUCUUGAUGUAUGCUCUUCACCACCUGUAGGUAAGUGAAUUAUUAUUAGGUUUUAAACAUGUAACAAUGUCAUCGCAACAUUUUUAAUUCCCAUUUGGCUGCCUUUCUUAUUGAAUGAAUUAUGUAUUCACUUCCUCAUUUGCAAAUCAUGUGACUUUCUGACUUAACUAGAUCAAAGCUAGUUACAAUCAUCAUAAGUGGUUAAUUUAUUGAGUACUAAACAAGAUUAAUCCCCCAUAUUUAAUUAGGCCCUCCGGCAAAAUUUCAUUUAGUAUGGUCCCCGUAUGAUAAAACCUAGCAAGUUUGUCAUUUGUAAGGCCAUGUCAUAGUAGAAAAGCCCUAUGAUUUAUUAAACUUUGGUUAUACGAAGUUUAGAGACCAUAUUAUAUUUUUCUUGGGCUACCUAGAUAUUAGCCACUUAAAAAAGAAUCAUCUUUUACAAUGUUCAUUAAAUGCAACAUCUCUUGCGGUCUAGCAAUGGAGAACACCUUGCGAGUGUGCAUGCUGAUAUACAAUCAAGGACCAGACUUGGUUUCUAUCACAAAAAAUUAUUCAUAUUUCGGGUCCUAAAAAGCACAAGUGACAAGUUUGAUUCUCGCUUCACGGACCUUUCAAGGCCAUGACACAAUUGACCAGUUUGUUUGCCAACCAUCCGCUGCAAACAUGAAAUCUGAUUUAGAACAUCACCCGUUUCCCAUGAAGAAGUGAGUAUCCAUUUCCAAACUACUGGAGUUUGGUUGCAAUUUAAAGUGAAACGCAAAUGGGGUCAUUGCAGUUUACACAAGAACAAAACAGUUGAUAAAUGAUACCGCAAGGUACCGUUUGUGGCUUCACAAUCAAUGCUCAAAUGCGCUCUAGCCACUUGAAAGAUUCAUGAUACUGACUCUUUCUUCUUUAUGCGAGCAGGAGCUCACGUGCUGGGGGACCAAAGGCCCCCUUGACCCUCUAGGAUAACAUCUACAUUCUAAUCCCGGUGUCAUUCAUGCCAAUGAACUCAUCUGAGAUUGUAAGAUUGUAAGCUGAUGCAUUGAAAAAUUGUGUCGUAAUGUGGGUAAGGGUCGUGAUAAAAAUGAAGAAUCCUGGACUCGGUAAGUUUUGCUGUCGGUAUAUAGAUAAUAAAUAGAUGAAGCCACGAGGUUGGAGCAAGAAAGUAUGAUGAAUGAUGUGAGGGGCUGGUGAAGGAUCUAUCUCAAAAACCAUACAUGUAUACUAGAAAAACGUAACGUAUUGUUUGAAUGGUAUAUAUCAGCAUCGUAUAAUAUAACACAAAAAAGGUGACGAAAGGUGAGAUUUAAGUAUCAUAUCUACCAGAACUUGAUUCUGAUUUAGUUUUGAUUGAAUCUCACAAAUCAUGGGAUUGUAGUUGUUAACCCACAAAUCAUAGGAUUGUAGCUUUCCUCCUAUUUAGGCUUUGUUUCCUUUUUGUUUGCUAGGAUUUCUCUAUGCAUUUGCCUACAAAUAUGACACUGUAAAGCUAAAGAAUAUAUGAAUGAUAAUAAGAAUUUCUCUCCAUCUAAAUUUCCACAUGGUAUCAAGGCUGGAGGUUCUGAGUUCAAAUCUUACUUAAUUCAAUUUGCCUCCCCAAUUAAAUUUUCACGUUUAGUAUUAAGCAAAAAGGCCAAGCUAAGCAUGAGGAGAGGAGUGUUAGAAUAUUAAGUUUAAGCUUUUAAAACAGUUGGCCGUAGUCCCAAAAAAUCUCACACUCCCUUCCAUUGCCAACAAAUUGCGGUUAGCUACUUAAAUGUACUCAGAGAUCUCCAUGUUGAUUUGGGUGGACAAGCCAAAUCCUCAAAGAACCAAGAUGAGGGAAAAUUCAAAGUUGUUCCUGGUCUCUAGACAGAAGUAAGGAGAAAGAAAUUUCUUACUCAGAGAGAUGGUAGAUGGAAAGUUGCCACUGAGGUCUUAGUUACUGAUGCCUCCAACAAAAAUAUAGAACAAGGAUUUGGUUGCAUUCAUUACGGGUUAUUGACAAGAAAAGAUAUCACUCAUCUUGUUCAAAGGGUUAACGAAAUGGCCUGUUAGGGGUUUCUGACAGAGUUCUGCUUACCUGUAGCCUCCUCGACUUCAUUUAUGAGUACAACAUACCACUUGCCUACUCUGAUUCCCAGUUGUAGGCCAUGAAAUUGCCACGUGUAUGGUGUUAUUCUUAUCCUCCCAGCUUUUCUAUAAUAUAUGUUUGCAUGUAUCACUAUGGGGUGUAAAGUUAGUAUGCCUCCAUUCACGUACGUAACAUGAAAAGGAUUAGCAACUGGAGUUUUGUAUUGAGACAAGGAGAGACUGGAAAUGUCAAUGUGAGCUUGUCAUGGGCACAUUUGUAGAGUGAACACUGCUCUAGAUGCCAGUUAAGUCAGCUGCGGAGAUUUUUGAAACAAUUCUGAACAUAUCUAUUGUGGUCGACGAGAGGGGAUACACUUCUAUUGCUAGUAUAACUUCUUUUGCGCAAUCUAAUUUUAUCAGUGUAUGUUGCUGGUAUAGCUUCUUUUGCGCAAUCUAAUUUAUCAGUGUCUGUUGCUGGUAUAGCUUCUUUUGUGCAAUCUAAUUUUAUCGGAUGGUGAAUUUGACAAUAAAGGUGAUACCAAUCUUAAAGAUGGUUAGUAAAUGUCCAAAAGAUUCUAAGAAAAUUCAUGGGAAAAAUGUCCUUGCUUAUCAAAUUCUGUUCUUUUUCCUCCGUUGACUUUUAUCCCCUUCGGAUCCAGCAUUUUAGUUUAUCAAUUUUUGUUAGGGUAGAGAGAUGACUCUUAAGUCUCGUCACCUAACGGUUUUUUAGAACUAAAGCACUGUCUGAAAUUAAAUCCGGAAGGAUCUAUGCUUAAAGGGGGAAAAGGCAUUGUGAUUUUCGAGGGAUUGUAGACCCUCCCCACUUUGUAAAUGGCUUUGCAUUCAAGCUCUUCUCCUCAGAUUGGUAUGGCUAUGAAGAAAACCAUAGGAAAUGACAAUAUAGGAUAGGAUCAAAUACGAAAUCUAUCCAUCAUUUGAGAAAAUACAGAAAGUUAGGGCAAAUAUACACAUCUAAUCUAUAAAAAAAAAAAGUUCAAAUCCACGGAGAAGUACAAACACAUCACAAUUUGCUUAGGAGACGCAAUCAAUCAGCAAACAAUUCACAUUCACGACUAAGUUAUCCAUUUUGUAACUUAAAAUCAUCUGCUCAUCUUCCCUUCUGCUGCUAAUACUCUCUUCGAUGGUUACCGCGAGCAAUGGCACAAGUCGAUGAUUUGACAAUCCAAUGCCAAUGCCGGGACUUUCACUAUUGCUCUUGCGAGCAUCGAAGCCCAUGUCACUUAAGUAUACAGUCUCAAACGGGUUGUGAUGGGCUGUCGGCACAAAGCUCUCCACUUUGUAAAUGGCUUUGCAUGUCUGGAAAGAAAUAAGGAGAUGACAUACGUAAGCUUACAUUAUCCAUAGCAAUACAGAUAUUGUCUCUCUCUAUCUCUCUAUCAUGUGAAGGAAUAAUUACUUCCACAUUUAAUUGUAGUUCGUACAUCUUUUCAAGUCUAGUUAGCCUUCGAUGAGAACAUCUCCUGCCCCAUAGAUGCUACUACUGUGGUAUUCUUUCCCGUUUAGGAUGAGGAUAGUCCCACCAUUUGUCAAAGAUAAUUUUGCGGGCAUACUCGUGAUUAGUUAAGUACGUGAGAUUUCUGGGGCAUGAUAAACAGCAAUAUUGUAUAAUAAGCUCAUUGAUUUGCUGAGCCACAGCCAACUUCGACAAAACCAGUGGAUUGAGAGCCGGAAGUUUCUUUGGAAAAUAUAUAGAAGUAACUAACUUUGCAGUAAUACUGGGUACAACCAAUUUUAUGCUUUUAGCUUUCAUUAUCAAGUAAAAUUCUACUCUAUUAGAUUCUAGCCUGAAAGUGAAAGCAAGUUCAGGUGGGAAAUGGUUAUAACAGGUGGAAACGUUAUACUCCACGAAUUGGAGGCCAUAUAAAGAAUGAUGCUAAUUGCUGAAUAGAGAAUGACUCACCAGAUGGGCCACAUCCAAAGGCCAUGUUCUUUGGAUUUGUAAGGCAAAUGGGGCAAACCUUGAAGAACACAAGCAGCUAAGUGCGGAUUUACAUUUAAUGAAGAACGUGAAGUUUCACAAAAUAAAAAAUAAAUAAAAAAUAAAUAAAAAGGUGAUUAAAUGACACUUAUUUUCCCGAAGCUGUUUCCUGAGUUUGUGGAGAACUAUCUGGGAUUGACUUAUCCAAGCUGGUAUGACCAGUGACUCCAGGUGGGGGUGGAAGUGGCCUUAUACGAGGACCAGUCACUGCCUCCCUGCAGUAUAAGCAGAAUUUACAUUAUAGCAGGCCUCAAUGCAAUGUAGAAACAAACAGCUACAGUUCCCAAUCUUACUUGACGUGCGAAAUGCUUUGAGUGGCUCUAUACUGAAGGGGAAUUUCCAUGAGAGCAGCAAGAGCAAAGGCAGUCUCUUUCUUUGAAGUAUCUGUGUUCUCAGACAUGAUUUUUGUGAAGUUGACAAACUGCGUAGUGGAACAAUGAAUAAACAAGAAGGUUAAAAGCAAAAAGAAAAAGAAAAAAAAUGUGGUGGAAUUUAUUGAUUCUAAAAUAACAUUUUAAACUUAAAAUGUGUACUCGGGGCACUAUUUACUACUGUCAGAGAGGAAUAAAUCAGACCAUAUUAUAAAAAAGUUCAAAGAAAGGGGACUUCACAAUAAAAAGUGGCUGGAGAUCCAGAAUUACUCCAUACCAAACCAAAAGCCCUAAUCCAGUCUAAACAUUAUUCAACAGCACAGUAAUCGGCAGUAACUACGCCAUACAUGUCUGAAUAGAAUUUGUACUCAAUAAACACCCCUCAAUACAAACUACUGGAAUAUACAUUUAACAUACUUUAUUUAUUUUUUCUGAAACUUCUUAUUUUGAAUUAUGCAGUUCUCUCGCUAGUCUUAUUAUGUGAACCCCGGCAUUAUUGAUGCAACUAUACUUAUAAAAAGAACUUGGAUAAUUGCAAAAGGAAUCAUCAAUUGUGCUCUCCGUAUCAAACACCCUCCUCACAUUUCAAGACUUACAUUUUGCAUCUCCCCAACCUGAAAAAAAAACUGACUUGCCCUCAUGCAUGCACAUUGCACGAUCCACACCCAAAAAUUAAAACAAAGGUCGUGGAUGGGGUAAUUUGGGAAUGAAAAUGGCCUAAUUUGGAACUUAGCAGAUUAUGUAGCAGAGGAAGAUGCAAUUUAAAACCAAUGGAAAGAAGUCAGGCUGGUAAUCAUAGGUUUUAAAACGUGAGGACGGUACUUGACAGGAGCAAAGUUCAGGAUGGUAUCAGUACUUUUCCCCAAAGAGAUCUUUCAGUACCUGAAAGUUAUCAAAUGCACGAUGAGGGAUAUUAUCAUCAAAUUGCUUCAUUGCAUCCCAUGGUCCAUCUCCCACACCAACAAAUAUGAUGGAGAGAGGAUAUUGGCUGCUCUACCAAAAAGAAACAAACGAAAAGUCAAGGAACGUGGUAAUUGCAAAGUUGGAAUAUGUGGCCUUUCUUCACCAAGCAGGACAGCAACAAAAACAUGCAAUUCCAAAAUUACCUAGCUGCUACUAUGGAGUUUAUAGUUGCCUGUUCUUGUGGGCUGAAUCUCCCAGGAGGUAAUUCAGGACUUCUAGUAACCUAUGAACCAUGGUGAUGGAACAAUAAGCAUGUGGAAAGAACUUGGUGAUAAAGCAAUAAUAAGGAUGUGAUACGCAAAGUAGUGAGAACCUGUCCAUCUGCUAUAAUGACAAGGACAUGAUAUAGCCCGUUGCUCCUAGCCACAAUGUCGAUAGCGGCCUCAAUUAUCGGCGCAAAUGAUGUGGGCCCUAUAAACAACGGUAACAGAAAGCGUUAAAAACUACUGCAUGGAAGUUUCUAUUAUAUGGACCUUCGACUGCAUGAGACAGCCUUAAAGGAUCCAUCAUAAACUCCUGAGGACAAAUUUCCUGUAGGAGACCAACAAAAGAAACAUGAGACAAUAUGAGGACAAUAAACCGUCCAAAAUGGGGAAAAGAAAAACAUAAAGGAUAAGUUCAUUCAUGGGAAAAUAUCGGUUAACAAAAUGGAAGACUAUCAUGGCAAAGUCAUGGCUCUGGAAGGAACUGGCAGUAAGUUGAGUGAAACGGCUAUUUUAUGACCUAAGUUUAAAAUCUAUUCAAAAUAAUAACUUGGUUUACAAGUUGGGAAAGUUUGGCAUGGACGUUUCAAUCUUUAUUUUUUAACCAUGUAGGACCACCUAAACCUCUUGCUCUCCUCUUGGAUUAUUUAUAAUGCUAUGAUUUGGGUCACAUUGACAACAAUACAUGCUAUGAUUUGAUGUCCAUCAAUCCUGCCAUUUAAAGUCUAAUGAAAAUGAAAAGAAAAAUACUAUUGAUUUAGACAAGAUGUUUUCUUAUUCUUCACAAUGAUUGACAACGCUGUACUUUGCCCAAACUUGCAGAUUUGUUUAUUUCAGUUUUAAAAGAAGAUGAAUAGACUGCAAAAUAUUUUGGCCUAAAGUAGGAACCAUCACAUAAGAACGAUCAGUAAAGCAGGAGAAAAACCUGACAACUUUAAGUGUGGGACGAUCUCUCUGUAACGUGCAAGUGCUUCCUCAAAACCAUGACAAUAACGAUGAUCAGAAUAAAAGCUGAAGACAGAUUGAUCAUGUGUUGAUGCUGCAAAAAGCAAUGUGAUGAGAUGAAAGCUUCAAAGGCGAUGAUAAGAAUUCCUACCAAAGCUACAAAUUACCGACAGCACUGACCAUCGCCAAAUCCAAAACAAGGUAUGAGUUCAUCUUCGUCAAGAGGGGACAAUGUUCUGCCGAUUAUAGAAAUUGCUUGCUCAUAUGGAUUAGGUGUGUCACCAAUGGCAUGAAGACUUUUUCUCCCGAAGGAAUAUCUACCUACAAUACGAAAUUCACAUUAAUUUUCCAAUAUAUAGUUUCAUAAAACCUGAAUGCUUUCUUUGUCCAUUGGAAAUAGAAUCACCUGACCACUCGUUGCUCUUUGUGAAAUCAAUACCGAGGAUUAAAUUUGAUGAUUCAAGGCCAGCUUCCCUCAGUGCAGUUGCGACCUAAAAUAUGAGCAUCAAAAAUCCCAUUACUGUUUCAUUUUACAUCUUUACAAUCAAAACCGCCAAAGUAUGACCACCACAGUUUACAUUCCCAUCUAAUUUCACGGCUUUACAAUCAAAACUGCCAAUCAUUAAACAGCGGGUAGAAUAGACAAGAACCAGAGAUAAAAAAGAAUAUUACUAAGGAUCAAAUAAAGACUUAGAUCAAAUUCUGUGGAAGAAUUUUCAACCCAAAAAUUUAAGUACUUAGACAGAGGGAGACUGCAAGCAUAUAAGAACAAACUUGUAAACAAGUGAUGCAAAUUACUUCGACAACUCAUGUUAGUUACCUCAACUCAAGUACAUAAACCGCAUUAAACUUAAAUUUAACCAAAGUGGUACCAGGAAACUACAUUGGCAGACCCAAUCACAAACAGCCAAAUCUCCUUAGCACAUAAAAGGCAAUGAUGAAGGGAGACAGCGUGUUCAUGCUCCUCCUAAACCUUAAUAGUUAAUGGAAACAAACAAAGCAAUAAACACCUGAUCCAAGGAGCUGAAAUUAUCUCCAAAGUGCGUCGAUCGAUGCUCAUGUCCAUAUUUUGAGUCCAUUUAUCUUUCUGCAAAAGAAGGUGGAUGAUGCAAAUAAUCAUCAUGAGGAUCAUAUAAGUUGAUUCAUUAUUGCCCAUUUCCAGAAUGACAGAUUUUCCUAUGAAAAGGUAUCUAUAUUUAUGUUUUACUCAGACCAUCUUAUGAUGUAGAUGGUGGCUUUCUCGCAGGAAUAAACAAAGACCAAUGAACUACUUUAAAAGUCAACAAUAGUAAAUCAUAAUUCUUGCAUAAUCUGCUACAUGUUGAGCAAGCAAAUUACAGCAUGGUCAUUGAAAUUCUUAAUCCGAUAUCUUGGAUCCGUAAGCAUUUCUUUCCCAUAGAAAGAACGCAAGAUGCCAUCUUUCUCAAUAACGAUAAAUAAUUAGCAAACAAAAGUCAUUUGUAACCAACGGUUUAGGGGAGACUGCAGAUUCACUUCAAGAUGGCUCGCUUCCUUCAAUCAUCUAUUCCCUCAAAAUGAUCAUAAAUCGUUCAAAAUCUCCCUCUAAAAUAUCACAUUCCAUGCAACUUGAAACUGAAAAACCCGGGUCAGCAAAAUCCAACCCCCUACAACAUUUACAGAAUCCAAAUCUGUUGUACCCAAUAAGUCCUUAGUCGAAGCAAACCAACCAGUCAACUAGCCGAGCACAAUCACAACAGUUCACCCACAUGAUUUCCAAGGUUCACAUUAUGGGUCCAGAACCAAGUUCAGGUUCAAGAUCGACCCUUAGGAAAAAGUGAAGAACUUUCCCACAUGUAGUGGCUCAGUUCAAUCUAUCUUCAAAAGGGUCUUGAAGAAAGAUCCCGCAGACGCACUGUAAUCAAGAAUUCACCUCAGUAAAAUCGAAAAAUCAAGAAACCGCGUGACGGAAAGCGGUGACAACGCCAUCAUCAAGAAUUGAUAUGGGUAAAGAGAGAGAAAGAUGUACCUUUUUAUAAGUUGGAGAUAAGCCCAAAGAUUUGCAAGCUAUUCGAGAGCCUCCUUCUCUCGAUCGAAGGUCUCCGGAAGACGCAGAAAAAGUGGCCCUCUUGUCGCUUGACCGAUUUCUGCUGAGUCUUCCUCUUUCUUUAUUCCUUUCUUUCUUUUCGGUUUACCGCUUUCUGAAAAUUACUUCUGGCUACAGCUGGCUCUGCCCCCACGUUCUCCACGUGUCUACCUGCAAUUAUAGGGACCAUCUUUAAUAAAACCUAGUCACCUUAAUUAAGUGCCAAGAUUUACAAAUUCAUCCUUGAUGAGAUUAUAAAAUUUACUUACAGGGACUCAAUUAUUGACUUAAAGUAUCCAAUCAAAGGCCACUUCGAUAGAAUCCUAGAAACAGAAACUGAAAAUUUAAGUACCGAUUUAAACACUAAUAAUCUAGAAUCUUAAGAAUCAAAUAAAAGGUUAUUAAAAGUAUGUCUGUUUUUUGAAAGAUAUUCUUCCGAAAUAAUCAUUCGUAUUAUGUGAAAUAAUACUUGUUGUUGAUGAAAAUAUUUUUUAUUCAUAGAUUCUUAUAAAAACAGAAGUCAUCAUUCUAAAAAAAAUAUUUUUUUAAGUUAUUCUAUUAAUACAGCAUUAAUAACAACUGAAUAUUGAAUAUUAAUUGACAGGGGCUCAAUAAUCGACAAGAUCUUGAUUCAUAUCUGGAUCGAGCUUCUUCUCUAUUGUGUCUGAUUAAGGUAUCUGCACAGAAAGGGGCCCAAUUUGUAUUUUCGAUUAUUCUCUUCCUCUUUGUCUUUUCCAUUUUUGUGUUUUGCUUUUUAAGCUAACUAGAUGCACUUCCCUCAGCUGGUAGCCUUCCACAUAAAGAGCUAUUUAAUAACCAAUCAAGUGUUCAAAAUAAAUGAAAAUUUGAUGAUUGAGCAUCUUAUAGACUUGAAAGAUUCAAUUAAGGCCCGCUUGAUAAGAUUGAAAUAAUUUAAGGACUUAUUAUAAAUGUUGAUAAUCUUAAGGGUUGAGGAUGGAAAAAUAAAAAUCAAAUUUUGAAUUUGGAUUAAUAUUAUUAUCAAACAUAGCAUCGUCGGAUCACCAAGGUCAACCUUCAUCCUUGCUCGACGAGCGGUUCUUGCAGUCGAGCUCCCUUGUGGAAGGGUUGUUACUUAACCAAUAAUGGAUAACACGCUCAUCUUCCCUAAGCGUUCACAUUGACGGUAAAGUUUGUCAUCUUGAUGUCAGCUCUUCACCACCCAGAGAUAAGUGAAUUAUUAACAGGUUUUAAACAUGUAACAAUGCAAUUGCAACAUUUUUAAUUCCCAUUUUGCUGCCUUUCUUAUUGAAUGAAUUAUGUAUUCACUUCCUCAUUUGCAAAUCAUGUGACUUUCUGACUUAACUAGGUCAAAGCUAGUUACAAUCAUCAUAAGUGGUUAAUUUAUUGAGUACUAAACAAGAUUAAUCCCCCAUAUUUAAUUAGGCCCUCAGUCAAAAUUUCAUUUAGUGUGGUCACCGUAUGAUAAAACCCAGCAAGUUUGUCAUUUGUAAGGUCAUGUCACGGUAAAAAAGCCCAAUGAUUUAUUAAAUUUUGGUUAUAGGAAGUUUAGAGACCAUAUUAUAUUUUUCUUGGGCUACCUAGAUAUUAGCCACUUAAAAAAGAAUCAUCUUUUACAACGUUCACUAAAUGCAACAUCUCUUGCAGUCUGGCAAUGGAGAACACCCUGCGAGUGUAAAGCAUGCUGAUAUACAAUCAAGGACCAGACUUUGUUUCCAUCACAAAAAAUGAUUCAUAUUUCGGGUCCUAAAAAGCACAAGUGACGAGUUUGAUUAUCCCUUCGCGGACCUUUCAAGGCCACAACACAAUUGAGCAGUUUUCUUGCCAACCAUCCGCUGCAAACAUGAAAUCUGAUUUAGAACAUCACCCGUUCCCCAUGAAGAAGUGAGUAUCCAUUUCCAAACUACUGGAGUUUGAUUGCAAUUUAAAGUGAAACGCAAAUGGGGUCAUUGCAAUUUGUGCAAGAACAAAACAGUUGAUAAAUGAUACUCCAAGGUACCGUUUGUGGCUUCACAAUCAAUGCUCAAAUGCGCUCUAGCUACUUGAAAGAUUCAUGAUACUGACUCUUUCUUCUUUAUGCGAGCAGGAGCUCACGUGUUGGGGGACCAAAGGCCCCCCUGACCCUCUAUGAUAACGUCUACAUUCUAAUCCCGGUGUCAUUCAUGCCAAUGAACUCAUCUGAGAUUGUAAGCUGAUGCAUUGAAAAAAAGGUGUUGUAAUGUGGGUAAGGGUCGUGACAAAAAUGAAGAAUCCUGGACUCGGUAAGUUUUGCCGUCAGUAUAUAGAUGAUAAAUAGAUGAAGGCGCGAGAUUGGAGCAAGAAAGUAUGAUGAAUGAUGUGAGGGACUGGUGAAGGAUCUAUCUCAAAAACCAUACAUGUAUACCAGAAAAACGUAACCUAUUGUUUGAAUGGUAUAUAUCAGCAUCGUAUAAUAUAACACAAAAAAGGUGACAAAAGGUGAGAUUUAAGUAUCAUAUCUACCACUGCCCCAGCGAAUCAACUUGGUCUUGGUGCUGUAAUUGCUUUUGAAUGGAACUGGGAGAGUAAGGCAAGGAGAUCAAUGGCUGAUGAUCAGUGCCCCCGAAAGGGCGAGGCUGAGACAGAAUGCUUGCUGAAGAACAAAAACCGUUACUACUGUCGUUAUCGUUAUUGGUGAACCCCAUGUUGGUGCUGUGAUCAUGAAUCUGAUGAUCGAAUGGUUGCUGAUGCAUCCCAUGUUGCUGUUGUGGUUGCUGUUGAUCCGAUGAAGAGCAUGAUCUCUGUUGCUGUUUGGGGACAUUCAGCUUCUCACCUUCAAUCUCUCUGUACUUGUUGAGGUAUGUCUUGAGGGGGACGACAUAAUCCUCAAACCCUAGAGUGGUGACCGCCCAGAUGAUGUCGUCCCCAUUGAUGGUCUUCCUCUUCUCCCUCUGGCACUUGUCUGAUGCCUCCCCAGUGACGAAGCUGAUGAACUCCGACACACAUUCCUGGACCGUCUCUUUCGCGUCCUUGGAGAUCUUGCCAUUCCCAGGAAGCACCUUCUUCAUGAUCCUCCCAACGUUAGCAAUUGGCAAGAACCUGUCCUGUUCUUUGUUGCUGUGGUGGUGGUGAUGGUGGUCGGUCUUUGAGCAAGGGCUCUCCGGGCUGGAGCUUCUUCUUCUGGGCACCACAUUUGGCACAUUUCCAUGAUGGCUCUCAAUCUCUUCUUCCAUCUCUCUCUCCCCCACCUCUCUCUCUCUCUGAGUAUGUGUCUGAAAAAGACAGGUCCUUGAUUUUUUAUUUUUUUUGGGGGGUGAUUUUUAUUUAUUUAAACGAGGGUGAGUUAAAAUAAAAAUGGCAUGGGAAGCUUGAAAAUAGGCAAACAAAGAGGGUGAGCCCCCGGGGACUCGCUCCCCUCAGGGACAAGGGAAUUAACUGUCCUGACUCCAUCUUUUAACUAUAUUUUGCUUGCCCAUUGUCUUGCUCAACUGGGUUUUCUUUUUAAUACCCUUUUUUCUACAUGGACAGCUGAAAAAGAACCUUCCGUUUUUCUUUUUUUUUUAAGGGUAUUCUAAUGUGAUUCUUGACCAAUUUGAUCUGGUCUAGGAAUUCCCCGUUGAUCAUGAUUUACUUGAGGGUAGAGAUAUGACAACCACCAGGUUUGUUCUAGUGACGUUGAUAGCUUUACCAGCUUGAGCCUGGUUUUAUUAAUUUUAACAUUGAACACUGAUUUUGAAGGGACAAGAGAAAUUACUCAUCACUUCACUAUGGCGAUGACUCAAAAUCUGUAAAUGAAAGAGAGAGAAUUUAAGUUUUGAAAAACUUAUGAAUUGGUGCGAAUUUACAUGUCAAUACUUGCAUAUUUCGCAAGGCUCAUUUUACUCAAAUUCAGUUAAUGUUGACAUGUUGACAUCUCAGGUUCUGUUCCCAGGUUUGUUCUUGGUGGCGACUCUAGCUUGGUAAUGAUCAUUUUUGCAUGACGUAUAUCACCCGAAUCUGAAUUUGAGAAGAUCUUAGGAACCAAGACGCUAUUAGCGGGCGAGGGAUUCUGGCUUUACAACAUUCUAGGUGCCACACCUGAGCUGCAAGAUUCGAGUAAAUUGCUAAAAGCAAAAGUCCCCUGGACAGAUCCUUGGAGAAUCUCCAUUUUUGUUCUCUCAGAUCAAAGAAGUCCAGUCAUCGAACUCUGAUUAGCAGUCAGCUCACUUAUCAAGCCAAGGAUCACAGAAUGCGUUCCACCAUCACUGUCCUGACGACUGAUGAGUUAGGCCCUUUCUUUCAUGUGAGGUCAACUUGGCAGUAUUUUCGCCCAUGAUCGUUGACAUCACAUUUUGUCAGUGCCACUAAUGACUAAACAGCACUAACUCCAAAGAACAGCACACGGGAGACAACUUUCAUUGAGUUAAAGAUUUUAUUAAGCCUAAGCAGAGAUCACAUCUCGAUCAGACGAAAAUUCAUUAAAAAUCUUGACUAAUACAUAGUAAUCUGUUCCCCACUCUUCAUCCAAUCAAUUAGAAAAGAAAGAAUAGACCACGUGGGAACUCAGAAUCAAUGAGCUUCUCACUUGCAUGAAAGCAUUGAUGAUUUCUUUGACAAAUAACGAAUAAUGUUACAAUUAAUUACCGGCAUCAGACUUUCACCUAAUGAAAACACAAAAAAGAACCAAAAAGGGCAUGCAAAGGAUAGGACACUGAUGGGGCCUAACCGACAAGCUAUACGGCCUAAGGUAGAAGUACAGUUUCCGUGACUUGCAAAAUCGCGAUGGAGAUAAAGAAUAACCUAAAUCUUAAUUGGCAUCACCGACAACACAACCUCAAGAAUUGAGAAGCAGGGUGAAAGGUGUAAAUGGAGUUUACUCUAAGCAAUGGCGUAGCUGACUGUCUCCGAUUUGCUGGGGCGCCACAUGGACUUCUGGACACAAAGCAAACCCUCGUUGUCCUUGGAGUACGUCAGCCGGACUUCCCAUUGCAUCGCCCGCACCAUGCUCUCCACCUCAUUGAUUGUCUCGACAUCAUCCCUGAUGAUCAACUUGCCCCCAGGUCUCAAGAUACGAUCCACCUCUGCUACUAGAGCUACUAAGUUGCACCUGUUGAGACCAGUAAUAUGGCCCAGUGAGAUUAGAUUAUCACACCAAAAAAGCUCGCAGAAGUCAAUAGUGUAUCUUCCUUCUAGGAUAGACUUAGCUAUAUAAAUUCAAGUAGACAAAAAGAUUGCAUGUAUGACAUCAUCAGGUACCUCUUUUUGAUCUUGGAGAAGAGAUGGUCCGAAUGGAGAAGAUCAUAAGAUCUGGGGUAGGUGCUAAAAGAUUCACACCAGUCAUGAUAAAUGCCAAAUAGACCUCGUUCAUAGAUUAUGGGUAAGGUAUCCGGGGCAUCGACGGAUACCACAUUCAUGACCCACACAUUCAAAUCUUUUAAAGCAGCAGCAAACCUGCAAAGACAACCGUUUAGAACAAUAAAGAAGAGAACACAGCAAAAAUAAGUAAGAGCAAGUCGUAAAGCAGGACGAUAUCGCUUGUCUUACAAAAGAUUGCUUACCCUCCAUAAAUUGCUCGCAUGUCCAUGACACUCCUAACAGUUGACCAGUCAAUCCCAAUUCCACUUAAAUAUGACUUGGUCACAACCCGUUUCCAGUGCUUAUUGUCUAAAGCGAAAUCCUCGGGGGCAGAUUUACCAUAGACUCCAACCUGGGAACUCAACAGCCAAUAAGGUGUUUUGACCAACCUCGCUGGCCAUUCCUCUGGCCAUUGAGACCCACGUUCCGCAGAGUCUAUAGGUAUUUUAUGCAUGCAUGUUUGCAGAGGCACAUACCUAUUCAGAAAGGAGGACAUGAUUGUCAGAAGCAUUCUUACAACACCAGGGAACCAUGAAUAAUUAUAGGUUUAGAUGAAAGAUAAAACCUCAAAAGAAGCAAUAACAAGUAAAGGGUUUUAAAAUAGAAAGCAAUAACAAGUAAAGGGUUAAAAAAAAUAGGCGAGAAGUUCCAAAUUAAUUGGGUUUGGGUUGGUUAGAAAAAAAGGCCAGAGACUGCAGAUGCUUCAAAAAACUUAAAUCACCUAUUUAUGCUCUAAAAUAAACAAUCAUUCACCAAUAAAAAGUGUCAUUUAUUGCUCUGAGCAUAUAAAGUAUAUUGGUUAUCUCGAAAAAGGGGUUACUUACCAGGCAGCAUUUGAAUCAUCAGAGUCUGCACACAUUGGGGGAUCAUUUUGGGAUCUUUUCUCAUAGCAUUCAUUAGACAUAGGCUUCCUGUAGGUUGCUACACCAACCCCAUUCAAAGUAUCCUUAUUUAUAGAUAUCAGCUCCCAGCACAUUGACUUUAGUAGUGCAGACAUGGCUGCAAACAAUUAUGGCAACAAGAAAGCUAUUAGAAUCCAUCAAUAAGCUUCCUUUUCACAAAGAAAUCCAGCUAAGCUAAGAUAUUCUACCUUUCCAAAUGGCAACAUCAUCUGGAAUCUUCUGAUAAACUGGAGUAGCUGACCACACAAAGAAACCACCAGGUCGCAAGAGGCGGUUCAGCUCCAAGAGGAGUUUACCACCUGCAAAAGAAUUAGACUAGCCCUGAGUAUCUAUGCAGACUAGCUAAGGGUAAACAGAAUGUAACUGUAACUGCAUGUACUUUUCUGAACAAAAAAUUCAUUAACUGCAUUGUAUAGGAGGUAUCAUGAUUCUAAGUAACAUAACUGUAGAACAAAAUAGAUAUAGUGUACCUUCUAUAUGCCACGGGACUCUACAGCGUGCACAAUGUACAAUAUCAAAGACUCGGCUAGGGAAGGGAAGUCUCGUGGUGCCCAUGACAGCAGAUAUAGCAGGGAUUCCCCUCUCAAGUGCGAAUUGAACCUGUGCUUCAUGUUCAUCUUUCGGGGCAAGUGACAUUGCAAGAACAUCUCUAUCAAAGAGAUAGCCUCCAAAACUAGCAACACCACAUCCCACAUCCAAUAUCACACGAGAGCGUUUUCCCCAGGCAACAUCAGGAACAGACUGCAUGAUACCGGAAAAAAAAAACCAUCAGAAAAAGGAAAGAAGGUGCAAGAAGAGCAAUAAAAUCAUGUAUAACAGACUCACAGUCAAAAUGGUGAGGUCAUAAGAGAGAUGCAAGGAUAUGAAGAAAGCUCACACAUGGACGAGAUAAAGAGCAUAAGCAAAAGCAGUUUGAAGCAUGGUAUCGAUUUUAAGAAGGAAAGCAGGAGAAGCAACUCACCUCCUGGAUGAAAUCGAUGUAAUGCAGAGCACCAUGUUUAAAUUGGGUUCCGCCACCAGGGAAGGUAAGGUAUUCACCACUAACUUUCACCCAGUUCUGGUGGCCCUUAACUUCAGCGAGCUUGGUGUGUGGAACAUUAUAGUACCAUAUCUGCAACAAGACAAUCAAAGGUUAGCAACAACACAGGGCAAGAAUAAGCAGAUACAAACUUGAAGCAUCAUAUGAAGCAUGCCUUUUCUCUACUUGUAGGCCACUCAAUUGGCUUUCUGUAUCCUUUAGGAAGAGCAACGAGGCAAGUAGGUGGAUUCUCGGGGCAGUGCCUCUCUCGGUGUUCGUAAUGCUUGGUAGAGCUAAGCCUCUUAAUAGCUUGCAAAUUAUCAAGGCAGGGAAUAUAAUCAGAACCAGCAGUAACAUUACACAUUUUCCAGCUGUAGCUAGUUUGCUGCUUGGAUGAACCUUGAGAUUCCUUCUCAUUCUUCGAUUCAGCAGCUUGUGUAGAAAAUGCCCCAUUCUGAGUUGUAGUUUCAUUCAAAAGUUCUGAUUGAGCACCAGAAGGGAACACUUCAGAAGGACUCUGAUCCUUUGUCUGACUCUCAUCCUUCUUGUCAUUCGAGCUAUCCCCAGAUCCAUCAUUAUCAUCUUGGUUCACCUUCUCCUCAAUCUCACCAUCCACUUUCUCUUCACUCUUAUUAUCAGCUGAAUUUUCUUCGGAAUCCGUUUUCUUCUCCCUCUCAUCUGUAUCAGAUUUCUGUUCACCAGAAUCAUUAUCUCCACCAUCAGUUUUUGAUCUAUCUGUUUCUUGAUCUGAUUCAUUAUCUUCGGACUUGGUCUCCUCCACUGAACUUUCCUUUUCGCCAGUUUUCUGUUCCACGUUCUCAUCUUGCUUCUGUUCUUGGUUCUCUUGCGAAUUCGAGUCACUUUCACUCUGAGAAGGCGUAUCAUUGGUGUCUCCUUUGGUGGCAUCCUCGGGUAAGUCACCUGGAUUAUCCUCAAAUUGGCUGGUGUUGCUAUCUUUUUUCUCUUGUUCCUUUACUUCAUCCACAUUCUCAUAUGCUUGUUCCUUCACCUCAUUAUUGUUCUCAACCACUUGCUCCUUCACCUCACUCUUGGUCUCCUGGGAUACGUCUACAUUUUGCACGGGAACAACUGACGACGAUGUCAUCAUCCAUACUCCAACCAAGCAGAGGGCAACAAAAACUGCUAUUGUCACCGUAGAGCAGUAACUUGACGAGGACCUUCUAUUAUCGACUCUAGUAUAUUUUCCUAAAGCCAUGUUUUACAGUGUUACAAAAUCCUAUAAGUUUACACCUGGAAGGAGUAAAAGAUAUAAUCAGCAAUAAAACAAGAUGUUAGCUAACGAUCAAGGAUCAAAACCUAUUCAAUCACACUAGCUUAAAUAAAUCCAUUGCUUUCAUUGAAGAUAAGAAAAGAUUCAACAGAUCCACUGAUUCCCUUAAUAACAAUGAUCAAAAAGCUCAAAAGGUUGCAACAAACACCAGACAAUCUAGAAGACGAAUCGAGAACAGCCCAAUUCUUUCCAGAUGCUUCAGCUAGAUUCACAAUGAUCCAGACUUUUAGUAUUAACCAAAUCAUAUCAAAAGGAGGUUCAAAACUAACGAAGACAAUGGAACCGAUCAAGUCAUCCUAAACACCGACAGAUAAAGAAGGCCAAAAGCAAGAAUUACAUCCCUUCAAUGCCAUACAAAACGCAGCUUGUUUGUGCUCAAAAACUCAAAUCGAACCGAGAAAAUAAAAAAAAAACAAUCGAGCCGCCCAGAUCUACGCAAAUCACAAUCCAAUCGCAAGAAAACAAAUCAAAAACCCCGAAAAAAAGCGAGCUUAUCGCGAAAUGCCGAUCAAGAUACAACCUUUUCAGAGACCCACGAUUUCUAACCUCAAAAAAGAUCGAGACAAACGUAAACCCAAGAGACCCGUGUAGAUCCGUAGAAAGACUCGCGUACCCACAUGCACCAAAGUGCAAGAUCAAGAAAAUACGAAUCUCAAGUAACCAAGAUAUCACACGAGAGCUAAAGAGAUCAGUACUUACAAUCUGGGAAAGAAAAACCCAAAAAAAACCCGAGAUUAUCAGAUCUGAGUCUGAACAGAGAAGGUGAAGGGAGAGCGCUAUCUGGCCAUCACUGUCUCUUGGUGGGUCACACUGGAGGGGAGAAGAUCGAGCGAUUUCGGGUUAUUACUUAUAGAAAGCAAGAAGGGAUUUUUUUUUUCCUCCCUUUUCUUUUCCCUUUUUUGUAUCCCUUUUCUGUGUACGUGGUUUUGCUGAGCUGCCGUCGGCUGGAGUGAAAUCCAGCAAUAAAUUUUCAAGAAUUCACGAGCGACGCCGAAGGGGGAAAGAAAAGGGGAAGAAACCGCGUUGUGGGAAUUGAGGGGGAGUGGGAUUUUGGGUUAUUUUACACAAAGCUCCUAGAUUUGGUGCUCUGAUGGUGGGGCACAGAGAGAGAGAAGAGAGAGAGAGAGAGGGCAAUGGGUGAAAAUCGGUGGAUAAGAAAGGGAGAAGACGACAGGAAGAAGGGAGAACACACCCCCUUCCUGAAAUUCCUCCAGCCAGGCGAGGGCAAGUUAGGGAGGGGAAUGGAUACUUGGGAAUUUUUUACUAUUUUGGCAAUUGCCAUUAGUUUCUUCUUUCUUUCUUUUCCUCUUUUUUUCCCUUUUUUGGGGAUAUUUUAGUUGGGGAAAUAUUCGAGAUCGUGUGUGAUUAUAUGUGAAAAUCUUCGUUUUAAAGUUUUUGGGUGUUUCGUGUAAUGAAAGCGAAAUCAUAAAAGCCAUAAAAGAUUUUAAAAUAAAUUACAUAUAACAAAGCAAAUUCUAAAUUGAUAUAUCUAUAACAAAUCUAUCAUCCAUUAAAUUUUAGUAUUAAAUUAUUAAGUUUGAUGACAUGUAACACUAAUUUAAGGUUUUACCAUCUGUUAGUUACAAAUGUAUCAAUUUAUAGUUUUUUCGUAAUAUUAAUCUAAUUACGAAAGGUAAAUUUAUCAUAAAUGAAUCAAUUUGAGGUUACUGGUUAAAAAUUUAUUUUGGAGUAAAUUUAUCAUGAGUGUAUUGAUUUGCAAUUUUCAAUGGUGAAAAAAUUAGUUUGAAGCAAAUUGUCAUAGAUGUAUCGAUUUAAAAUUUUUCGUUAUAUCAAUCAUAUUACAAAAACCUAUUAAGCAUCAUGUUCCUAUUAUUAUUGUUGGUCAUGUGAAAAUAAAGUAUUUCACCUUAAUCUCUUGAUGGGAGUGCAAGGAUGUAGAACAAAAAAAUCUUUUCGAAUGAUUGUUCUUCUCAUAGUUAUUCCCACUUUUUUGUUGUGUUUAUUUUUUUCAAAUUGUAUAUAUGGGAAAUUUCAUGAACGGAGGUUAAUACACAUGAAAUAAAUCGAGACAGAACUUACUGUGAUGUCAUAUCCGAAUAUCCAAUUUAAAAGCUUAAAUAUACACGUUAAAUGAGAUACUUGUGCUUAUAAACCCUAGAAAUAAGAGAUGUACAUAUAUGUAAUCUAGAUUCGAGUCUUCAUAGAGCGAGAAAAAGAAGAGUUUGGAAAGAAAGCUUGUAUAUUACUUCUUUUGCUAAUUUCACCUAACAUUCUUUUCUUUUAAAUAAUAUAAAUUAUGGGUAUUAAUAUAUCAUCUUCAUGAAAAUUAACCCUAUAAUUCUUUUUAGCACUUGGGUUAUUACGACUUUCAAGAAAAUCCAACAUGUGCAACUACUUAUAUCACAUCAUGUGCACCGGCAUGAUCAUAUAUGAUCUAAAAAAUUUAGAUAUUUAUAUCGAUGUAACGGCAAUUAAUUUUAGUGAUUCAAUUGGGCCCCCAUUGCUCUACUUUCCACCGAAAAAGAGAGCAUGAUUUUAGCAUGUGCAAUUAAGUGCAUUUAAGGUUAUUUUAUCAGGUCGGAAUUAAAAGGGCUAAGCUAAUAGCUAGUUGGAUCUGAAUCAUGGUCCAUAGGGCAUGAUUCAUUAAACGAGGGGUCCGAUGGAAGCUUCAUCCUCAAGCAAAGGUGCAAUUAAUUGUCACAUUUAUCAAUCCCGAGCAGCAUUUCAUCAUUAAAUUCGAAUCUCAAAGUUUACACCUUCUAGGGAACAUAAUCGCGGGAGUCUAGAUAGUUAGGUGCUCUUAUUUUUUUUAAUUAAAAAAAGGAAUAUUCAUUACCUUAAAAUGCUAUUGUUGAUUUAGAUUGACAGAGAUUUUCUUACCUUGAUAUUAUGGAUAAUUACAUAAAUGAUUUGUGCAUUUUGGCUCAACGUGCAAUAUAGUCUCUGAAUUCAAUAUGGUUUCCAAAAUUUUGGUAUAUUUUCAAUUUAGUCUAUAAAUUAUAUUAAUUGUUCAAUAUUAUCAUUCAAUUAGUUCAAGUUUAGGAAUAACAUUAAAUAUUUUCUUAUACUUCAAAUAUUAAAUUGAAUAUAUAUCAAAAGUUUGGAACUAAUUAAACAUUUUAAAAUUUCAUAAACAAUAUUACAUAUUGAGCAAAAAUUCAGCGAUCACAUUAAAUAAAUUAGAAAUUUUAUCAACCAUUUUGCAGAUUAAGCAAGAGUUUAUGGAUCAUUUGUAUUAUUUUCUCUUGAUGUUAAUUUUUUAUUUAAUUAUUUAAUGAAGUAAAAGUAUUAAUGUAGCGUCAUGCUUCCUAUUUUGGUAAGAGUUAGACAGCUCAUGCCACCCACACUGCGAUUUUCAUAAGUUUAGCCAUAACUCGCUUUCCGAAUUUACGGAUUUUAUCUAGAGCGCAAUUUUAACAUUGUAGCCGCCGAUCAAGGGCCAUAUAAGGGACAUGAGUUACCAACCUUUCAAUUAGGUUAGGUGAAUUUUUUUUGGUGAGUAGAUAUGAUAAGGAAUAGUUAAAAAGGAGCAUCGUAUACAAGUUAUCUAACUUUUGAUUAGGUUGGGUCAAUCUUCUUAAGCAAAUAUUUUGAACAAUGGUUUAAAAACAAGUGUCAAGUUCGAUAUCAAAUGGGUUGGACACUUUGAUGCCAUUCGUAAGUAAUGCAUGCCCUAGAAUGGUUACAAUUUUAGGUUAUCAUAUGACUACUUCUUUCGAGGGGUUCGAUUUACACAAGAUCAUUCGAAUACCCUAAGUAAUUAUCAUUUUGUGCGGUCGUCGUUGAUGGUGUCGGAGAGGGGCCGCUUCCAGGUAGAUAAGAAUUCGAGAAUGCAAGAUUCAAAACCUGGCAAAAAGGCAUCAUGACAAAAGGGGCGAGAAUAAAUAAUUGCAAAUUCACCCCUCGAUGCUCCCGCCGCGUGCGGUCAAUUAGAUAAAGUCUUUCUAGCGAAUUAGGCCAAAUGGCAACGAGGUUUUGGUAUUUCAACCGAAAAUUUAGGAGCUACCGCAAUGGAGGAAAGCGAUGUGAGCUUUUCGGGUUGAAAAACAGAGGCGAAGGAGAAGGACCGAAGACCAAAAUAGAGUCGGAAACGAGAGGAAGGUAAUGUCUUCGUUUGAAAGGCACUUAGGAGCCGGUUUUUGCGGUCGAUCCGACAAGGCAUUGGAUCUCUAUACCUAAAUCGUCUGAAAUUUGUGCUCAGGCUCUACUUUUUGGGUAAAUAUAUAUAUUAGUCAAUUUAUAUAACAUUACAUACAUAAAAGAAUAGUACAACUAGAAAAGUUGCACGCGCGCUGCGGGGGUCCAAGGAAUUGACAUUCGAAACAUUAAGUGAAAUCGCUUUUUUGUGGAAUAUUUGGAUCGAUGAAUAGUUGAAAGAAAUUAGGGAUAAAAAUAUAUAACAAUACGGCAAAUUGUACAAAAAUAUAUGGAAAGAUAAAAAUAUUUCACGCUUUGAAAGCUUUUUUGGACCCAAAUUUCUAAAAUAUUGGAAUGUGAGGGAUAAGAUGAAGUCGUGUAUUUACGCAUUUGUCUAUGUACACUAUGUUUAUAAUAUAACUAAUUAAGAAUAUUUGAGAAAGAAAAAGCAAUUGAGAUCUUGUAGAAAUACUAUUAUGUAAAACACAUAACACCUUCUACCUUUUUUGGGAUCUCAAUCUUUACUUUCUUCUAAAAAUGACAUAAAUAAGUUGGCUGUGUAAAUAGUAAAUUCAAGGUAACCAUGUUGGUAGAUAAUUCCAUGUAAUCUCUUUUGCAAAUCUCGUACUUUUACUAAUAAAAUCUUCCCAUUAUUUAAAUAAUUCAAAUAUGUAAUAAUAACACCAUAUCGCUCGAUCUUUUAAAAUGUCAACUUUGUGUAUAUACGCAAGCAUAUACGCAAGAAUUGUCAUCUUGCUAAUAAUAGUGUAGAUUUGCCCAUAUAAGAUGAUGUGACUAUAGUCGUGAUUCUACUCCUUUAAUCUGAUAAAAUUAAGUUAUAUUAUUUGACUAGUCGUUGUUAGACUUAGCUACAUUUAUAUUUUAAGGAAACUUGGAUUUGCAUUUCGGAAGGAGAAUCUAGAAAGGGUGGACCUAAAGUUAAGAUCUAUACCUAUGUCGAAUAAAAUAAGAUCGUGCAUUUUCAACCGGCAGCUGGCAGCUACGGUUCAAACACAGUUUUGUUUGAUAUUCUAGAAAAAAUGCGCGACGUCCUUUUCCUUUGAUUUUUGCAUGAUGGACCCACCAUUCUCAAUGAAAAAAAAAUCACCAAAUUAGUCCACAUAAACGAUGGCCUUUCUCAUUUUCAAGCUUUGAAGGUUUUAAUUUGAAUUGAAAUAUACUUUCCAAUGUUUAAAAAAGCCUUAAUUGUUUUUUUUUUUGGGAAAUUAGAGGACACGAACGUGGAUAUCUGAUGGUCUGGAGGCUCAUGGAAACGUGCUCCCGUGGACCGGUUAUGUACGUGCAUUUAACUUGAUCACGUAGCAUUUAUCUAGAACAGUUUGUAAUCGUGAUUGGUGAGAUUCAAAUAGAUGUACUCAAUCUCUAAUUCCUCGACCCUACUCAUCGAUCCCAAGGAGUUGACUAUUGAAGAGAAUGAAUAUCAAAAUCAUAUUGUUUUAUCAGUAUGUAAUAUUAUGCAAUCGACGAAUUCAUAAAUCAUGUGAAAAUUUGUGUAGUUAUAUUUUGUCAUUUGGUGUUGUCGGGGGCAACAAUGUGAUGUAGAUAAUGGCUACCAUAGUGACAUACUUUAUUCAAGUUUGACAAAUAAGUGAUAGAAAAAGACAUUAAUAAACAUAAUAUUUGUUGGGUAACGGCCUAAUCUCGUCCUAUAUAAAUUUAGUUUAAUACUCUGUUUAUUUUGUAAAAAAUGAAUGAUAUGAUUUUUUUUUUAAAAUGAUCACUUAUAUCACUCAUAAAUGAAUAAUGAAAUUUUUUUCAUGAAAGUGUUUAAACUUACAUUGUUAUCAAUAAUAAAAACAUUUGUCAUUAACUAAUAAUUUUAAGUGAUAUAAGCAACCAUUUUAAGAAAAACGUUUUUCAAAUUAUUCAAUUUGCUCGAAACGAACGAAACCUAAGUUUCUGUUUAGAACGAUUUUAUAUUGAAAAUUUAUAAUUCUCAAGCCUUUCUGCAUUUAUGAUCCGACCUUUAUUUCGACACCUUAUAAUUAUAAUAUCUCAGUAAUUCUCUAAAACCUCAGACGACAUUCGAACGUGAAAUAUCGCAAAAUAAAAUGUAGGGACGACAAUCUUUGUGUCGGUGCAGAUCGGAGGCGUCGGUGAGCGCGUGCCCCAUGUGCCAGCAUCGUUGCACGAGCCCUGCUGCCACCGAAGUCCAACUAAAGCAACCAAAUUCUUAUUAAACAUAUAUUUUUUAUUUUUCUCUUUUGGCAAAUAAUUUAUUUAAAAAAUAAUAAAAUCUGGGGUGCUGUUAAGUUUGUGGAGAGAGCGUCCCCACGUUUAGGAGACACCAAUGAAGACGUGAUGCGCAUCAAGUUACAUCGAGAGAGAUCUUUGGAUUUUUGUGUAACAUGCACAGCCGAGGCAUGCAUGAACUUGUUCAUUUAUUCUUGUUUCGAGAUCUUUAAUGGCAUGCAUGAACCCGUUCUUUUAUUCUUGUUUGGAGAUCUUUAAUAUUAAGGGCAAUUUUUAGGAGGGUUAAUAAUACGAAAAAUCAUAAAUUGAUAUAUUUGAGAUGAAUUUUUGCUUGUUAGUUUUUAUUAAAUUGGAUUAAUAUUACGAAAAACCACAAAUUGGUACAUUCGUGACAAACGAAAAGUAAAAUCCUAAAUUGUUUCACUCAUUGAUCACUAUGCAUUAUUCAACUCAGUAAUUUGAUAUUGAAAUUUAAGAGAAACUAAAUAUGUGUACAGUUGGAUUUUUUGAUGGCCAAAAAAUUAAUUCGGAAUAAAUUUAUCAUAAAUGUACUGAUUUAAGAUUUUCAUAAUAUUAACUAUUUUUAAAAUAUACUUAAUGACAAAACAUUUCAUUUUGAAUGCAUGAAUUACACAUAAGACGAGAAAGAUAAUGCAUUAAAAAUGAUGAAUUUGCUCUAUCGAUGUGUUUAAUGCGUCCUUCCGAAGUUCCUAACAUAAUUACUCUCCGCUUAAGCGCUCGGAACACGUUACGCUUCGAAAAGUGUAAGAGGGUGAUGAAAAGCGUAAGAGGAUUUCAUUCGAUUUUUUUGCAAAUUCAGUGAAAUGCAUGGCUUGUGAGUACCGGGCCUUAGUUUCCAAGCCCAAUUGAGACAACUAAAUAUUUGAGUUCAAUGCCCCCCAGUUGGGCAGAUAAGCCCGUUAAGCAAUUAAAAAGGAAAUUGAGGAACACAAAUUGUAUUUUAUAUUUUAAGAAAACCGUUCUCGUGUAUAACAAAUUAUUUGAUUAAUGAUUGUUCACAAUUUCAUUAUCAGGAGUAGUGAUGUAGCGCGGUGAAUUCCAAACAGUUCCCAUUGUGCUAUAUGGAUUCCAAAUCUCAAUUUUCUUCCUAAUCUAAAAUCGGUGAGUUGUCAUUAAUAUUGAAUAACCAGAACAUUGACUUAAAAAGUAAUCUACCUCCUCAUUAAGGAUCAAACAUGCUAUUUUUCAUAUAAUAAGCACGCGAACAAACUGAUAAAGCAUGGUGUGACAAUACUAUAUAGCAAUCCCAAUGAAUCGAUUGAAUUCAAGAUUUUGGCUUGUGCUUAGGCCUUGAUCCAGACCAAUUUGCACUCAGCCGGUGAGCCUUGAACAUGAGACCCCUUUUCCUUCUCCUCAUUAUUUCUUACUUGCAGUUCUUCGACGAGUAAGCAAGUAGAGCUCGAAACCAAGUUUUAAAUCUUGGAGAAUUUGAUGGAUAGCCAAUGGCAACAAAUCUAGCAAGUAUCAAGCCUAUACUUUGCAAGGCUUAGAGUUGUGCUAGGGCUUUUUUCUUUUAUAUCCAAAUUGCUCUGUAGAGACACUUCGAUGAGGGAAAAAAUGUCAUAAAAGUCAUAAAUCUAUUGCAUUCAUGCAAAUUUAAUCCUAAACAUUUUAAUUGUGCAAAUUUAGUUAUAAACCUUUUGAACAAUUGCUAAUAUAUUCCUAAAUUUUUGGACAUGUAUCAGUUCAAUCAUUCUAGCUAAUUUUAGUUGGAUUUCGUUGACGUGGAUGUUUGCUAGUUUAUGUGGCACCAUUAACGCUGACAUAAACAAUUUUUAAUAAAAUUUCAAUAAUUUUUCGAUUUUUUUUUCUCUCAUUCCUUUCUUCUUCCUUUAGACAAUGGUUGCUUGCGUGUUGCCCUCGUCGAUCAUCGCCCGAGCAAAGGCGACCCUUAGCAAGGUUACCUUGCCCUAGUGAGGACUAGCCUCACCACAUUUGCCUUGGGCAAGGUUGGCCCUCACCUAGGUUAGGGCGGCCUUGCCUAGGCCAGAUUGGGCAAGGCCAAUCCUCACUGGAGCUUGGCCUUGCCCUAGCUAGGCAAGGCCAAUCAUGGGCCAGCCCGCUUGAGCCAUGGCUGGUGGUUAGCCAUCUCUUGUCAGCCGACCAUCACCUAAAGGAAGAAGAAAUGAAGGAGAGAAAAAAAAUCAGAAAAUAUAUUAAAAAAUUAUUAAAAAAUUAUAAAGAAUUAUUCACGUUAGCAUCAGUGAUGUCACGUAUGUUGGCAGGUGUUCACGUUAGUAAAAUCGAACUAAAAAUAGUCAAAAUGAUUAAAUUGACAUCAAGUCAAAAUAUUUAUAACUAAAUUGACACUAUUUUAAAAAGUCUAGAACUAAAUUGGCACAAAUAUAAUAAGUUUAGGACUUUUCUAACAUUUUUCCCUUUGAUGGUGAUCAUGCCCAUCAUCUUGGUUGCAACUCGUCGUACGGCUAGUUUCAUCAAUUUUGUGUUUUGGCUUGUGGAGAUGCACCCGUAGUUUCAUCAAUUUCGUGUUUUGGCUUGUGGAGAUGCCCGCGAAGCUAGACAGUCGGCAGUCUGAACUGGAGGAGACAGAGUCGGACACAAUUAUCAAAUCCAGUUUAUGCAUGACAAGGACGGAUUAUAAGUUUUAUAAGAAUAGGUCUUAUGAAAAAUGCUUACAGGACACUUGUUGAUCGUACUUAAUAAAGAAAGACUUUCAUUCUCAUGUCCCGUAGAAAUAUAUAUCACAAUCAUAUCGUGUCAUUAUCAGCCUUAUGACACAUUCGAACAACAGUAGCUGACUAAUCUUGCCAGAAUUUUUGCAAUUCGAUUAGGAUAUGAUUGUUGAUGGGUAGAAGAUACAACAUGCAUGGACAUGUAAAUUGUGCUUAGGAGUAGCUAAACAUGUCUUAAUACAUUCGAAGGUGCCGUGUCCCAAAGAAUGACAUUCGAAUGCGUUCUAAUUACACUCGUCUAAAGUGCACCGACAAAGGAUGAAAAGAGCUAAUCCACGUACAAUGCAUUUAUUAUUCGUUAAUUGAAAUAAACUGCUAAUGCAACAUUAGGAUCUUGCAAGCAUCCAAAUUGAAAAAUGAUUGGAUCUCUUGCAUUGCACGCAACGCGUGAGAUCUCAAUAUUAGGUAGCGAGGCUACAGCUCAGCAGAGAUUUUCUUCAUGAUAAUUUCCCUGAUUAAUCUCUGUAUAUUUUUUGUAUGCUUUCUAUAAUUUAUUACUAUAAUUGGAGCCCUAGCACUGCUCCUCUUCCCUAUAUUUAUUCCCAUUAAUUCUCUUAUAAAGAUAUGUACAAAAUAUCUUUAAAUAUAAUAUACAUGAGCAGUUAUGACUCUUUGCAACCGAAAUACUUGUUUUCUUAAGAUAUUAAUUUCUUCGAGGUUUUUCAAGAAGAAGCUCUCCACAGUAAAAUCAAACUGCGCAUUGCACAUGAUGAACCAUAUCUUAGGCGAUCUAGCAUAGACCGAUUGGAAAAGUACAAAUUAGCAUAAGUCAAAGUGCAAAUGGAAUGAUGUUUAAACUGGGGUGCAUGUGGGUCCAAGUUUACCUAGGUCAACUGACCCUAAGUUGUCCGGAUGGGAUGGAUACCAAUUUUAGGGGGAAUUGGUUCGCUCCUAAAUUAUGACAAUUCAGAAUUAGCCUUGGUCGAUUUGAUUGUCGGUUCCAAUAUGAUAUACGCAACUUUAAAUUGAGAGUUAGAUCAAUUGAAUCCAAAACUCAAUUAAUAUUGCGACCAAUUUAAGACACGUGUGUAAUCUUCUUAUUGGAUGUGCCAAAUUUAAAUCUUUUUGGACCCCAUUUACUUCCCACAGUAUUAUCUUUCUGGCUUUGUUAUUUUCAACUCAAUUUAGUUGUGUUAGUCUCAUAGUUAACUUAAAAUUUGAAAUUAAAUUGCUCCUUUUUCUAUAAAAAGAUCGUGAUUCUUUAAGUAGAAUUGGGGAUCCAACUUGAAGCGCAGGCUCCAAAUCCCAUUGGUUUGAGAACCGACCAUUUUGAUAGGUUGGGUCAGUGGGUCUGAAAUUUUUAUUUUCAGUUGAUCCAUUCAAAUUGUGCUCUCACCAAAAAAUAAUCGAAAUCUUAAGUCCAUCUAAAUUUGACCAUUUAAAAAAAAAUUCCCCUUGAAACCGAUCCAUCCAAACAUGCCCGUAGAGUUGGCAAAAUGGGUCAUAAACUUAUAUUAUGCCUGCACCUGGAAAAAAACAUCGAAAUCUUAAUCAUAUUUCUCCUUUGAACCGUAAAAAAAUAAAAAUAAAAUAAGAGGCAUGAAAGCCCCUAAUCAAUUCAUGUCCUAAAGCAACGCAUGACAUGACGUCGCUAACUGAUACUAUAAUUAAAUUUCACUCCCAAGUCAACGUUUGACCCCGUAUUGACGGCAGAAUUGACGAAACUGACCCUCGAUUUUCCCCGAAAUGGCGACUCCGCCCCCCGCGCUGUCGUGGAUGCCAGAUCUCCCGGUGGAUUCAUGGAGUUGAUGAAAAUAGCUUCGUUCGCACUCUCUCUCUUCUGCGCGCAUGAAAUUUUAUGCUCUGGACCUCAUUACCGCAAAGAAAAAGUUGCCCGGCAGAUCCAUCGGUGGCACGGCGCUUGAGCGAGAGCGAGAAGCGAGAAGAAACGCGGGUUUUGGUUGGUAAAGGUGCUUUUUUUAUUUUCUUGGUUUCUGGGUUUUUAGCAUCUCCGGAAAAAGCUUUUGAAUUGCAUUGCGUGAGAUCUAUUCGGCGUUUUGGGUUGAUCAGUUGAUCCUUACAUUCCAUCGAUUGAGGGCAAUGUUUUCGUGUUUUUUCGGGUUCGAAAGAAUCUCUUUGGGGUGGCGUUGCAUGGUGUAAGUGGGAUUGUUAUGAUUGCAUUGCUUUCGUCAUGACUUGCUUGCGAUGCUCUUCAGCGAUUGUUUGUUUUGGGUUGGUGCUCUAAGGUUGUGGGUUGAUGGUUUUGAGUUGGGAUUUGCGGAUCUUGGGGCAAUUCUCAAACUUUUACAAACAGGGUAAGGUGUUUCUAAAAUUGUUUUCGGCGUUUGAUUGAGGCGUGUUUCUUUUCUAAGAGUUGGUAAUAGGCAAAUGUCAGGAUGGGUUGUUUGGCUAGAAUGAAUAUAUGACAGAGCUGGUAAAUUUCCUCCCUCCCCAGCGUCAAAAUGUGGAUUAUAUGUAGUUAUGGUGUUUUUGUCUGCAUUGUGUUUCUUGAUAAACGCUGCCAAAUUUUGCUUUGGCUUGGCCAAAUAUCAGCUAGUUCAUUCAACCACAUGGUCAUUUUGGUGAAUUAUUUGUUCUCAUCUGGUUGAUGAGACUCUGCAUUGGGAACAUGUGUGUAUAUGCCUACCUAGCAAUGAAUCUGUGCAUAUAUGCCUGUACUGUGUUUAUAGCACAUGCAAUUGCUACAUGAAUUCAUGUGUUAACGCUCUUCUUUCCUUUGCUUAUAUCUACAGAUUGUAUUUCUGGAAGGAGAGAAAUGACUAAUUGUGAAAUGUGCCGAGUUUUUGCUGACCAACUUCUUGGCUUCUCUGGUUAGAAUGCUGAUGCCAAGGUUAUCCAAAGGAUUGAGAUGUGCCUUUGUUAGUGCAUGAGCAGGAAUGAAAGGCGGAAACUCGUUCAGAUCAAGAGGAAGAAAGUUUUCUUCCGGUCUUCUUGCACUUCUUUUUGCGACAGUAUUACUAUGGAUUUGGGAAAAGAAUCCUUUCAUAAACACCCUCCGGUCUGCUCAAGAUCAAUUUUUGUUGUCUUCAUCAGGUCAGUUGAAUCUUUUCAUUUGAAAGUAGUUGCUGAUUCUAAUGUCAAUACAUCACGAAUACAUCAGACUAGAAUAGCAACACGACCUGGCUCAUUUCCCGAAUAGUGAGUUCUGUAUAAAAUCAGGAUCUGAUAAAUUGAAUGGAAUUGAUCCGCUGGGUUCGAUAUAUCGAUUUCAGGAUUUGCUUUGGGCAUAGGGUUUUCCAUUUAUCGGUUCGCUUUCGAUGCAUAGCUCUAAAAUUGAAAGUAUGAUGCAGAUCUGAUACACAGUUUUGUUCUGCUUUUUAACUAUUAUAUUUUACAGUCAUAACCUGACUAAGUAUGGCUCUUCUUACUCGAUAUCAUUUUAUCAAUGACAAUCCAAGGUUAUCACUGGAUUCGAGCCGUGAGCUGCUUGAUUUGAUUUGAAGUAUAUUGGGAUAUCAUUUUGGUGAUAGCAGGCUUUGAACUUAAUAAAUUUUAUUUUUUUAAUUAUUUUGCUCUAGAGUUUCUGCUGAAGCUUAACAGAUGAGUAGCAAUCAAGUAGUUUCCUAUCUCUGUUUGGGUGGGAUUUGAUUUGAUCAAUUAUACAAGGUUGAAUUACAGUCGAAACUUUUGGCCAGAAAAAAAAUAAAUUUGUCAGACCUGAAGCAGACGAUCUCAGGCUUCUUAAAAUCUUUCCAAUCUUGUAUAGCGUAUCUGUGGUAAUAUUUAAUAAAGCACGGCAAAAAUUCUUCUGUCAGUUAGAUUUCAAUAUAGGCAUGCAUCUUUGCCCCCCCUGGUUACAGUAAUUUGGGAGGCAUUGCAAGAGGAAAGAUUAUCGAUCAUAGCUGAAUUAAGAUCCCUCCUCUUGCCAAAUGAUGAGAAGAGAUGUGAAUGGACAUUUAUUCGUGCAAAUAUCUUUUGAGAGGAAACUGAAACAAUUUGAAGAGUUUGCUCCCAGAAUAAUAGAUAUCUAUGAGUCUCCUCAAGUUUCAAUUAGGUGGUUUCUGAGUUACUCCGUCAAAACUCCUCAUUGCUGUUAAAAUCUCCCAGCGUAGUAAUAUAGAUGGGCGUUGCACUGCACUUACACUUUUCAACUUAAUUUUAAAUGAGACAUUUCUGGUGAUGUUCUACAUAGGCAUUAGCAUGUGAAUUUUCUCAAUAGGCUGGAUGUGACUCUGUUGUGAAUCUUGAUUUGUUUGUCCUAUCUUUCAGUCUUUUGAACGUUGGUAAUUCGGGUUUGUUAUCUUUUUAUUUCUGCCAACUUGCUUACAAUGCUUUUCUUUCUUUUUCCUCCCUUUCUCUUGGUGGUGGUGUUGGGACUGUUCAGAAUUCAUCUUUGAUAUGCCAAAUGACUCAAUGGUAUCUGCCCACCAUAAAGAGCGUACUGAUGAGAAAGAUGCAAAUGUUACACCAAAAAUAUCGAGAAAAGCUGAACAAGGUAGCGACAAUUCGGUAAUGGAGAAGUCUACUUCUGCACUCUCUCCUAAAGGAAAGGGUGCUCGACAUAGCAAGUCCUCUUCUAAAGGUAGUUUUCUUUCCUGAUGAUAUAAUUUUGGAUUGAAUUUGUGAUGAUUGUGAUGUCUUAAAGAAAAAGUAUGUGGGAUCUACAGAUUCUUUUCGCCAUAAACUUUUGUCAACAUGUCUCUUUUAUGUUCACGGGUCAUGCCUAAAGAUCAUCAAAAGAAACAUUCACACAACUGCAUUUUAGCUUUUAAAUGAAUUAGUAUUUGCUUGUACCAUAUCUGGAAACUGUGAAUUGAGCGCGACCAUGUGUCAAUAUAAUAGAUCUCAGAGUCAGUACUUUUUGUAGUUUUUCAAAUUCAACUGCAAUUGACCACAUUCGAUCUUCCCCUCUUUCAAGAAACUUCUGUAACUUCCAGUUAAAUAGAUAAAACGUGAGUAAGAAAAAAAGCCAUCUUGAUGGUGUAUUUUGUUAUUAUUGACUUAUCUAGAUCUUCUGUAGAGUUGUCAACACCACACAAACUUUCUUUUUUGCAGUUGUGAGUACUGAAGUAUUGUGCUUUAUGUAAUACAAACAGAGGAAAAAUUGCCUAAUUGUGCUUUGAUAUGCGCAAUUGAUUUUAACAUGUCUACUCAGUUGAAAUUUAGCACAUAUAAGAUAUGGCUUGUUGAAUAAUCAAAAUGAGAGUCCUUGACAAACACUUCUUCGGAUUUUGGCCUAUAAUUGUUAUUUUUUUCUCCAAGCCAAUUUAAUUAUGAUGAGCAUGGGGAGAUCUACAUGAGAAACGUCGAUCUAUUUUAAUUUCUGGAGGAAUUCGGUUUGACUUUUUAUUUCUGUCAUUACUUAUUGGCAUAUUCUCCAGUUCAAUCUCCAAGCUUAGCAUGUAUGAUAUGUAGGUUUGAGAAAAUUGUACUAGAUUCCUGCGUUUUGUUAUGUAAUACAAACAAAGGAAGUGCUUUUCUUCAUGGAUGCAGUCUGCAAUUAUGCUAAGGGGAGAUGGGUUGCAGACAAGGGCAGACCAUUGUAUUCGGGGUUCUACAUGAGAAACGUCGAUCUAUUUUAAUUUCUGGAGGAAUUCGGUUUGACUUUUUAUUUCUGUCAUUACUAAUUGGCAUAUUCUCCAAGCUUAGCAUGUAUGAUAUGUAGGUUUGAGAAAAUUGUACUAGAUUCCCGCGUUUUGUUAUGUAAUACGAACAAAGGAAGAAUUGCCUAAUUGUGCUUUGGUAUGCACAAGUGAUUUUAACAUGUCUAUUCGGCUGAAAUUUAGCACAUAUAAGACAUAGCUUGUUGAAUAAUCAAAAUGAGAGUCCUUGAUGAACACUUCUUCAGAUUUUGGGCUAUGUUAAUCUUUUUUUUCUCCAAGCCAAUUUAAUUAUGAUGAGCAUUGGGAGAUCUACAUGAGAAACAUUGAACUAUUUUACUUUCUGCAGGAAUUUGGUUGGACUUUUUAUUUCUGUCAUUACUAAUUGGCAUAUUCUCCAGUUCAAUCUCCAAGCUUAGCAUGUAUGAUUUGUAGGUUUGAGAAAAUUGUACUAGAUUCCUGCGUUUUUUUUUUCUUUUUCACUUAAAGUGCUUUUCUUCAUGGAUGCAGUCUGCAAUUAUGCUAAGGGGAGAUGGGUUGCAGACAAGGGCAGACCAUUGUAUUCGGGGUUUGGAUGCAAGCGGUGGUUGUCAGAGAUGUGGGCCUGUAGGCUGACGCAAAGAACUGAUUUUUCAUACGAGGGAUAUCGGUGGCAGCCGGAAAAUUGUGAAAUGCCUGAAUUUGAGAGAUCUUCAUUCUUGAGAAGGUUUUCUUUUCUUGUAUACCUUCCUCUUAGCUUUCAAUGUUACAUAUUAAAUAUUCUUCUUGUGCAAAAUCACUUCCUCUUAGCACUAUCGACAUUCAUGGAACAAAGAUAUGUUGUGUCCUAUACAGUUAAAAAUAUUUUGCUUACUGGAAUUGAGAUGUUCAAUAUUCGUGAUUUCUGUUCUUAGAUAUCAUCAUAUGCUUUUCCUACAUGUAGAAGUCUCUUUCAUUUGACUAAAAGGUGCCUGCUUCCUUCUUUCUGCUAUCCCUUCCUUCUGAUUAAAAACAAAAAGAAAAAGGAAAAUAGUAUCUCACAGUUUGGUAGGAAGUUUGGCAUUGCUCAGGUUCUGCUUAUUUUUGCCAAUGAUGUCUAAGAAAAAUCUUUAUGUUCAGAAUGCAGGACAAAACUAUUGCAUUUAUAGGAGAUUCACUUGGGAGGCAGCAGUUCCAAUCUUUAAUGUGUAUGGUGACUGGUGGAGAAGAGAGCCCUGACGUUGAAGAUGUCGGAGUCAAUUAUGGGCUUGUUAUUCCUCCUGGAGCCAUUCGUCCUGAUGGUUGGGCGUUUCGGUUGCAAAGUACGAAUACGACUAUAUUAUACUACUGGUCUGCCAGCCUCUGCGAUCUCGAGCUCUUAAACAUCACUGAUCCAUCAGCGGGUGUCGCCAUGCAUUUGGACCGUCCUCCAGCGUUCAUGAGAAAUUUUUUGGAUACCUUUGAUGUUCUAGUUCUGAACACAGGACAUCAUUGGAACAGAGGCAAACUUAAUGCAAACAAGUGGGUCAUGUAUGUCAAUGGAAGGCCAAAUGAAGACCGAAAACUGGCAGCAAUUGGAAAUGCCAA
rnacentral:lncRNA from 1 species